AGAGAGGAUGGUUUUCAAGUCCAGCAAUGGCGAGCACUAAAAUGCAUAUUUACCUCUAUAAUGAGCAAUUCGCCUCCACAUACAGAACACACAGAUUGCGCUGAUAAUAGCUCCCACAACCACUGUUAAACCGAUAAUUACCUUCAUACUUGUAGUUCUAUUAUCUGCAGAAAACAGAGGUUUGUAUUUUUAGAUUUGACAAAAACAAACCAGGGGAAAGGAUCAAAUUUCUUCUACAAUCUACAUGAAUACGAAAGUACAACAGUAAUUUCUAUGAAUAUUUGAACAGCAGAAAAUUUGAAGCAGUCUUGUAAAAGAAAACUAGACAAAAAAAAUGAAACGAUUACCGAGUUCUGAAUAAGCUAGGCGAACGUAAAGAUCUGCUCCUCCACUAGGAAAUUUCCUUAUAUCAGUUAAGUUUUCCCACCACAACAUACAGCGUAUACCAGUAUAAUAUGCAUAAGCUAUGCAGGAACAAUUAUUCAUGCAAUUUUCUCUACAUGUUUGCUCCGAAACUGCCAAGGACCGGUCAGCAAAGUCUGGCACUUUCACUGUCCGCAGCUUCAAGAACCCAUCUUCUUUGCCCGGUUCACCACCAUAUUGUAUUCUUUCGCACUGCAUAGGUCUCCUCCUAACACAACCACUAGUCCAGUUUCUACUAUUCCAUUCAUCUGCAUCUUUUGGUUCAAACCCUUUCAUACAACUGCAAAUUGGUGAGUACUUUGCAUUACAGAUUCCAAAUGACCCGCACUUACCGUAGACAUCGCACUCAUCGUUUGGAAGUCGCCCCACGUAAACCCAUUCCUCCUUCCCAUAAUCCCAAUAUAGUUCAUUAAAAUUUCCAUCAUAACUCAAAACAAAACUUCCGAUAUAUGAUUCGUUGGCAGAAUUUAAGAUUAGGGUAAACGUCCCAUUUCCAUCUUGUUCAAUAUCAAAUCCAUUGAUAUUAACUGAAUUCAUUCCUGGAAUUCCAAUAAAUACCUGACCAUUCCAUGGACCAGUCCGAUAGAUUGGAUGACUAUGAUUCCAAAUGAAACACUGAGGUAUCCUUACUGGAUCAAUUCCAACAGAGAAGGUCCCAAUGGAUGGAUCUGAAGGGCUUCUCCAUGAGGAUAGCAAUGUCUUCUCGCCUGUUCUUACUUUAGCAGUAAGUCUCAUGUUUGUUAUCAUUGUAUCAGAAGGUUCCUGAAAACUCUCCCAUAAGCGGUUUCCACUUCCGAUAUCUCGCAAGACAAGGUUUCCAUCAUCCAUAAGCCGUGCACUUGAAUUACUGACUCCGUUUGAGACAUUUGAUGACCAAAGAGUUUCUUUCUGACCAUUCAAAACCACAAGAUUUCCAUCGCCAGAUAUUGUCAUCACCCCAGAAGAAUCGUUGAGUGGCUUGUUUCUGUUAGCUACCCAGACUCGUGUUAUAGGCGUAAAACUACUGAACCAUAUUCCUACAUAGCGAUUAGUGGAAUUAACAGGGCUGAAAAAUCCCAGUUUGAACUUAUUUCCCGCAGAGACUAUAGCAUCAGGAUCUUUGACAUACUGAGAUGACGUAAUUGUAUCUCUGGCAGCACCAAGUUGCAAACAAAAAAAACACAGUAGGAGUAGAAGGGCCACCAUGAAUUUGCUGCUGCCAAGUCCAGCAGUUGGAUAUUCUUUUAACUAAUUGCUUGUGCUUCGUUACAAUGAAAGGCUUACUAGAUUUUGAGUGAUGGACCAGUCGAUAUAUGCAUGUCAUUGACAAACAAAUAUCGCUUCUAUUGUCAAGUUUCUGUCCUCUUAUGGCGAGUGUUAUCAACUCAAACAGAAGGUAAACCUGAAAGGUUGGGUUUUUUCAACAAUUGUGGCAGGUGCUUCCCUUUUCCUGGAAGGAGAUUAUAGACACAAAAGUCGCCGGUACUCUGGCCUACCUAGGCAGGUACGUGCCGUCCGCAGGGAUGGCAAUUUUAUUUGUGUACCAGUCAAAAUGUAAUUCCAUUAAGGUUCAAGAGCAAGAACAAGAUAAGAAGAUGGUUAAAAUUCUUGUCUGGUUAUGAACAUGUUUGCAUAAUUACAAAAAUGUUUUAUGAAUAUUAUUCUUUAUGGGAUAGAUUCUUCAGGGUCAACAACUCAGCAUCUGUAGCCAUGUCUGUCACACAGCAAAGAAAAUGGAAACAUUUUUCUUUCACCGGCACAAGGCUUUGACAGAAACAAGUCCUAAUGGGUCACUAUCUGUAAGGCUUGUUUCCAUUUCAACCUAAAGAAAUUACGGUUAAAUUUUCAAUUAUAUUACAAUUUAGAAUAACAAUUUCAUAUAUGUGUAUGGAGAAUCAAACUUAUAUUAUUAGCAUAAAAAUGAUGUGAAAAAAACAGAAAAUAAAUUAAAGUGAAAUGUAUUAUUACUUAAAGUUCGUAGUUAUUGUUCAAUUACUGGAAUAUAUUUGAUUAUUGUAUCUUAGGAUAAUUGCUAAAAUACCCUUUGUAAAUUAACUUUAUAGUAUUUUAACAAAAUCAUUUUGAUAUAUUACCUCUAGAAACUAUAAUUGUCAACAUAAAUUGAUAAAUUUUAUUAUAGAGGGAGGCCUCACCAUUGGCUGAAUCGUUGAAUUGUAAGCCAAAACCAGUAUAUAAUAUGAAUAUGAAAAUCAAAAGCGUUCCAAUUUGAUGACAUUCACGCGCAAAGAGUAUGUGACAGUGACAGUCAACGACGGCCAACAUAAGUCAACAUAAAGUUUUCAAAAUUGUUUAAAAAACUCUACAUUAAAAUCAUAAAUAUGAAAAAACUAUAAUUUAUUAUUUUUUCUAAACCUACAUUUUUAAACCGUAAUAUCAAAAGUUACUACAAUAUGACACUCACUUGUUUUCCCAAAGCUAAAAAAUUAUUAUUAUUAAACUUAUUUUGAUGAGUCAAUUUAAAACUCAAUCAUUUUUGGGAUGUGGUUGAACUAAAACUUGGCUUAGAUAGAUUUCUCAAAAUAUAAGAGGACUUAAUUUGGUAUGUUCGGGUGAAAAACUUACAAGAACCCAUGAACCAAUUAACCUGGUUAAAACUCACCAUAUUUUUAUUAAUUUUUUUUAAAAAAAAACUAUAUUAUUUUGACCUUUAAAAAAAUUAGAUUAAUAUGGGUAAAUCUCUCGUGAUUCAUGAUUUAUGCCUUGUUUUAUGUUAACCUUCGGUUGAAUUUACUAUAUACUAGAUAGCUUGUUUGUGCUUCACUGCAGGCAACAUGAUUUUUUUGAAGCAUAAAAAAUCAAUGAUAAAGAACUGUAAGUGUAUUUAAAAAACAAAAUAGCUCCACAUCUUUGAAAGAAAACGGAAAAAGAUAUCGAUUGUUAAUCUCCAGGAAUCCCAAUGAUUAAAGAUAAAAUUAGGGAAAAAUAUCAAUGAACAAAAAGAAGUAAAAAAAAAAUACCAACAAACCCGGGUGAUGAAAUUGAAAAAAACCAAGAUUAUAAAUUCAAUGAUGAAAUCGAAAACAAAUUAAAAUUUGAUAAAGGUGCCAAGAAUAAAAAUUAAACCAAAACAUAAAGGGCAAAAACCUAUAAUAACAUCAAUUAUUCAAAUGAAGGAACAAAUUGAGAAUUCCUAUGAUGUUUCGAAAUAAAUGAGUAGGAAAAGGCAAUAAAGCCCCUGAAGGCUUAAAAGUGGGUAUAAAUGAAUAAGAGGUAUUGUGAUAAUUGAAUAAACAUAAUAAGUAUAAAUAGAAAAAAGAAAGAGGGAUAUGAAAUUAUAGUGUGAAGGACGGCAGGAGAAAAGGGAGAAAGAAAAAGAAGAAGAGAAAAGAGGGAAAGAUAAAGGGAAAUAGAAGGGAGUUGGAGAAAAUAAGUUUAAAGGUAAAAUUUAGGUUUUUAAAUGUAUAAAUGUGUGUUCUUUGAGCUUGAAAUUUCUGUUUUGUUGAAUAUUAGGGUUUUGAAGAUUGUGUUUUGGGUUUAUUGAUGAAUUGAUUUGUAUGUUAUGGGUUGAUUGUUAUGGGUAAUGAGUUAAUUAGUUGAUUUUGGAAGAUUUUAGGUAAAGAUGAUGAUUUUGGAUUAUGAUUUUGUUUAAAUGGUGAAUUUGAGUUAGAAAUCUUGAUAUAACAGUUGGUAAUUUGUGGAAAUUCUGGAUUUGAGGUUGAAGAUGAUGAAAAUUCAGUUUUGUCACUCAAUUUGUGAAAAUUAAAUGUGUGUUCUUUGAGCUUUAAAUUUCUGUUUUGUUGAAUGUUAAGGUUUUGAAGAUUAUGUUUUGGGUUUAUUGAUGAAUUGAUUUGAAUGUUAUGGACUGAUUAUUAUGGGUAAUGAGUUAAUUAGUUGAUUUUGGAAGAUUUUAGGUAAAAAUGAUGAUUUUGGGUUAUGAUUUUGUUUAAAUGGUGAGUUUGAGUUAGAAAUCUUGAUAUAACAGUAGAUAAUCUGUAGAAAUUCUGAGUUUGGGGUUGAAGAUGAUGAAAAUUCAGUUUGGUCCCUCAAUUUGUGAAAAUUAAAUGUGUGUUCUUUGAGCUUUAAAUUUAUGUUUCGUUGAAUGUUAGGGUUUUGAAGAUUGUAUUUUAGGUUUAUUGAUGAAUUGAUUUGAAUGUUAUGGGUUGAUUAUUAGGGAUAAUGAGUUACUUAGUUGAUUUUGGAAGAUUUUAGAUAAAGAUGAUGAUUUUGGGUUAUGAUUUUGUUUAAAUGGUUAAUUUGAGUUAGGAAUCUUGAUAUAACAGUAGGUAAUCUGUGGAAAUUAUGGGUUUGAGGUUGAAGAUUGUUGCUACCCAUAUUUUGAUAAAUUUUCAAAUAAAAAAAAAAAUAAUAAUAAAAUAAUAAUAAGGGUUUACAUGUGGCGAUAACAUAAAGCAUCAGGGUUAAGGAAGUAAUAUGUCAAGGAGAUAAUUACCGAAUUAUAUAUAAUUACUGCAAUAUAAAAUACCAUAGAUAUAUGAUUUGAUUCGUGAUUAGGGAAAAUAAUCACUGCAAUUAAAAAAAUACCAUAUAUAUAGGAUUUGUUGGUGCUAGUUAUAGAAGACAAUCUCUGCAAUAAUUAUUGCAAUAUUUCUUUAAAUAGAACGUGUAGAGAUUUUCUAUAUAAGUGAACACCCAGCCAUAUAAAAAAAAAAAAAAAGGAAGAAGAAGGCAAUUUUAGAGAUAAAAAUAUAGGGUAAACAAAAAAACCUAACCCUAUUCUCUUUAUUAAAAAAGGCUACAGUGGCUGCCCCCGUCCUUGGCCAAAAACAAGCCAACAAUCCGGCGCCCCCUCCCUUUUGAUAUAUUUUUUUUCUUCCCAAGCCUCCAACCAAUCCCCUCUCUUUUGGCCAAAAGCCAGAGAGCCGCCGGACACCACCUCCCUUCCCCCUCUCCUAGCCAACAAAAGGCAGCCGCUCAUCCUCUCUUCUUCUUCGACAGAGCCCCGUCUCUUCCCUCAUCUCUCUCAAACAGACUCAGCUGCUCCCGUCUCCCAUUUAACUCUCAAACAGCCGCUCCACCAUCGUCCCUCUCCUUUCUCAGCCGGUCAAACAAACCCACAGCCCCUCAGUCACGAUCUCCCUCUCCCCCUCACAGGCGCCGACUCAUUCGGCCUUCACAGAAACCAGCGGAGCUCCCCCCAUUUCAACAGAUCUUCUUCCCUUUCGGUCUCCUCAACAGUAACGGCCACGGACAAGCAGCAGCAAGGCCAGCCACCGCUGUUCCUUUCCCCAGCAGCGAUGCCCCUUUCUAAAUAAUUCCUCCUUGCCGCCGGCCACCUGAAACAGAGAAGAAGGUGAAACAAAGAAAAACAGACCUACAGAAGAAACAGAUCUAAAAAAGGGGAAGACCGAGAGCAUAUUUGAAAAAAAGAAAUGGUUUAAAAUCAACUGCCUGCGUUUUUCUUUUUUCUUGUUGCAGGUCACGAUGGGUGUCACCGCCGGCGAAGACAAUGAAGAGGGGAGGAAGCCGUUGCAGAUCUCCCCUGUCAUUUUUUUCCGGCGGCGCGUGAACCCACGGGCCGCCAGUGGCGGCGGCGAGUGAGAACACGCGCCGCCACUGUUCCUGCAUUGCCAGAAGCCUUCCUAGCAGUUUCCUGGAUUUUUGGGGGCUAUUAUGUAUUUUUUUAUUUGUGUGAUGUGUUGUCUGUUUUAUUUUAAAUUUGUGUUAUUUGUAAUGACAUAUGGGUGUAUAAAAAAAACAUAAUAAAAAUGGAUGUGUGUGUGUGUUUGUAUUUUUUUUAUGUAUGUCAUUGAAUUAUAAAAAAAUCAAAAAGAUAAAAAAGAAAAUGAAUUUAAUUUUUUAAUUUUUAUAUGAUCAAGUAUCUGAAGGACAAAUAAAAUUUUGUUUUAUUUCCCGUGAAAAUGUAAGGACAUGUUUCUACAUAUUUUUUGGGAUUUAAUAACUGAUUUAUUAAAGCCUUAAGAAUUUGAUUAACAUGUGUUUUUUUUUUAUUGUGAUUAAAUGUAAUGUUUGUAUAUUUGACAAAGAAAAUAUAAAAAAUAUAUUUUUUUUGUGUGUGUUAGCAUACGGCCAAUACUCUAAUAUAUUUUGAACGUUUUUUUUAUAUAAAAAAAAUUGAAAGUUUUGAAAAAUGUGUUUUCGCAUGGAUUUCUUAAACAUAAAAAUUAUUUUCUUGCAUUUCUGGAUUUUACAACAUGUUUGUAAAACUUCAAAGGGUGUUGGCCAAUAUUCCAAAAAAUAUAAAAAUCUUAUUUCGUGGAGAAAUCAUCUAGUAUUAACCAUUAAUGUUUGGAUAAAGAAAUCUCAAAGGGAUGAAUAUCCAAAAUAUUUAAUGGGAAUAACUUUUUAUUAUUCACUGUUAAUAUUUGGAUAAAGAGACCUUAAGUGGUAAAUAUCCAAAAUAAUUUUCUAGGGAUAAUAAGUCAUCACACAUCCUUGAAAGAAGCCUUGAUUAUAAUCGAGGACAUUUCAUUUUUUUUACUCCACGGUUUACGAGCCGUGAGAGUAUAAAACACUAAGGCAAAAAUAGGCUUUUAAAGCGCCCUAGAUUUCUAAAUUUUUGUCCCUUCUCCUUGCGAUUUACGAGUCGCAAACUCUUGAAAUACCAAGGGAAAAAUGAGCUUUUAAAGCACAUGGAAUCUCCUUGGAUUUCUAUCUUAAUAAAUUUAGUUAGAAUCAAACUUAGAAAAACUGAUGGAAUUAGAAAACACCAACACCAUAGCAAUUAUAAGACAAACCAAACACCAAGCAGCUUACCUUAGGUAGGGUGUACUAGGGGUGCUAAUACCUUCCCUUUACGCAACCAGUCCCUUGCCUUAGAAUCUCUGAAAGACCAGUUAGGUUUCCUAGUGACCAUAAUACUAGGUGGCGACUCCCCUUAUUCAAUAAAACAAAAGACCCCGGAAUCAAUCGAGGAUCGCCGCGACGCCGCGCUCCGCCGCGAGGGUGCAACAAAGAUGAUGAAAAUUCAGUUUAGUCCCGAAACAUUAAAAAAAUUACAGAAUGGUUCCUGGAGCAUAAUCCAAGAUUCUGGACAGAGUAAAAGAUGAAUUAUGAGCAGAAUUCCAGUAUAGUUAUGAAUUUUUAACACUUUCAAUUUGGUCCUUCCAUUUGACAAAAAUUACAAUUUGACCCUAAAAAUUUGGGAAAAUUCCAGAAUGGUUCCUGGAGCAUAAUUAGAGAUUCUGGACAGAACUGAGGAUGAAUUAUGGACAUAAUUCCACUAUAGUCAUGAAUUUUUGAUAUUUUUAGUUUGGUCCUCCAAUUUGACAAAGUUUCAAUUUGACCCUUAAAAAUAUGAUAAAUUCUAGAUUGGUCCCUAGCUGUAAUAUUAGCUUUUUUUCAGAUUAUUUUGAUGAAUAAUUGAGGUUUAUUUAGUGAAUUAUUAUCAAGUCUUAUUAGUUGUUUUAUUUUGGAUUAAAUUUCGGGAAAACCGUUUAGUUUUUGGGUUUUUGGGAAAAAUGACUAACUAGUUGAAAAACAUAUAGGGUUAUGAAAUAAACUCUUAGUUAAGUAUAUUAAAUAGGUUGUAUGUUCUUUUGAUUCGUUCUUGAAUAUGCCUCAUUUGUAUUCAGAUAAUCCUGAUAUUCUACCAACGGGACAUCAGUAGGAUUUCCUUUGGUAUUUGCUUUUGAGUUCUGUUUGCUUUCGAGUCCGGUGAGUAGAUAAUUUUUCAUAUGCAUGAGAAAUAUUAUAGAUAUUUGAGUUGAUUAUUAUCCUUGCUACGAUAAAGUAUGAUCAAUUGUUGAAUAUGAAUUUUUGAUAUGAACUAAUAUAUAUUUUAAAUUGACUUCUGAAUUGAUAGCUCCUCAUUUGAUUGAUGUCAUGAGUUGAGCCUUAAGAUAUGAAUAUGUUUGUUUGAUUAUGAUUAUGAUUAUAAUUAUAAUUAUGAACCUAUGAUAUGCUAGUCAGAAUACACAUGCUAACAGGGUAGUGUUAGUCUUUGUGCACAUCGUAUCAGAACCUAGUUGGUCGGGGGAGUCACCAACCUGUGAGGACUGAUCAUCUCACAGUACGAAGCCUCAUGCUCAUUGCAUUUUGAUUUUCUAAUAAGCUUUACCUUAUGAUAUUGUUGUUAUGGCUUAUUUGAAAAACCUUCCUAUAAGAACCUAGAGCCAUAAUUGUAUAUAUAUUCAUCAUUGUUGUAUACCUCGUGUGUGUGUGUGUAUGUAUUGAACGUUAUCUAUUCACUGAGUUGUUGAACUCACCAUCUCAUUAUUUAUCUUUUCAGGCUUAUAGCAUGUUAGCGGGUCACUUUUGUUGGACCUUCAGAACCUACUCUUUUGUUGAAAUUAGUAUUUUUUUUCUUUAUGUCUAGUUAGUGCUCCCCAACUAUGAAAUUGUAUUAAAUCUUGUAUUAAAACAAUCAAAUUAUAUUAUGAAGUUAGUUUUGUUGUUACUGUUGCGUUGAACUCUAAUUUAGUUAUUUAAAGGAUAAGUUUGUAUGUAAGUUUGGGUUCGCAUAGAUAUGGAACCGUGGAGGAGAACCUUGCCUAUGUGCUGGUCAUGGAUUCGAGAUUCGGGUCGUGACAAUUCCUAAGUCCAUAAAUACACAAAAGAAUCCAAAACAAAAAUAAAAAUCAAAUGAGUGAUGACCAUAUUCUUUAACAAGUACGUAUUAUGCCCAUAUUUUCCAAGCAUCGGCCUACAAAUUUAACCGUGACUUUGUUACCCUAAUCUUGUUCACUACGCUCAAAACCAUAGUUAUUAAACUCGGACCGGUCUGGAGGGUCGACCUGGGACCCGGUUAACUCGAUGGCUGGACUAGUUUGGGUAAGGCAAAAGACCAGGAUAAGCAAAAACCCGGUUGACCCGUGAUCCGGCAAAACCCGUUUGAGACCUGUUUUUUUUUUCAAAUGUGCUUUUUCUCCUAACCAAUGACCCCUCUUUUUUAUAAUUUUUAGUUGAUUAUUAACCAUUUUCAAAGUUCACUAUAUACAUACUAGAAUGAUAUUUUAUUUUUUCAAUUUGGAAUUUGAAACCCUUUACUAUAUAUACUUUAUGUUCACAAGAAAAAAGUAAUGUUUUUUCAAUGUGGGGUAAAAAAAUCUUUUUGGUUUAAAUACUUCAACUUGAAAGAAUAACAUACUAACAUAGUAUUUUUUUAACAUGCAAUAAAAAAUCUUUUGAAAUAAUCUUUCAAACUUCAUUAUUUAUAACAUUUAUAGUCUAUAUUCACAUGAAUUGUUUUAAUUUUAUCAUAUAAAAUAUUAAAACUUCAAUCUUUUUUAAUUUUUCCGGAUUGAUUCAAGUUGACCUGGGUCAACCUGUGUAACCCGGGACCCGGUUCCUUGACCGGGUCAACCCCGGAUCGGGUCUGAUAACUAUGCUCAAACCUAGGGUGCCAGAUGUAUGGAUUAACCCCGAGUCAGCAAGUUAGUGAGUUGACUAACCAGGGCAGGCUCGGUAAGGUCUUAUAGCAAAUAUUGCCUUCGUUCCACAAUUUCCAUGCCUGAAAAGUGAGAACACUUGUGGAUAUUGGAUAAUUUUUAGUCAAUAAAAAGAGAUGGAACUUCGCAGAACUUUAGCAAAGAGUUGGAUGGACAUAGAAUUCUUAAGAGACUCAAAGCUUGUUCAUUGCCAUAGAAACUGAUUUUUUUUUCUCCCACUUGUAAUCUCCAACAACAAAACUCCAAAGCUGAAGAAAUCGGAUUUCUCUGAAAAUCGACCUUUCAUGGCCUAUUCAGGGGACAUAAAGCCACUGCACGGGAAAGAAACAAAUUUCUGAAGUAGUGAUAUAUUAGGAGGGUUAGAAUUGAAAAAAGAGAAAGUAUUUACUAUGUUCCAACAAUCCUACUAGUGUUAGCUUGAUCUUAAUUCCCAACAAAUAUAUCCUCGUCGUUCCAAAAUUUGAAAAUCUUGGAUACAGUUCUUGAUGCAGGAGGAUGUUACUAGCCUUCAGAUUAUGAACAUGGAGCAUUCAAUAUAUGCAUUUAUGCAUGCAAUCGACAUCAAUGGUGAUGGUCGCCUCCUAUUCUCCUUUUUUCACGAGGGAAUAUCAGUGAUAGUUACUUCACCCUUGAAAAUGGAUAAAAUGCAUUUCUGUAAGACUAUCAAAAAAUGUAACAAGGAGUUUUCUGUGAAAGACCCCAUUUAUUCAUUUAUCUCCCCAGAGAAUGAGUAUUUCCCAGCUUAAAUUACACUACAAAAGUAUAAUUACUCUCUAAAAAUCGGACUCUAAGCAAGAAGUUUGGGGUAUUGACACUAGUGUAUUCAUUUGGCACAAAGACCUAGAGAAAUCUGUAGAAUGCUGAUGCAUUCACUUCUUACAAACUUCCCAUAAUUUCUUACAACCAAUUGCAGACCUAGACAGAAAGAUAGCAAUGUCACAAGUUCUAUUUAUCGAGCUUCAAGUGCUGUGAUCGAGACAUUGUUAAUAGAAUAUCUCUGUUUGUUCUGUUCGGAGGAUUCUUUGUCUAAAUAACUGAACCUUUCAGCGAAUGCUGAUUGUUUGGGAGCAGGAAGAUCCACAAUUUCGCUGUUUAGCAUUGAAAUUACUGUAGAUAUAGUUGGUCUAUCUCUUGCAAGCUCCUGAACGCAUAACAGACCAAUAUUUAUGCACCGAAAAACUUCAACCUCAAAAGAAGGGUUUGAAAUUACAGGAUCUACUAUAGCUCCAAUGUUGCCCUCAUUCCAUGAUUUCCAUGCCUGCAGAAGUGAAAAUAUCAACGUACAUAAGAAUAUCUAAUUAUAAAUGCACAGCAAAAAUUCGAGAUUUUGUAUUAGAAAGCAAAGAGUUGGAGGAAAUACAAAUCCUAUCAGGCUCGAAACUUGUUCACAGUCAUAGAAACUGGUAUUUUUCCUCCCACUUGCAAUCUCCAACAACAAAACUCCAAAACUAAAAACAUCUGAUUUCUCUGAAAAUCGGCCCUGUAUUGCAUAUUCAGGGGACAUAUAGCCACUGCAUACGAAAAAAGAGAUAAAUGAAAUAGUGAUAGAUAAUAAGAGAGGGAUUUAAGAAAGAAACAGGACUUACUAUGUCCCGACAACCCUUAUAGUGUUUGCUUGAUCUUCAUUGCCACCAAAUAUCCUGGCCAUACCAAAGUCUGAAAUUUUCGGAUUCAAAUUUUCGUCCAGCAGGAUGUUACUUGCCUUCAGAUCUCGAUGAAUAAUUUUUAGUCUGGAAUCCCUGUGAAGGUAGAGCAGACCUCGACAGAUUCCGUCAACAAUGUCAAAACGUUUAUUCCAAUCUAGAAGUUGUUUCCUGAGAGGAUCUAGACAAAUUGCAGCCAAAAAAGAAGUGUGAGAGUUUCAAUACUUGAAUCGUAAAAGAAAUUGUAGUCUGCUUCUAAUGGUUAUGUAAGUUGGGGUAAUUAGCUCUGACCAAAAAGAAAGGCAUCUAAGCUUUUGUUUGGCAUGUACUCAUAGACCAACAUCUUCUCUUCUCCUUCAACACAGCAACCAAGGAGUCUCACAAGAUUCCUAUGUUGCAGUUUAGAAAUCACCACAACCUCAUUCAUAAAUUCUUCUAGUCCUUGCCCAGAUGCUCUUGACAGUCUCUUCACAGCUAUUUCCUGUCCAUCUGGCAAUCUUCCCUGCAAAGUUCCAUUCAUCUUAUUUCUGGCAAUUCAAUUCAAUUCAAUUAACAAUAUAAACUCCACUAUCUCACAAGCAUUAUUACCUUGUACACUGGACCAAAACCACCCUGCCCAAGCUUAUUGGCAAUGUCAAAGUUGUUUGUUGCAGCUACAAGCUUUGGUAAACUUAAAAGUGGUAGUUUAGCUUGGUUCAAGUCGUCUUGCAUCAUGCUUUCUUCUAGUAAGAUCUUCAUGCUUCUCUUCUUCCUUUCUGAGUUACAUCCAGGAAGUAGGCAUCAGUUGAACAUUGCAUUUUUUUCUUUUCAAUGAAAAGAGAGGAUGGUUUUCAAGUCCAGCAAUGGCGAGCACUAAAAUGCAUAUUUACCUCUAUAAUGAGCAAUUCGCCUCCACAUACAGAACACACAGAUUGCGCUGAUAAUAGCUCCCACAACCACUGUUAAACCGAUAAUUACCUUCAUACUUGUAGUUCUAUUAUCUGCAGAAAACAGAGGUUUGUAUUUUUAGAUUUGACAAAAACAAACCAGGGGAAAGGAUCAAAUUUCUUCUACUAUCUACAAGAAUACGAAAGUACAACAGUAAUUUCUAUGAAUAUUUGAACAGCAGAAAAUUUGAAGCAGUUGUCUUUACAUGUUUCUAUGAAUACAAAAGAAAACUAGACAAAAAAAAAACGAAACGAUUACCAAGUUCUGAAUAAGCUAGGCGAACGUAAAGAUCUGCCCCUCUACUAGGAAAUUUCCUUAUAUCAGUUAAGUUUUCCCACCACAACAUACAGCGUAUACCAGUAUAAUAUGCAUAAGCUAUACAGGAAGAAUUAUUCAUGCAAUUGUCUCUACAUGUUUGUUCCGAAACUGCAAAGGACGAGUCAGCAAAGUCUGGCGCUUUCACUGUCCGCAGCCUCAAGAAUCCAUCUUCUUUGCCCGCUUCACCACCAUAUUGUAUUCUUUCGCACUGCAUAGGUCUCCUCCUAACACAACCACUAGUCCAGUUUCUACUAUUCCAUUUAUCUGCAUCUUUUGGUUCAAACCCUUUCAUACAACUGCAAAUUGGUGAAUUCUUUACUUUACAGAUUCCAAAUGACCCACACUUACCGUAGACAUCGCACUCAUCGUUUGGAACUCGCCCCACAUUAACCCAUUCCUCCUUCCCAUAAUCCCAAUAAAGGUCACUAAAAAUUCCAUCAUAACUCAAAACAUAUCUUCCGAUAUAUGAUUCGUUGGCAGAAUUUGAGAUUAGGGUAAACGUCCCGUUUCCAUCUUGUACAAUAUCAAAUCCAUUGCUAUUAACUGAAUUCAUUUCUGGAUUAGCAAUAAAUACCUGACCAUUCCAUGGACCAGACCGAUAGAUUGGAUGGCUAUGAUUCCAAAUGAAACAAUGAGGUAUCCUUACUGGAUUAAUUCCAACAGUGAAGGUCCCAAUGGAUGGAUCUGAAGGGCUUCUCCAUGAGGAUAGCAAUGUCUUCUCGCCUGUUCUUACUUUAGCAGUAAGUCUCAUGUUCGUUAUGAUUGUAUCAGAAGGUUCCUGAAAACUCUCCCAUAAGCUGUUCCCACUUCCGAUUUCUCGCAGGACAAGGUUUCCAUCAUCCAUAAGCUGUGCACUUGAAUUACCGACUCCCUUUGAGACAAUUGAUGACCAAAGAGUUUCUUUCUGACCAUUCAAAACCACAAGAUUUCCAUCCCCAGAUAUUGUCAUCACCCCAGAAGAAUCGUUGAGUGGCUUGUUUCUGUUAGCUACCCAGACUGGUGUUAUAGGCGUAACACUACUGAACCAUAUUCCUACAUAGCGAUUAGUGGAACUAACAGGGCUGAAAAAUCCCAGUUUGAACUUAUUUCCCGCAGAGACUAUAGCAUCAGGAUCUUUGACAUACUGAGAUGAAGUAAUUGUAUCUGUGGCAGCACCAAGUUGCAAACAAAAAAAACGCAGUAGGAGUAGAAGGGCUACCAUGAAUUUGCUGCUGCCAAGUCCAGCAGUUGGAUAUUCUUUUAACUAAUUGGUUGUGCUUCGUUACAAUGAAAGGCCUACUAGAUUUUGAGUGAUGGACCAGUCGAUAUAUGCAUGUCAUUGACAAACAAAUAUCGCUUUUAUUGUCAAGUUUCUGUCCUCUUAUGGCGAGUGUUAUUUUAUUACGCAACUCAAUCAAAAGGUAAACCUGAAAGGUUGGGUUUUUUCAACAAUUGUGACAGGUGCUUCCCUUUUCCUGGAAGGAGAUUAUAGACACAAAAGUCGCCGGUACUUUGGCCUACCUAGGCAGGUACGUGCCGUCCGCGGGGAUGGCAACUUUAUUUGUAUACCAGUCAAAAUGUAAUUCCAUGAAGGUUCAAGAGCAAGAACAAGAUAAGAAGAUGGUUAAACUUCUAGUCUGGUUAUGGACAUGUUUGCAUAAUUACAAAAAUGUUUUAUGAAUAUUAUUCUUUAUGGGAUAGGUUCUUCACGGUCAAUAAUUCAGCAUCUGUAGCCACGUCAGUUACACAGCAAAGAAAAUGGACAUUUUCUUUCACCGGCACAAGGCUUUGACAAAAACAAGUCCUAAUGGGUCACUAUCUGUAUGGCUUGUUUCUAUAACCUAAAGAAAUUACGGUUUCGUGGCUCAUUCUUGAGAAUUCAACAUGCUUUUAUAAAAUUAAUAUUUUAAAAAAUUAUUUUUAAUAUUAAUACGUUAAAACUAACUUAUAUAAUAUUAAUUUAAUAUUUUUUCAAAUAAAAAACAAUUUAAAUAGGUUGAAUCGCAUUGAUGGUCUUAAUUUUCUGCCAAUAAAACGACUACCAUUCCAAACAAAAACCUCAGGAUGGACUUGAAGAAGAGCUUGUCCAUGGUGUAAGGGUCCUCCUCUCAACUGUUCAUCUAAAUUCAACACAAAACAAAAGCUUUUAUAGGCUAGUUUUGACUUGCCUGCUCACAUGUCGACGUGAAAAAAUUUCGUAUAACAAAAUAGUAGUUGACUUAAAUAUUGUUAAAUUGUCAAUUAUAUUACAAUUUAGAAUAACAAUUUCAUAUAUGUUAUUUAUAUAUAUAUAUAUAUAUAUGGAGAAUCAAACUUAUAUCAUUAGCAUAAAAAUGAUGUCAAAAAAACAGAAAAUAAAUUAAAGUGAAAUGUAUUGAUUAUCUAGAAUUGUAUUACUUUAAGUUUGUAGUUGAGGUUUUGUGCUGUAAUGCAAAUUUAAAAAUCAAGGGUUCUUAAAUUUAAUUCAAAAGGGAAUAGUUAAAAGAAAAAAAAAUUGAGAAGAUUUAAUUACUUAAUUUGUUUUUAAUAAAUUAUAUGCAGAUGGCAAGUUAUUCUUGUUAAUAAAAGAUUUAAAUAUAUUUAGUAGAUAAGAUGCUUUAAAGGAUGACAAAUUAAUUUUACUAUAUUUAAAAAACAUAAAUUUACUAUAUUACUCCUAAUCAAUUGACAAAUAAUAUUUUGAUUCUUUGAAAAAUACAACUUUAUCCCCGAAAUUAAAACAAUUGUUCAUUAAAGAAAAAAAUCAUCAAUACAAUAAUUAAAUCUAUAUUAUUUCUCCUCACAUACUACACCAAAAAGCUAAGCCCUUUUUAUUUUUUUGUUGUAAUAUAUAUAUAUAUAUAUAAAGAAUAUUUAUAUUUGUUUCACACAGCAUCACCCGGGAUGCUGCCACCAGCCCUACCACCAUUUUCAGGCCUGAGAUGGACCCUUAUCCACAUCAGGCUUAAAUCUGAUACUGAUAAUUUUUUUGAUUGAUGUGGCCCAAUGCAUUUGAAUGGCGAGGAAUAAUGCAAAUUUUGGAUUUUGGAUUUCCUUUGGGAUAUGCACUAUGCAACCGGCUAAAUAAGUGAAAAAAUAUGGCCAUGUUACGUUCUUCUAAAUUAUAGAUACACACAUAUAUGAGAUAAAAACUAAAUAGAACCUUACCUCUAAAUUAUUUCUUUUUAUUUCAAUAUGUUAAUUGAUGUAAUGUAUAGCUUUAGUAUAUUUUUUUUGGAAAAUAUAAAUAUCAAGAAAUUUAUAUGACUAAUUCUACAUGUAUAUUACUAUAGAUUACAGAUUUAAAAAGAAAGAUAAAGUAGCAAUAAUUAAAUUUAAGAGAUAAAGGAUGCAAUUAGUGUUGAUCCUUUUUUAGUUAUUAUCAUAAUUAUCAAGAAAAUUUAACUUUCAAAUCAAUUGUAAACCACAUAUAAUUUCAAAAAAAAAAAAACUCUUUAUCUUGUUUAAAAGGAUCAAAAUCAUAGAUAUUAAACCUAAACCGACCCGAAGAGUCGACUUAAAACCCAAUCAACUCGGUAGCUGGAGUACUAGUCCGAGUAAGGUAAAAGACUAGGAUAAGUAAAAACCCGGUUGACUCGUGACCCGGCAAAACCCGAACCCGUUUUAUCUUCAAAUAUGUUUUUUUUCCUAGUCAAAGACUCUUCUUUUUAUAUAUUUUUUAAUUGAUUAUUAACUCUUUUCAAAGUUAACUAUAUAAAUACUAGAAUAAUAUUUUAUUUUUAUAAAAAUAUAAUACAUCACAUUUUCAUCUGAUUCUUAAAAAGUACAUGGCAAUGCACCAACCAUAAAGAAGAUACUAACCCUACACCCAUUUUCAUCGAAGCAACGGGCAUUUUGGAAUUGUUGUCAUGCUCACACCCUUUCUGGCAAUUCCCUGGAUGAGCAGCUUCAAGAUAUGUAGAGCUCCAAAACCCAACUUCUGAGAAAGAACGCCCUUUAAUGGCAUUGCUCUUGUUAAUUGGCAUUUCCUUCCAUAAGCAGCCAAAAAAUCUACAAAGUCCAAUGCAUGUCAGGUUCACUUGGUCAUCAUCCCUUUCCUCUUUUGGAAUUUAUAGGCAGAUAAAUCUAGGGUUUACAAAUCAGUACCUAUAUAUGGUCAGGCCUAAAUAUUUGAAGCUUACCAAUCACAACCAUAUGUCUACAUUGAUAUAUUAUUAUGUACUAUCCAUUGAUCAUUUCCUCAUGGUGUUGACAGAAGAUGAGAGGUUUGAGAGGGAAUUCAAGUUUUGAAGAGAGCAAUAUUGGCCAAAAAUCCACAGCAUGGAAGCCUUCCAAAUAGAACAGAGUAAAGGCUGGAAGAGACGUUACUUUCUGUGUUAAUGUUUUUGUCCUAUUGUAACGAACCAAAAUUUAAAUUCUUCUUAAUUUUUUUCUCCUGCUUAUGAGGAAUAGUACUAUCACUGCAUUAUUUAUGAUGAUUACGAAAGUUGAGAGCAAUUUGUUUUUUCCUAAUACAUAUAUGAUCAAUUUUUUAUUUAGAUUCCGUAAAAACAAGAGACAGAUUUAUUAAUUAUUAUGUCUUUCGUCCCUUCUUUGUUGUUUAUAGCUAACUUUAAUUCGAAACUAUUUUGAUAUUGUUUAAACAAUGGUGCUAAUUUUACAAAAUUUGAAGUCUAAUGAUCCCCCUCCGAAGAAAAAUAAAUCAUUUAUUAUUGGUUGGUGAGUCCUCUAAGAGUCUGUUUUCAAAAAUUUUGAAAUUUUUUUUCUACUUAAAAUAAUUUUUUUUAUGUUUUCAGAUUGUUUUGAUGUGUUGAUGUCAAAAAUAAUUUUUAAAAAAUAAAAAAAAAUUUAUUUUGAUACAUUUCUAAGCAAAAAACACUUUGAACCGUCACCACUACCACAAUCUCAAACAGACCCUAAGUCAGGUCGUGAUUACAUUAGUUGUUUAUUUGAUAUUGUGGUUGAGGUGAUUCUUUUUAAAAAUAUUUUUUAUUUGAAAAUGUAUUAAAAUAAUUUUUUAAAAUUUAUUUUUUAUUUUUGAUAUUAACACAUUAAAAUCAUAUGAAAAAUAUUAAAAAAACAUUAAUUUAAAUUUUUUUCAGGGCAAAUAUAAUUUAAAAAAUCAUAUAAAAACAUAAACUAUUACACUUCCAAACAAGAUUUAAGAGGGGUGGAGAAAUAAAUAAAUAAAAAGGAUAAAUAAAAAAAACUAUGUGAUACAAAUAAUAUUAAUUGUCAAUUAUUCCAUAUAUUAAUCUUUUACUUAACAAAUAAAUUAUUCAUAUAAUAUUAUUUGUCAUUAAUUUAACCCAUUAUUUAUUAGAGAAUAAUAUAAAUUAUAUUUUAAAAUUUUAUUUAAUAAUUUAAAUUUUUAAGUUAAACUAAUUUCUUAAUGUUGGAAGGAUUUCAUGAAUCACUUUUUAUUCAUACAUACUUUUCCUUGUGUUUGCCAUAUACUAUCCCAAGUUACUUCAAAAACAACCAAGGAAAGGAAAGGAAAGGAAGCUAUCUCGAACCAUGAUUCCAAAAGACAACAACAUGGAAACAUAGUCGCGCACCACCAGCCAGACCCCAGUUCAAAAAGUAAAUUAUCAUGUGGACCCUCGAAUUAAUUAAUAUAUUGGCUUAGAGUCAUAGACUAGAAGGUUACGGGAUUAUAGCUAGAUUGCUAAAAAUUGGCUUCAGGCUCUAGCCCUACUAGGGAACACAUUCUUGCCGACGACCUUCGUUGUGUGGCCAUGUCCUCCUAUUCUUUAAGGUUUAAUUUGCCGGUGGGUCAAAACCACUGCUUUAUAUAUAUAUGGAGUAUUUUAUUCUUCAUAUUUUUUUUUUUAGAUAUGUGUACAUUAAUUGCGUGGCGUUUUUUUGUAAAUGAUGCCGUCCAAAACAAAGCUCACCUUUUUGGCAAGGAAAAUGCUAGCUAGCUAGCUAGCGAGCAAGCCUCCUUACCAAAAAUUAAAGUUGGUACCUUCCCAUGCAACUUCGAGGAAGAAAUGGUCACGGAUCAUACGCAGCAAAAAGCCGGCCAGAACAACCUUCCUUAACAACUAACCUCUAUUAUCUGUACUCUCGGUGUCAUUGACACCUAUCCGAUGAUCUUUCCUCGAAUGCUUCUUUUCCUUUCCUCCUAAGCCUCGGUAUUCUCUUUACAAACUAUAAAUAUGGACCCUUAUCGAGUCACAUUUCCAUCGUCACAGCCUUCACAAUUUCUCAGUUCCAUCUUGCAUUCAAUCCAUACACAAACAACUAUCUGAGUGCUAGUUUACGCUACGUGAUUGGUCUCGAAUGGCGUCGCGAAAUGGGAUUGUGUUCGAGGAUUUCUUUCCCGCCAUGGUGGAGAAGUUAGGCGCUGAAGGGUUUAUGAAGGAGUUGUCCAAUGGGUUUCAGUUGUUGGUUGAUGAAGACAAGGGUUUGAUCACAUUUGAGAGUUUGAAGAGGAAUUCAGCAUUGCUUGGAUUGCAGGAUAUGAGUGAUGAUGAAGUAAAGUGUAUGGUAAGAGAAGGUGAUUUGGAUGGAGAUGGUGCUUUGAAUGAGAUGGAAUUUUGUACACUUAUGUUCAGGCUGAGUCCUGGGUUGAUGAUGAAUUCCACAGAAUGGCUCGUAGAGGCUAUUAUUAGUGAGAUGUAGGCCUUUUUUUUAUCAUUCUUCUUCUUCUUCUUCUUCUUCUUUCUUUCUAAAGAUAUUGUAGCUCUCCAUCGAUCUAAUUUGUUGCAAUAUUGCAGCCAUUUUAUUCUUCUCUUCCAUUUUCAUUACAUAGAACACAUUAAAUUUUUAAUAUGAAUCUCAUUGAUUGCAAUAUAUCAACCUUCCUUUUUAAGUAUGUAACACAACAGUUUGAUUCAAUUCUUAAAAUGAAUCUUAUGCCAAGAGCUCAUUUCUAAGAAGGUAACAAAAUCAAAGGUAAAAGAAGAAAGGGCCAGAGAAAGGAAUCUGGCUAGACUGUGAAGCCAUUUUUAAGAUCAAAUUGUAAGUCUAGAGAAUUUGAAUGGCGAGGAAUAAUGCAAAUUUUGGAUUUUGGAUUUCCUUUGGGAUAUGCACUAUGCAACCGGCUAAAUAAGUGAAAAAAUAUGGCCAUGUUACGUUCUUCUAAAUUAUAGAUACACACAUAUAUGAGAUAAAAACUAAAUAGAACCUUACUUCUAAAUUAUUUCUUUUUAUUUCAAUAUGUUAAUUGAUGUAAUCGAAUGAUUGGAAGAUGAAUAUAUUUCUGUAUGAGAGGUAUUUCAAAUAAAUUUAUAAAUAUUAGUAUAGCUUUAAUAUUAUUUUUUUUGGAAAAUAUAAAUAUCAAGAAAUAUUAUAUGACUAAUUCUACAUGUAUAUUACUAUAGAUUACAUAUUUAAAAAGAAAGAUAAAGUAGCAAUAAUUAAAGUUAAGAGAUAAAGGAUGAAAUUGUUGAUCCUUUUUUUAGUUAUUAUCAUAAUUAUCAAGACAAUUUAAGUUUCAAAUCAAAUGUAAACUACAUAUAAUUUCAAAAAAAAAAAAAAAACUCUUUAUCUUGUUUAAGAGGAUCAAAAUCAUAGAUAUUAAACCUAAACCGACCAGAAGAGUCGACUUCAAACCCAAUUAACCCGGUAGCUGAAGUACUAGUUCAGGUAAGGUAAAAGACUGAGAUGAGUAAAAACCCGGUUGACUCGCGACCCGGCAAAACCCGAACCUGUUUUAUCUUCAAAUAUGUUUUUUUUUCUAGCCAAAGAAUCCUCUUUUAUAUAUUUUUUAAUUGAUUAUUAAUCCUUUUAAAAAUUAACUAUAUAAAUACUAGAAUAAUAUUUUAUUUUUAUAAAAAUAUUAUACAUCACAUUUUCAUCUGAUUCUUAAAAAGUACAUGGCAAUGCACCAACCAUAAAGAAGAUACUAACCCUAUACCCAUUUUCAUCGAAGCAACGGGCAUUUUGGAAUUGUUGUCAUGCUCACACCCUUUCUGGCAAUUCCCUGGAUGAGCAGCUUCAAGAUAUAUAUGUAGAGCUCCAAAACCCAACUUCUGAGAAAGAACGCCCUUUAAUGGCAUUGCUCUUGUUAAUUGGCAUUUCCUUCCAUAAGCAGCCAAAAAAUCUACGAAGUCCACUGCAUGUCAGGUUCGCUUGGUCAUCAUCCCUUUCCUCUUUUGGAAUUUAUAGACAGAUAAAUCUAGGGUUUACAAAUCAGUACCUAUAUAUGGUCAGGCCUAAAUAUUUGAAGCUUACCAAUCACAACCAUAUGUCUACAUUGAUAUAUAAAUAUGUACUAUCCAUUGAUCAUUUCCCCAUGGUGUUGACAGAAGAUGAGAGGUUUGAGAGGGAAUUCAAGUUUUGAAGAGAGCAAUAUUGGCCAAAAAUCCACAGCAUGGAAGCCUUCCAAAUAGAACAGAGUAAAGGCUGGAAGAGACGUUACUUUCUGUGUUAAUGUUUUUGUCCUAUUGUAACGAACCAAAAUUUAAAUUCUUCUUAAUUUUUUUCUCCUGCUUAUGAGGAAUAGUAUCACUGCAUUAUUUAUGAUGAUUACGAAAGUUGAGAGCAAAUUAUUUUUUUCUAAUACAUAUAAGAUCAAUUUUUUAUUUAUAUUCCGUAAAAACAAAUUUAUUAAUUAUUAUGUCUUACGUCCCUUCUCUGUUGUUUAUAGCUAACUUUAAUUCGAAACUAUUUUGGUAUUGAUUAAACAAUGGUGCUAAUUUUACAAAAUUUGAAGUCUAAUGAUCCCCGUCCGAAGAAAAAAUAAUUUAUUAUUGGCUGCCGAGUCCUCCAAGUCAGGUACAUGAUUACAUUAGCUGUAGAUUUGAUAUUGUGGUUGAGAUGUAUUUUUUAAAAAAUAUAUUUUAAAAAAUAUUAAAAUAAUUUUUUUAAAUUUAUUUUUUUAUUUUUGAUAUUAACACAUUAAAAUUAUAUAAAAAAAACAUAUUAAAAACACAUCAUUUUAAUGUUUUUCAGGGCAAAUAUAAUUUAAAAAGCAUAUAAAAAUAGAAGUCAUUUCACUUCCAAACAAAAUUUAAGAGGGGUAGAGAAAUAAAUAAAGAUUAAUUGUCUAAAAAAACUAUGUGAUACAAGUAAUAGUAACUGUCAAUUAUUCCACAUAUUAAUCUUUUACUUAACAAAUAAAUUAUUCAUAUAUUAUCAUUUGUUAUUUAACUCAUUAUUUAUUAAAAAUAAUAUAAAUUAUAUUUUCAAACUUCAUCUAAAAAUUUAAAAUUUAAAAUUAAAUUGAUUUUUUUAUAUAUGAAGAUUUCAUGAAUCACUUUUGAUUCUUCAAAAACAGCCUAGGAAAGGAAAGGAGAGGAAGUUAUCUCGAACCAUGAUUCCAAAAGACAACAACAUGGAUAGAUAGUCGCGCACCACCAGCCAGACCCCAGUUCAAAAAGAAAAAUAUCAUGUGGACCCUCGAAUUAAUAUAUUGGCUUAGAGACAUAGACUAGAUGGUUAAGGGAUUAUAGCUAGAUUGCUAAAAAUUGGCUUCAGGCUCUAGCCCUACAAGGGAACAUUCAUCAUCUCAUGCUUGCCGACGACCUUCGUUGUGUGGCCAUCUCCUUGAAUUCUUUAAAGGUUUAAUUUGCCGGUGGGUUUGACCACUGCUUUAUAUAUGGAGUAUUUUAUUCCUCAUCAAUUUUUUUUUAGAUAUAUGUACUUUAAUUGCGUGGCAUAUUUGUAAAUGAUGCCGUCCAAAACAAAGCUCAACUUUUCGGCAAGGAAAAUGCUAGCAAGCAAGCCCCAUCACCAAAAAUUAAAGUUGGUACCUUCCCAUGCAACUUCGAGGAAGAAAUGGUCACGGAUCAUACGCAGCAAAAAGCCGGCCAGAACAACCUUCCUUAACAACUAACCUCUAUUAUCUGUACUUUCGGUGUCAUUGACACCUAUCCGAUGAUCUUUCCUCGAAUACUUCUCUUCCUUUCCUCCUAAGCCUUGGUAUUCUCUUUACAAACUAUAAAUAUGGACCCUUAUCGAGUCACAUUUCCAUCGUCACAACCUUCACAAUUUCUCAGUUCCAUCUUGCAUUCAAUCCAUACACAAACAACUAUCUGAGUGCUAGUUUACGCUACGUGAUUGGUCUCGAAUGGCGUCGCGAAAUGGGAUUGUGUUCGAGGAUUUCUUUCCCGCCAUGGUGGAGAAGUUAGGCGCUGAAGGGUUUAUGAAGGAGUUGUCCAAUGGGUUUCAGUUGUUGGUUGAUGAAGACAAGGGUUUGAUCACAUUUGAGAGUUUGAAGAGGAAUUCAGCAUUGCUUGGAUUGCAGGAUAUGAGUGAUGAUGAAGUAAAGUGUAUGGUAAGAGAAGGUGAUUUGGAUGGAGAUGGUGCAUUGAAUGAGAUGGAAUUUUGUACCCUUAUGUUCAGGCUGAGUCCUGGGUUGAUGAUGAAUUCAACAGAAUGGCUCGUAGAGGCUAUUAUUAGUGAGAUGUAGGCCUUUUUUUCUUCUUCUUAUCAUUCUUCUUCUUCUUCUUCUUCUUCUUCCUUUCUAAAGAUAUUGUAGCUCUCCAUCGAUCUAAUUUGUUGCAAUAUUGCAGCCAUUUUAUUCUUCUCUUCCAUUUUCAUUACAUAGAACACAUUAAAACUUUAAUAUGAAUCUCAUUGAUUGCAAUAUAUCAACCUUCCUUUUUAAGUAUGCAACACAACAGUUUGAUUCAAUUCUUUAAAAUGAAUCUUAUGCCAAGAGCUCAUUUCUAAGAAGGUAACAAAAUCAAAGGUAAAAGAAGAAAGGGCCAGAGAAAGGAAUCUGGCUAGACUGUGAAGCCAUUUUUAAGACCAAAUUGCAAGUCCAGAGAAUUUAUGGGCUUUUUGGGACAAACUUUUUUAGGCCAGCUUACAUGUCCAAAGAGAUAAUGGGGUGGGUUUCUUAUAUCCCCAUCUCAGCUUAUUUCUAUGCAAAAUACAUACGUUUUUUAAGUAAUUUUUAUUUUAAAAUAUAUUAAAAUAAUAAUUCCUGAUGAUAUUCAGUAGUCGUGCCUAGAGAUAUUAUAUGAUCACCCAUGAUCUCUAUACGUGAAUAAUGUUCUCCAUGUCCUUUUCUUGGGUGAUAGAAUUCCUUACCCUUUAGGAAUCGCUCCUUGUCAGUUGUGAUUUCUAACAAAAUUAGUUGGUGUAUGAAAACAUAUUAGCUUGCACGCCAUCUUAAUUAUCUUUCACGUUUCAUCUCUUUCCUUUCCAAAAUUUCAAAACAUGUAAUGGUAUCUUCCUAGAGGUUUUGCUUGCAUCUUCGACGACCUUGAAGAGUGCAAGUUCAUAACAUACUGUGUGAGUACAAUAGCUGUACUCAUUGGCUUGCCGAUAUGGAGCAUUGUUACUCUUUAGGAUUUGUAUGAAUUAGGCUCUAUUCAUAAACAUUUUAACCUAACAAUGUGUGUUUUUAUUAUUUUGUAAACGCACCUCGGUGAUGGUACAUUUAUAUAUAGUAAAGAGGAUCGACGAACAAUAUAAUUAAUUAAUACAUAACAAAAUUGCAAAGAAAAACAAAAUUUUAAAAAUAUUUUAAACACGAUAAUAUAACUAACGUAUUAAGGGAUUUUUAUUAUUUACUAAUAUUAUAUAAUGACAUUGCUCGAUAAUUGUACAUUUGUCAUAGGUAAAUGAUCAAUAACAAUCUUGACAAUAUUUUAAAUACUAUAAUGUAACUUAUUAAGAGAUUGUAUUAUUUACUAAUCUCGCUCUAUGCCAUGACUCAAUGAUUGUACAUCUAUCAUAGGUUGAUGAUUAGUGAAUAACAAAAUUGCAUAUUUAACAAUCAACAUAACAUACAAUACAACGAGUCAAAAACAUCAUCAUAACACCCUAAAAACAAACAUUAAUAUAACAAAUAAAAAUAUCAUCACAUAGUAAAAAUAAUAUCUACGCAACAUAACAAUUCAAAAACACAUCGACACACAUCAAAUUUUACACCGAGACCAAACCAUUAUGCCUCAGAUAAAUCUAUUGUAACCCGAUCCUUCCAAUCCCAUUACGAGAUAUUAAUUCCAACCUUAUUCCAUCUUAAAAAAUAAAUUCUUUAAAGGCAUUGUAUCCUUAGAUAUUUUCAUAUUAGUGUGUGGAUUCCAACACUUCAAAUAUCGCACAACAAUCCAUAACAUGUUAAAAAUGUUUUAAAUUAAAACAUUUCAUCACAAUUUUAAUAAAAAUCAAUAACAUGCAAAAAUUGUUUUAAAUAAUCAAUAAAAUGCUAAAAUUGUUUUAAAUAAUCAAUAAAAUGCAUUUGAGGUUUAUUGGAAGCUGUUGGAAUGGUGACCCGCAGCGGUGACAAAUUGGGAAAUGUUGCCAUGUGGAUCCAUUGUGGGGGGAGAUCGACGUGCUUGGAGUCUCAGUUUCACUUAUUUCUAUAUCUUCUUCGAUCUCUCCUCCGCAACGGCUGCUAUCUUAGCAAGGGAGCCAAGUUUUGCUUUUUGAAAAAUGGAGGUAGACAGGAGGUUCGGUCAGCUAGAAGGAGAGGAGAGCGUGACCGGUCAGUGGAGUCUUUGGUGUUGGCGGAUCGGUAGGGAAAAGAAGAAAUAGAGGAGGGGCAAGCGCUUGCCAAAGUUGGCUAGGAAUAGAGAGAGCCUUCUCUCUUUUCUCCUCUUUUCUCUCCAGUCUCUCUUUUUCUUUCUGCACGCUUUUUCUCUUCUUUUUUCUCAAUUUUUUAUUUUCACUCCACCCUCUCUUUUUUCUUCUCCCCAUAUUUUUUUUUCUAAAAUUUUCUCUCCAACCCAAAUCUUUGCUCACCCUCUAAGUUUUUUCUCUCUUGAUUUUCUCUUUUUCUUUUUUCUCACACUUCUCUCUUUUUCUUUUUCUUUUUUCUUUUUUAUUUUCUCCUUCUCAAAUUUUUCUUCCAUGCUUUGCUUGUGUGUAUCAUACAUCUAUUUAUACUCCCCAUUAUUCUCUCACAACUCAGAUCGCAUCUUCAACUUUUUUUUUCUUUUACUUAUUUUUUUACCUUAUCCCUUAGUUGUUAGGGUAGGGGAAGGGAUUAGAAACGAUUAUGUUAAUUAAUCCCUCAGCCCUUCCUCAAUUAUCACUAUGCUCACUACAUUUUUUUAAUAUUUUUUUUCUUUGGUUUUUUUCAGCUUUUAUUUUAUUUUUAAAAAUUUAUGAAAAAGUGCAUUGAGAGCACAAAAGUUGAAACCUGUAAUGAAUAGCUAAAAUUAGUAAAUAUAUUUAGAGAUUUUUGUAUUUAUGAAACUUUUUAAAAUUAUACAUAUACUAAAAGGAAAUGAUAUUUUUCUAUAGAAAUGACAUAAUUGUAAAUUUUUUCAAUUUUUUACUAUAACGGUAUUAUAGCAGUGACAAAAUUAUAAAAUUUUCAGGAUUUUGUUUAUUUAGAAAACAAGUGUUUUUUUAUAUUUUUUUUCUAUUCAUACUUAGAAUUUUUAUGAUUUUACACUUAGCCUAUUUAUCACCAUUUUUUUCAUCUUCAUUUUUUGUAUUUUUUUUAGUUUUUGCUUUUUUUUCUUUACACUAUUUUUCAGAAAAAAAAUAUUAUUUUUUAUUUUUUACAAUUUUAAUAUUUAUCACUCUACAUUUAGCUUAUUUAUAUUAUUCUUUUGGUUCUUAUCUUUAUUCUUUUGUAAUUUUUAUUUUAUUUUUUCUUUAUACUUUUUUUUGAAAAAUUAUAUAUUAUACAAAGAUAUAUUUAAUUAAAUUCAUGCAUGAGGUUUUUUAUUUAAAAUUAGAUUUUUAUUUAAAAAAACACAUUUAUAAAGAUUAUGUAUUUAUUUUUUUUGCCAUAAAAAUUAUCUGACCGACAAAAAGCACAAGUCAAAUAACUAGUAUAUAAUUAAAAGAGGUGUCAAAUUCGAGUUAUAUAAAAUAAUUUUAAUUAUAUAAUAUUCAAAAGCAUCAAUUAAAGUUAAUUUUUCUCCAUCCAAUCAGAAAUAAUCAUCAAUCCUUUGUUAAAAGGAAUAAAUGAAGAUGGACAAGAACACAAGAAAAGAGAGAGCCCCCGUCAGCGGUGUUAGCGGAAAACACGGGGACUGAGAUUCCCAUUGUGAAAGGGACUUCUGGCAAUUAAGGUUAAUUUCCUCCAUCUAGUCAUAAAUAAUUAUUAAUCCUUUAUUAAAAGGAAUAAAUUAAGAUGAACAAGAUCAACAAACAAUAUACGGUAGAAAACAAAAUAAAAUAUCAGUACGGCCUAAAACGAUGAAUAAAAAACAGGAGGAGUUGUUGCGGAUAAAAGUCUCCGGUAGGAGUUUGAGGGCUGCUUUAUGGAAGAUUAAAUUUUUUAUUCUUAUUAUAAGCCUAUGGAACUGCAAGCUAAGCCAGUAUUCCACAAUAUUAACUAUGUAAAUAAUCGAAAAGUUUAUUCAAUUCUUAGAAUAUAAAAUACAAAUCUAAGGCAGCAAGAGAAAGAAACUCAAACUAUGGCCAGAGAAAGGAAUCUGACUAGAAUAUGGAGAUCCUUUUACACGUCCAGAUGAUAGAUGGCCUAGAGGGGACAAAGUCUCUUCUAGAUCGGCUUACAAGUGCAGGGAAGUAAUAAUGGGAUAGCUUCUUUUUUUAUCGGCUCAUAAAAUUAUGAUUGCGGUUGUUUUUUAAAGUGUUUUUUAUUCAGAAAUGUAUCAAAAUAAUAUUUUUAUUUUAUUUUUAAAAAUUAUUUUUGAUAUCAAUGUAUCAAAAUGAUCUGAAAACACUAAAAAGAUAUUAAUUUGAAGUAAAGAAAAAAAUAAUAAAAAUUUAAUUUUUUUCAAAAACGCUUUUAAAACACAAAAACAAACAGGGCCUAGGCUCGUAGAGGUCUAAGUUAGGUUAAAGUGCAGCUUCAAAAUGCAUCUCCAAGUUGCAUUUGUGCCUGAGUUGUGAUGAUUAUGGACACUAAUCUUUAGAGAAAGGGAAAAGAUGAGGAACAGGAAUACAUGGAUGGCACAAGAGACCUUGCUAGUGAACCUUCUGUGUGGAAAGAAAUGGAAGCAUAUUCCCUGGUUGGAAAUGCUGUAUGCUUUCCACCUAGAGAUCACUAAAAAGGAUGCCUCUUUAACAUGCAAAUUUAUGAAUCCAACUGCUUCUAGCUAGAGAGGUCAUUUUGUCAUCAAGAAGUUGUUCUAGAAUUUAGGAUUUUUGUGGUUAAGAAGACAAGAGACAUGUGCCUCGUACAACAAUUCUUGGUGUGCAUGAUUAUUAUUUUGCAGACAUGUUUUGGUAGUUGUUUAUGCUAAUUAACCCCCAGUGAUAUCUAGCAAGUACUCCUUACCUAGAAAAUAUAUCACAUACUUAAUUACCUGUCGCUCACUGUUUGUGAUUUAUAACAAAAGCAAUUAAAGUCACUAUGGAGGUUGGUGAAUUAAGUUGUUAGGUGAGGUCUCAGGAUAUGAUUUAUAUUAUUUUCUAACACACCUUCUCAAAAGCCCUUUAAACUUUAAAUUUGCACAUGCUCACUUUACCUUGUGCUUAAUUUUUAUCAAAUAAAUGGGGAUGAUGAGAUUCGAACUCGUGACCGCUUGAUCAUCAAGGCUCUAAUACCAUGUCAAAGAACCAUCUCAACCCAAUAGUUUAAACUGUUAGGUGAGGUUUCAAGAUAUUAUUUAUAUUAUUCUCUAAGAGUGAGUAACAAUUAUCAUAGCUUAAUUAUACAGGCCUUUGCAUGUUUUCUUUCAGUUUUCAAAUUCUUUCCUCUCAAAAAUUCAACGCGAAUAAUCAUAUCAUAUACAUAUUUUCCUGACAGAAGACACGAAACAUUCACAAAAUGUUCAUCCUUUGUUUCCUGAGCUAUUCGAUGGUGAGAUUACAUCGGAGUUUUUUGAACAGUAUUGUCACUAUUGCAAAAUGGGUUUGGCUAUUAUGUUUGUUUGUACAAUAUUUUUAACACCUUCACAAUUGAGGAGAAGACCUGAUUGUUAUGUUUGUACAAGAAGACGGAUAUCCAUUGUAACAUUCAAUCUACGAGCUUUUUAAAAAAAAAAUUAGAAUUAUCCUUAGUCAGGUCAUAAUCAUUGGAAUAAAACUUGAUUUGAAAGUCGACUUGUUGUAGGUUAGAUGAGUUAAUUCAAAUCAAUUCAGAUUUUUAUUAAAUGCCCUAAAAUCCUAUAAAGCAACAAGUACCCUAUAAAUAGCCAUUGAAGUAAGAUGAGCCACGCCAUGCAAUUUCAUAAUGACAUUGUUUUGAUGCCAAUACAUCACUUUCAUGGCUACAGAAAAAAUAAAAACCCCCAGCUUGCUUUCAUAUAUGCACUGGUCACAGCAGCAUCACAUGCAAUUUCUACAUGAUUUGACAGUCUAGAUCAUCAGAUCUUUGUCACAUGUUUGAAUGGCAUCCAAUGUUAUUUGUUCUAUCGUGCCAUCUGCGAUCCGGAUCAACCUCAAAAUCCAUUAAUCCAAGUACUUGCAUGGCCAAGCAAGGAAUUUUUCCUGUCCUGGGCUAUUAAAUAAAUAUAUAAAUAUUUUUUAAGAUUAAUUAUUAAUUUAUAUAAAUAAAUUUUUAAAGUUAACAAUAAAGUUUUAAUUCAAAUACACUAUUUAAAAUAUUAAAAAAUAAAUUUAAAAGUACAUAAAAUUAAAAUAAAAGUAAAAAUAAACUCACUAUUAAAGUUACAUUCUUCGAUAUUUUAUGGAAUAUAAUUCAUCUAUAAUCGAAUCUGAAUUGAUAUUGUAACAACUCCUCAACCGGGAUAAAAUAACAAUCUCAUGUUAACUAGAAAACAAAGUAAUUAAAUUUUUUCCUCUCUCAAUUCCUCUUUUCUUCACUUGAUUCUUUCUUAUAUUAGUGUUUUACAAGUUGGACUUUGUAAGUUUACAAAGUUAUUCUUUCAUUUUUCUUAUUUUUUUUCUUGGAUUUUUUUUUAUGUUUUUGCCUUACUUUUCUCUAUUUCUCUCUAACCUUUUCUUUUUUUUAUUUUCCUAUUCUGCUUCUACCCAGUCGGCAACAUAUAAAAGAAAGUAAGAGCUGAUUUAUUUUAUUUUUUAAUGACAAAUAAUCAUUUUACUCUUAAUGAGUCAUUUUGCUUUUAUUUGACGGUUUUUUUUGUUAGUACUACCAAGCUCCAUUCAUCCUAAAAUUUUAACCAGGUUUUAUUCAAUAUAUUUUAAGAUUCCUCAUAAAAUUUCAGCUCAAUCUGAUAGUCGAAUUAAAAAUUACACCCAAUAACGUAAAUCUGGUCAAAUUGUGAUUUUUCAUCAAAUUUAUGAAUUUCUCAAAAAAUUCUAAAAUUUUAACCCAAGUUAAAGCAUCAUAUUAGAAGGCUUCACAUAAAUUUUCAGAAUUUUUUGAGAACUCAAUCGAGAUUUAUGAAUUUUUUUAUAUAUAAAACUAGUAAAAAAUAUUGAUAAAAUCUUGACUUGGACUAAAGCCCACCCUAGCCCUUAACAUACCUCCUCCUGUGCAGUUGCAUAUAUAGUUUUGCAUUCAGAGGAAUUUACAGAUCUGUUAUUCCAAGGAGUACUGGCAAGCAUAUCACAUAUGGCAUUCCAACGUUUAAACAUCUAACGAAUUGAAUCUAUCAAAUCUUUCAUGUAUCUAAUGUGUGUUAAAAUGAUUCUAAAGUUAUAUUGAAAGGUUAAAGCUCCAACGUUUGGAAUUGUAGAAUAAUAGUGAGACCAUCACUAAAUUAUAUAUUAACGAAGAAGAAUUAAUUGGAGCUACAUCAUUAAAAGUGAGGAUUGGAAAUACCAUGGUAUAUAAACAUAAAAAUUGGUAAAUAGUAAUGUAAAUGCAGAUGAAAAAUAUUUCGUCAUUACUUUUUGAUGUAAAUAGUAACAAAAAAUUUAUAUCAAAAAUUUCUAAUGUCAUAUAUAACAACGAAAUAUAUUUUGUUGGUAAUUUUUAAUGAAAUUUUUGACAAAGUAUCAAAAAUAAUAAUAAAAUUAAUAAAUAUCAUCAAUAAUUUCAUUAAAAAAUUGAUACAUCAUUAUUUAGCAAUAGAAUUGCUGAAGAAAAAUUUUCCCAGCAACAUGUUUUUGUCAGUAAAUCUAUUAGGGAUAUAAAUUAUUGAAGAAACAAUACUUGAAAGAAUAUUUCAUUAACGUUUUCCAAUUUUGUUGUAAUGAGUUCAUAACAUAUGAAAGGACCUAGAUAUGCUCUUAAAUAAAUACUGGUAAUUUUAUAUAAGAUAUUAUUAUUGGAGAUAGAUUGACUUAUCUUUGGAGAUAGAUUGACUUAUCUUCGAAGAUGCUGAUUGAGUCUUGGCUCGAAUUGGACUUCUAUUUCAAAAACUGUAGACCUGAAAGAGGAACAUCUGGACAUGAGACGACAACACUAUCAACAUCGAUCGCGUUUCUUAUCGGUACAGAAGCAGAUUUGAAAGCUUUUCUGCAUUUGUCUUACAACAUAUAUAGCCUUGUAACUUGAUGCAUGCACAAGAGCAAGAAAUUAAAUGCAAGAAAAGCAGGGACCAGGGGGUGACCAGGGGGUUAGGUCCAGUGCUUGACCUCAAGUGCCUCGCUUCAACCCCCACGUUAGCGUUUUGAUUUGGUGGGCACUGACUUGUCCAAUAGUUAACCUAAUCCCCACCCAAUAGAACACAAAGCAAGACCCCUUUCUCUCCCUAUCCACAAUCAUCCUCGUUAUUCACAAUUUUGCCUCACGAUGGCUUGUACAAGCUUUUACUUUCUAUAGCACGCCAAUUUGAACAAUCCGUUGGCUGAGGAUUGGUUUUUUACAGCAAGUUGGCAUUAUUGAAACAAUUUCAUUAUAGUUUAUAUUGACUUUGAAUAAAUUCUUAAGCGAUGAGAGAUGGAUGCCACUUGAUCGAAUUCUUAAUAUUGCAUUGAACUCUUUCGAUCGAAUUCUUAUCAAUAUCCUUUUCCUUAUAAGUGUUAUUUGAUUUUAUUAGAUUUGAAUCUCCAGAGAUGAAAUUCAAAAGUGAAACUUCUUCCUUCGUAAUUCCUCCUAUGCAAGAACAUGCUCAUUGAUAUCUUAAAUUUAUGAUUUUUUACUAUAAUGUUUUGAUCUAAGAUCAUGUGACCUAUUUUUCGUUCUUAAUGCAUUAAAAUCUUAAAUUAUUAUAAGAUAAAAGUUGACACGAGACUACAGUUAAUAAGAUUUAUUAAAGUCAGCAUAAUAACAUCAAAUCUAUCUAAAAACAAUAAUUUCUGAAGUUAAGCAACAAGAAAUAGGGAGUCGGUGCAAUUUUCCAAUUUCAAAAGAAAAUUUCCCUUUUUUUCAUUUUAAGAAUAAAAAAAAAAACUAAGCAGGUCUUAAAUAUGAACAGUUGCAAGUUGUCCUGAACCAUGUGUUUUGUUUUUUUAGGCCCAAACAAAGACACAGAUAAAAGCAGGACAUGCACAUAGAAAUUUGCAGGUUAAUUUAGUCUGUCUCCAAAUAGAGAGGAAAGAAAUGAAAAGGUGUGAGCUCUGUGAUUCUUUAGCAAAAGUAUACUGUGAAUCAGAUCAAGCCAACCUAUGUUGGGACUGUGAUGCUAAUGUUCAUAGUGCAAAUUUUCUUGUUGCCAAACAUUCAAGAUCACUUCUUUGUCAUGUUUGUCAAUCUCUCACGCCCUGGACGGGAACCGGACACAAGUUAGGCCCUACCCUUUCUGUCUGCAACAACUGCGUAAACAACUCGGUUUGUAGAGAAGAAAGAGGAAGAGAAGAUGACGAAGAAGGCGACAAUGAUGAUGGUGAUGAUGAUGAUGAUGAUGAUGAUGAUCUUGAUAGAGAAGAAGAUGGUGAUGAAGAUGAAGAUGAAGAAAAUGGUGAUGGUGGUAAUGAUCAUGGGGGUGAAGAUGAUGAAGAAAAUCAAGUAGUUCCAUGGUCUUCUACGCCGCCUCCGCCUGUUUCAAGCCCUUCUAAUGAUAGUGAAGAAUGUUCAAGCAGAUUUUGUGACAGUGAUGGAGGGAUAUCAAAAUCAAGAAGAGCAUUUUCUUCGAAACACAGGCGUGGAACUGUGCCUUAGCCUACUAAUUCUCAUCGGGUUUAGGCUACGAGUCAUCUGUGUUUGAUGUUAAUUUUGAUAAUCAAAAUCUUUCAUCCAAGCCCUUAUAAAUCUUGAAGCGAAAUUGAAGAUUGUAAAGAUAGAACUCUCUCUUCUGAAUCAGUAUCAUGUAGGGUAGCUAGGCUGCUUCUUGUUGCAAGAUAACCUGAAUGUGUUGAAGUCAAGUGAAUCAACUUUUAUGGGUACCUUGAGCUUAAGGAUAGCUAAAAUUUCCCAUGUCACAACAAGCUCAGCAAAUCAAGAACCUGGAUUUGCUGAAUGAUGAUUUUCACUGGAUUGUAAUAGCCAGGUAAUUUUUCUGUAAUAGCGAAGUUGUUAUAACUUGAAUCUUAGAAUGAUCUUUAUUUACUCUCUGAUAUUUAACCUUUCACUAAGACUAUUGUUUGCACUAAUCAUAAGUUCCUGCAAUUUCCUGCAGCAAUGCAUAUAUCUUUCUCCAAACUGAAAUACAAAUUCUAUUGUAAAAUUCUAGCUGCACUAUUCUACAAGUUUUGGUUCAGUUUUUCUUCAAGAAAUUGUCCUAGAUUUUCAAUAUGACAUGAUGGAAUCACCAGGUGUUUGAAUGGUCCAUGUCAAAAACUUCUUCUGUGGUGCAGAUUUCGUCCCCAACUGAAUGUGGGACCCUACUCUAGAAGGAAUGUGGAUACCAUCAUCUCUCUCAUUUACUUAGAGGAAAUGGUUUUGAUUCUUUGACCAACGAAUAUAAACGUAGCAGAUCAUGACAAAAUCCAUUGACUCUGGGGUUGAUGGUGGUAUGCCUUCAUUGUUUCUUUUGCAAGAACCACAAGUUUUGUUGCUGAAGUCCCAGCUGCUGUUCUUUGUUUCAUUGCCUUCCUUUCAAUUUUUUUAUGUGGUAAUAAAAAAAUUGAAUGGUUUCAGGUGAGAUUAGUGCCUCACCUGGGCCACAUGCAUUGUACUAGGAUUUAAAUUAAUAAAAUAUUCAUUCCUGCCAACAGAAGAGGACAUGGUUUCCCAAACACAAAUGAAUAAUCUGCGGCUGCAAGACGGUGAGGAGGGAGUAAUAAUGAUAAUGGAUGUUUUUUUAAUUUUUUUUUGUUUAUAAAUAUAUUAAAAUAAUAUAUAUAUUUUUUUAAAAAUUUAUUUUUGAUAUCAUUAAUCAAAAUGAUAUGAAAAUAUAAAAAAAAAAUUAAUUUUACUUAAAAAAAUUAAAUUUUAACUAUCUCUAUUUAAACUGCAAUCUAAAAUAGACACAAAAUAUCUUCAGAUUGUGAUCUCCACCUGAGCUUAAGAUAAAUCUUCCUAUCUCUUUGUCAUCUAUUGAGAUUUGGCUUAGUUUUUUAUAUUUGUAUCUUUUACUUCAAUUUAAUUUGAGAUUUUCAAGAAAAAAGAAAUAUUUUGAAUCUAUGAUUAGUAAUUUAGAUGGAUGUCUAAACCUGAUAAAAAAAAAUAAUUUGAAAUUAAUAGAGAAAAUUAAUUCGAGGAUAUCAUAGAAAAAUUAUAUGUAUAAAAAUAAUAUAAAUUAAUGCACAACGUCCGACCACAUAAAAUAAGGAUUUAGGAGGUUUAUGUAAGCAGAUUGCAGCUAGAUUAUUGGAGGACAUUAAAAAAUGUUAUUAUGUGAUUACAAUUAUAAUAGUUAAUUAAUUUUCCGACAGCUGAACGUGCGUACCAUAAGCCAUGUUUGAUCAUGGAUAAUUUUCCUCGUGAAGCUUUUUUUAAAGCAAUUUCAGUAUAUUUAAGAACAUGAUGAUGGAAUCACGAGAGUGGACAGUUGAUUGCUUUGUUAAAGGAGAGUUGAUUGCAAUUUAGGGAGAAAUUCUGAAAAAGAAAUCCAUUACUAUUAGGUAAUUUAAUUUAAUGAUAUUUAUUGUCGUGAUAUAUUCUAUAAUUUAAAUAAAAUUAUUAAUUAUCAUCGAAAUUUUAACAUCAUAUAUAUUAAAAAAUCUGAAUAUUUAAAUGAAACUCUAAUAUAUAAUAUUAAAAAAUCUGAAUAUUUUUAAAAAUCUCUUAACUAUAUAUAACUUACUCUCUAACGAUGAAGGCAAAUCAUUAACGAGAAAUAUUUUAUAGCUCAGAAAAUAAUCAUCCACCACCAAGAAUAUCAGAGAUAUUUAUGUCACCUUUCACCUCUGUUGACGUUUUGAUUCUGUUUGUGAUAGCUAUGGAAAGCUGCCAGAAACUGAAUUAUUCAUUUAUUCUUCACGGUGUUCGUGGCCUUUGUAACUUCAAAUGAUAGCCACUUCUUGCUCGAUCGUUAUUCUCUGGAAUAUUAUCACAUAAGAAUUGACCAUGUGAUGCUCUCUUGCAUUGCCCUACUUCCCCUUCGUCACACCAGCAAAGUGAUGCCAGCUUAUUCCACUCGAGCUCGACGUCUCGAUCCAUCAAGGGUCACUCCUUUUAUUGGAUGAGUUUCGAGAAUUCGGUGCUUCAUAAUGCCUUUAGAACUAGGAGGCUGAUGAAAUUGGGAGGGCUCAAUUGAUUAGGUGAAGGAAGAAAUCCAAGAAUGAAUGAGUAAUGUUUGGCAUCUUUCUCUCACUGGUCAAUUUUUGAGGUCCCAAGUAGGUUAUCUUCAUUGAAACAGUGACAAUAAGUCCCUUGUGAAAUGACUUGCUGGAAAAUGAAAUGAGCUCAGUUUCUAGCAAGUUUGACAGUAACGUUUUCUUUAUCUUCUUGAAAGCAUUGCGUUGAGCUUCAAUGUAUAAAAAUCUGAAUCAUGCCAUGCCACCCCCAUUAAUUUGGACACCCAUUUGGGAGUGCAAAUUAAUUGGUCACCGUUUGACAAUAAUUGAUUUUUUAAAAAUGCAUUUGUCUUAGUUAGUGUUUUUUUAUGAUUUUAAUGUGUUGGUAUAAAAAACAAUUUAAAAAAUAUUAUUUUAAUAUAUUUUCAAAUAAAAAAUAUUUUUGAAAGUUACGCUUCACCACAAUAUAUAUCAAACAAUACAUAACUUACUUUUUAUUUGUAAUUGAAUUACAAUUAGAACCGAUCAAACUUGAUCUAUCUACUUGUCAUUGACAAUUUUGUUUUUUAUGACUAACUUAAAUACUUGAUAUUUUAUUUAUAAGGUGAAUGAACUUGUUUUUUAUUAUCAUUUCAGAAUGAAAUUCAAGAAAAGACUGAUAUAUAAAUUUCUUAUGAAUUUAAUUCAUCACUUUGAAUUAGGAUGAUUUACUAUUUAUAAUUAAAUUAAUGUUUUUUUAGUGUUUUUUAUGAUUUUGAUGUGUUGAUGUCAAAAAAAUUAUUUUGAUAUAUUUUUAAGUAAAAAAUACUUUAAAAAAACACUUUGCACCACAAUAUUAAACAACACGUAACUUCCUUCUUAUUUUUAAUUGAAUUACAAUUAGUACUAAAUUCAAAUUUGAUCUAACCACUUGUGAUUGACAAUUUUGUUUUGUAUGCCUAGCAUAAAUACUUGAUAAUGAACUUGUUUUUUAUAUUAUUAUUUCAGAAUGAAAUUCAAGAAAAGCCUACGGAUAAAUAAAUUUCUCAUGAAUACAUCAUUUAAUUCAUCACUUUGAGUUAGGAUGAUCGAUUUACUAAACUAUCUAUAUGUAUAAAAAUUGGUUAAAAAAUUCCUCUCAUCGAGUUACCUUUAGAAUUUAAAGCAAAAAAAAAAAAAAACAGUCUCCAUGCAAAAUAAUAUCUGGAGUCAACUUUGAGGGGAGCAAGUAUUGUUUGUUUUUGCUUGAUAAAAAAAAAAUAUAUUGUUAAGUUGUGCAAGUCUUGCAGGAUUUUAGUUAUAUAAGGUGUGUUUUGUGACUGCGAUGUCCAAAAUCCCUUUAAAAAGCUUGAAAGAAGAGUUUGAUGAUUACCACUGAAAUGGUUAAGAUAUGGAGAGAACGCCAUAUUUGACUGUCGGCGAGCUCACCUCUUUUGACAGAUGAGGAUGAUCGGACUCACGAAACACAUUCUAAAUACCAAAAAAAAGUUAGCCCUAAUUGUAUGGCUUUCCUUCAAACACCAGCUUGCCAAUCUGUACAUGCAUGUUUUCUGCACUGGAUUGCCAUGAGAAUCAUGACUAGGAAAGGGAAUUGAGCAUUUGUUAAGUUUGAAUGAAGAGAAAAAUAGUAGACCAGCUGUGCUCGAGGAUGAAGGCAGCAUUUGGCUGCCACUUCACCGUUAAUCAUGCAGCAAUCAAUCCCAUAUUAAGCAAUGAUUAUGACCCCUCAAUUUUCAAUGAGUUAAUUAUAAUUUGAUUCCACUGUUUAAUGAAAUAAUUAGUUUUUUUUUUUUUUUUUGUUAAGAAUACCCAAAAAAGUCUUGCCUAAAACAAAUCGAGCAAAAAUUACCAAAAUAAAAUAAAUAAAAUUAAAAUUGAAAUCCAAAUCACCACUGAAAGAGAUACACUCGAUCGAUUUUAUAGAGACUAGAAAACUCAAGUCUUUAUUUGCAAUAAAAAAAAAUUACUCAUAGCAUUCUAUAAUUUAGUCGAAAUUAUACUUGCAUAUAGCAUUUUAAAAAAUUACAGUUUGCAUUCUAAAUUUUGAUGCAUAUUUAAUAUAAAGUUUAUAUUUUGUAUUUGACGAGUCUGAAAAUUAAAAUCAAAAAAAAUUAUCUAAUUAUUUACAGAUUUAUCAUUAUUUUUCAUUUUAUAACUAAAAAGUCUUUAUUACGUUAAAAUAAAGAAAAUACCAUGAAAAAACAUAUUUCAUCUUCACUCCAAAUUUGAUGAAUCUACAUUAUCCAUCCAGAUCCAUAAUUAACACUUCACAAUAUUAAAAUUAAGAAAAAAUAAUAAAAACUAAAUGUUAGCUCAUGUCCUUAUUUACAGGCAUCUUGUCAAAUAAGUCCUAAUAGAAAUGAAAACUAGAAUGAUAAAAUUAAACCCUAUAUUAAAACAAAAGCUAAAAAGCUAAAACAAAUCAGUCUUUUACUAUGCACGCACUCAUGUUUCAAUGAAGAUUUCCACAUUGAAAUUAUCAUUUUGUCCAUAAUAAUUUAAGCCUUGUAGCAUGCUUUCAAUAGUAAUAUGGUAUUUUUCACAAAACAUAUUUGCUAUUACAAGAUUAAAUGGGAAUAAAGAAAUCUUUUAAUCUUUUAUUUGCACGUUUUAAUAUCUAAAAUACACUCAAAUGUUGAAUUUCCUUAAAUAUUAAAGUAGGAGUAUAUUCAGUUUUUUCUCUUUCUUGUCACAGUGUAAUUACUAUAGUAUUUUUUGGAGUCAAAUAAUCCAUAGCUAAGAUUAAAGGGGGUUUUGGUCUUUUUGUUAAUAUUGUGUGGGAUUAGGGGCAUUUAGGUAUUUGCAUAAAUUAAACUGAAAAAAAGAGAAAAAAGUUGUUGGCGCGUGAGAGGCACCCAUGCCCUUUGGGUAGCGUGUGCGGCAUCUCUUAACGGUUAAAUACCACAUUCUGAGACGGCGUUUGAUGUGUCUUUUCAUCCCCUUCACAAUGGUGAGGCGCAUGUAGCCACCCCCUGCAUGGUGGAGCUCCGAGGAUUUUUUUUUCCCCCCUCUUUUCUCUCUCUUCAACCUUGAAAAAUUUGUUGCCCUUGCAAAAACUCAGAAAUGUGUGUUAUUUGUUAAUUUUAUUAUAUUUAGUCCUCAUUAUUUUAAUUAAGUCAGAUUUGAUUUCUUUGUUUUUUAAUUUUUUUCAUUUGAUUUUUAUAUCAAAUUUGUCCUUUGUUUUUAUAAUAUUUCAAGUUUAGCCCUUAAUGUUUUUACUUCUAAUUUUGAUUCUUAGUUCUUUUAUCAAAUUUUAAUUUUUUCAAUUUUGUCCUUAGAUCCAUAAUCUUGUUUUUAACUUUUUCAUGUUUGAUCUUUAUUCUCUUGAUUUUUUUUUUUGUAUUACUUUGUGAAUUUGAUUUUCCUUUUCAAUUUUGUCUUUAAUUUAAAAUUUGACGAUAUUUCAGGUUUAACCCUCAAUGUUUUGAUUUUUAAUUUUGAUUAUUGGCCCUUUUAUCAAAAAAAAAAUUCAAUUGCUUUCUUAGAUCCAUAAUCUUUAUAUAUUAUUUUUUUAAUUUAGUCUUAAUUCUCUUGAUUUGUAUUUUGGAUUCAUUUGUUAAUUUGAUCUUUUUUUUCAACUUUCCAAUUCAAUUAAAAAUCUUAGGUUGUCCUCUCGUUUUUUUUUUUUUUUCAAAUAAGGUUCUUAUUCUUUUAAUUGUUAUUUUUAUCCUUAUAUUUUUUUUUACUUCAUUAUUCAACAUUUGAUUUAUUGAGAUUUGGCCUCUUUGAUUUUUCCCAUUGUUUUUAAGCACGAUCUAAGAGUCAAUCUAGGACAAGUACUAAGUCACAGGUUGAGUGGGUUGAUCCGAGUUAAUUCAAGUCAACCAAAUAUUUUUAUUUUAUAAAUAAGUAAAAAUGAUAUCAUUUUGAAAAUAAAAAAUAAAAUUAAAAAAAAAAAUCAACGGGUUUUGAGUGGACUUGCUUCAGGUUAACCGGGACAUGGGUCAACUUGGUUUUUUUACCAUUUUACACUGGAUCAAUUCUCCCCUAAUUUCUUUUGAAACUCGACCCGAUCUAAUCCCUAGGUCAUUCAGGUCACAGGUCAACCUGUCGGAUCGAGCCGAGUUUUAAAAUAGUAGUUUUACAGAUACAGUGCUUCCGAUUUAGUCACUUGUUAGGGUCAUGAGUUUGAAAAAUAAACACUGGUUGACAUCUUUAAUAUUUUUACCGAUUACAUCCUUUGAAGUUAUUCGUUUUAAAAAAUAAUUUUUUUUUUCCUUUCAAUCAGGUUAUCCUUAUUUCAUGAUCAAGUUUGGCUACAUGUUCCACACUUUAGGCAUAUGACAAUCUGCAGCAACUCUAGAAGGUAAAGUAAAAGGCUUAGAAGGGCCUUGGUAAGGUGAUAAAUCCUCCACAUUAAAAGUGGGAGUAAUAUUCAUAUCAUUAGGCAAAUCAAGGAAAUAAGCAUUAUAUCCAAGUUUAUAUAAAAUAGAAAAGGGAUCAACAGCCCGAGUUUUUGGUAAGAGUUUUUGAGAAAUCUCUCAGGACGAAGAUGAAGCAUGACAAACUUACUCACAUUGAAUUACUUAUUUCUACAAUGCGUAUCAAAAGAAAGUUUAUAAUUUUCAGUACUUAAUGCUAUCUUCCACCUAAUCACAGCACAUAAACCAUGGAUUUGCUGGGCAAAAGACUCAGCAGAUGCAAAAGUGCAGAUAUCAGGUGGAAAUGGAGAAUAACCAUGAACAAUUUUGAAAAGGAUUUUACUAAUUGAACGAUCGACAAAGUAAUUAUGAGCGAACUCAAUAGCUAAUAAAUUUCUUCCCAACAAGACAUCUAAGCAAAUCACCCAAACUAUGAUCAACCAUAUGAGUAAUUUGUUGAUGGAAAAUAUCCAAACAAUUUUCAUAAUGUUUUUAAGAAAUAGUUAACAAAUUUCACAUCCUUUCAAACACAAUAGAAGAAGUUAAACCGUGUAAUUUAACAAUUUUUCUAAAGAUAUUUUAAAACGUGAAGCAUCAUCAAAUAUUUUAUUACAUAAAAUAAAAUAUUUCAUUUUAAAAAACAUAUCAACCAUACUAAAAUAGAGUAUGAUAUUGGGGAAUUUCUUUCAUAUUCUUGGCAUAAUAAUGUUUAUUGCAAUAUUUUAUUGAUAGUUAAGAUUUUUAGAUUUUGAAGAGUUUAAGAAAAAUUCAAUAUGUAGCUUGAUAAAUCAAGUAUAACUUCUAAUUCGACCGUUAGAUCGAGUUGAAAUGUUAACAGAACAUUUUGAAGGCCCUAUUUCAUAUUGGUUUAAAAAUUUCAUAAUUAUCAGAGAUCAAGAAGGUCUUCAAAUAACACUUGGAAGCUACUAUAUAAUAUUAUCUUCAUAUAACCUUGUUAUAUUCUUGGCAUAAUAAUGUUUAUUGCACUAUUUUAUUGAUAGUUAAGAUUUUUAGGUUUUGAAGAGUUUAAAAAAAAAAUUAAGAUGUAGCUUGAUAAAUCAAGUAUAACUUCUAAUUCGACUGUUAGAUCGAGCUUAAAUGUUAACAGAACAUUUUGAAGGCUUUAUUUCAUAUUGGUUUAAAAAUUUCAUAAUUAUCAGAGAUCAAGAAGGUCUUCAAAUAACACUUGGAAGCUGCUAUACAAUAUUGUCUUUAUUUACCUUUUUAUAUUUGAAUUUCUUUUCAUUUUGAUUACGACUUUUAAUUUAAUUAGUAUUUUACUAUUUAGGAAUACUAAUGCUAGAUAAAUUCUACUAGUUAUGUAAAUUUUAAAUAGAAAUUAUUUUCUAUGAAGGAUUUUAUUUUUAAUUAAGAAUCAUUUUCUAUAAAAGAUUUUAAAACUAAUACAAAUAGGAUUUCAAGUUUAUUUUAAUAUGAAGAUUAUUAUUGAGAUUUUAUAAAACACUGGAUAAUUUUCUCUAAAUUUCUCAAUAGUUAGGUAUGAAACCUUAAGACUUAAAAGUUCUAAUUUUUAUCCAUGUUAUAAGUCAUGUCAGUUGAUAUCAAAGCAGAUAGGCCUUUUUGAUGAAUGGAAACAGUAACAACGCACUUCACGAUGUAGGAGUGGAGGUCCUUUGGAGCAUUGUGCGGGCUCAUGAGCAAAAACUAGAUCAUUGGAAAAAGAGGUUUGAUCGAAUGGAGCAAACCAUAAUAGAUCUAGCUCACCUAAUGGGUAAUGCAAAGAGUGAUCGUGAAGAGAAAAACUUGCAUGGAGACUUAUCUCAAGAUAGGCAAAAUCCUAGAUCUAUUUCUCAAUUUGAUGAGAUUUCAUUCUAUAAUAGAAGAUUUUUGAAGAAAAUUUUUUUUAAGUGAUUGACAAAGUUGAAAGUUUAUUUUUAUUUCAACAAGUUUCUUAUUGUCGUACACAAUUUUUUUUGUGGAGCUAAAAAAUAAUAAUUUAAAUUUCUAGAUUUUAGAUGAAGAUAAUCAGAUCAUUAUUUUGAAUAGAAAGUAUAAUAUGGAUCUUUCUUUCAUAUGUAAAUUAAAUUUUGAAGUUAUAAUAGUCUUAUUAAUACAUGCUACUCGAAAAGGAAUUGGAAUUGGAUGUUUUUCAACUUUCAAAUCCAACAUUUCUCUAACAAUCUUAAGAACCACAUUCAUUGGUAAUUCCUCCAUCAAUCACCAGCUUUCAAGAUCGAUUGUCACUCUUAAUAUAUGUAUGGAAAAUGCCAGUACGUCUUCGUUCAUCAUCACUCAUAAGAGUAGAUAAACAUGCUGGUCAUCUUCCUCCAGACCAUCUUCACAACAAUUCUCAUUUCCAGAGAACUUUAUAGGAUCCAUAACUUGGUUCUCGCGCUUGUAUUUGUCAUUAUCCUCGUAUUUCUACUCUAAAACUAAGGUGCGAUUUAAACAAUCAGAUAUGAACAGAUAAAGGCUUGUUAUUUUCUUUAUAUCACCCCCAAAAACCAUUGAUAAGUCUCCUGAGAGAAAGAAAAGGAUCCUCGUGUAACUCACGACUAUAGCUAGGAAGAUAUCUCUUUCAGCUUUUGUUUCGUAACAUCCCACCGACUUGUAAUUUCUCAUUCAGAAUUAUACCAACCCUUACUGACUUCAUUCUAUAUUCAAAACCAUGACUAACUUAACUAUAUUAUAUUUUAUUCUUGUUUAAUUUAGCAGGUCAUUAAUUACCUGCCUGUUCAAGCUCUAAAAGCUGUUCAUUUCCCAAUCAGUUCACAUAUACUAAAACAUAUUGGAAAUAAAGAAAACCAAAUAUGCAUACAAGUAGAUGAGGUUCUUAGCAGAUAUUUCACCAGUCCAUCAAAAAAGGGCAACCUAUUUACACUAAGACCUCCAAAGGAACAGUUCAUCAUCACCGAUCCAUCAUCCAAACUACACAUUUAAGUAAACUGCACAUUUCAAAAGGUAGAGUAUUAAGCUGACAGAGAACAGUACUACCAAGCAUUUUUCAAAGACAUGAUCAUGCAACCAACAGGACGCAUGGAACAUCUCAUCUAUCCUUUCAAGAAGCUGCAGCCAUGUCUGCAAGACACAGAAAAGGUUGUUAGAAUUUAGCCUUAACGCAAGAGAAGGAAUACUGAAAUCAACUUUCUUAUAAAUACAUCAUGUUCUUAUAUUUUUGUCCAUUAGAUAUGAGGGUAUGUAGUCUUGAAUAGAGAAAGAAAGAAGUAUUUGGAACUUUGAUUCUAUUACACUCAUGGAAUUGCAAUUUUAACCUCCAAGAUGGUUUCCAUCAUGGAUUCAUGCAGCGGUAUCAGAAUCCUCCUGUUGGUCUCAUGAUAAUGAGCUAACCCAAUACAACCCAACAAGGGAAUCGAUAAAAUCAUGGAACUUUGAAGUGCUUCCCAGCAUAACUGGUAGUCUGGUAGCGGUAGCAUAUAAAGAACUUGAGAAAGGAUGUUCUAGUUAAGACAUUGAGAAGAAUAGUCAUUGAAGCAGAUGCAUAUAUCAUGAUGGAACACUAUACAACCACACGAGAAAUGAAUCUAAUGUUAGCAUGAAAAGUUAACUUAGAACAACUUGAUUUACUGGCUUUUCAGGAGUUUAAAUGAGUUCGGACGCUACAUUUUGCUGAUAGCCACUUUGAUGUUUGUGAAUAAGCUCGUAUGUAUUUAAACCCAGCAGGAAGUAACAGGCUGGGUGAUAAUAUCACGACCACCAGUUAAUUGUUAAGAAACAUAUGAACCCAAAAUCUUAAGCUAUUAGGUAAGACCACCAGUUAAUUGUUAAGAAACAUAUGAACCCAAAAUCUUAAGCUAUUAGGUAAGGCCCCAAAAUAUGAUUUAUAUUAUUUUCCAACAUUAAACUACAAGGAAAAGUAGUUCCCAACCAAAUAAGCCCAUAGAAUCUCUCUCGAUAUUUACCAGCAGUCUCUUCGGGCCACCACAACUAUCUUCCUCUGCAAUCAUUUGUCUCUCUUGUUCGCUAUUCAUUUAUGUGGUCCAUUAGAGAUGGUGGUAAAAAGAAACAAGCUAAAGAAAUUAAGGGGGACAAAAAAAGAAGAAGAAGCCAACAAUCAUAAAGAUGACUAUAAACACAUGUUUUGAUAAUUCUGGCACACAACAAUGUUGGGUUCUAAGGCAGAAUUAUAUACUAAAUGACAAUUAUUCCACAUAGACAAACUCUCUAUGCGGUCUAGAGAAUAAUAAAUGCUCUGAAACAAACACAAAUCUCUCUUUUAAACUUAAUAUAUGAUAAACACACCCAUUAAAGGAAAUAUUAGAUGAGCAAACUCUCUUAGAUGACAACUUUUUCCUAGGCAUGCUAACUACAUCAACCAUUCCUGAUAGUGUCCUCACUUAGAAAAGAAAACUGCUAUUGGUGAUAGUAAUAGGAUUAGAUCCUUCCAGUACCAAGCUGAAAUCAACAACACCUAUAGAAUAUGCACAUUCAGGUCCUGGUAUGCCAGAGGUACUUUUGGCUUUAGCUACAUUGUAACUCAGAUUUGAAAUUACCAUCAAUGCUUCACCAUCACUUAAUAGAAAACCACCUGAACCCACCCACCCCCAAGCAUCCCUCCUAAGCUAAACAUGAAAGAUGUACACCUGUCAUGUGUAUCACAACCAAAUUCAAUUUCAAUGAGAAGCACUAUAUCAAGCCUUGAAUGCUACUAACUUUUCCAUCUAUGUUAAAAAUGGAAGACAGAAUGUCUUAAUCCAUGGAAUUAGCAAAUGUUUUUCAUUUUUCAUCCAAUGCUCAGUCAAGUUUCUUAGGUCACCCAAGUGAUUAUUAUUGACACAAGCUAAUAUAACGAGAUAUAAGUUCAAAGACCAAUAUUCUUCUAGCUAACAGCCCUUGAUCAACCCAAAAAUUGAAUGCAUCGAUAGGGAUAUGUGCCACAAGUACAAAGUUUUCAUUUUGAGAAUGUAGUUGGAGUUUGUCAGUGUUGUAAAUUGAAAGAAAAAAUCACAUAUACAACAGUUCUCAAACACUAGCAGUAUUUAUCACUGUACAAGAGAAAAUGCUAGUUGAUUAAAACUAAAAGGCAGACUGGUGACAUUGAAUUCCAAGAAGUUUAUGAAGUAAAUUUAAAGGUCAAAAAGUUUGAUGGUAUUUGAACAAGAACCCUAAAGUUGCAUCAUUGAACUAAGCAACUAAGACUUGAAACAUGGAAUGUUCCCUAAGUUGACACUUUAUGAAUUUAUUUGGUGAAUAGACUGAAGGCCUGGAAUUACACAAGGGAAAAGGCGAUUGAAAUUAGGAUAACACUCCGGCAAUGAAAGAGGCAGAGCAAAAGAAAAGGGAAUAUAUGAAUUAUGCCUUUAACACAACACCACUCAUUAAAAUAACAAAUAGGCUCCUACUGAGUUGCGUGAAAAAUAAAACAUGCUGAACCUUACCUCAAUGGAAAUGACAGAUGCAGAAGCAGUUGGAUUUAUUCGAAACGCACUAAAUUAAAAAAGACACAGAAUCUAAGGUUGUCUUCUUCUUUCUUAGUUCUCAUCAAAAUAAAACAGCCAAAUUGGCAGAAACAGAAGUUCACAGCAUUGACAAGUAGACCAUUGUACACGGUGCAAGUAGUGUGAUGCUGUAAGCAAACAUCAAAAUUCUAUGAAAGAGUAACUAAACUGGUCAUAGUUUGAUAUUAUUCCUUAAUCAUCUGUUGAAACAAUAAAUGCAGAAGCAUAACGUUCAUCAAGUUGAUUCUUGCUUGUCGUUUGAAAAGAAAUCUCUCAAGUUCAUUGUUAAAUAUAAAAAAAUCCUCUAAAAACAUGUUACAUGUAUUUUCUUUUAGUGCACUAUCCUCUAUAUAAAUCAUCACCAUUGAUGUUGCUGAAUCAAGCUGUUCUGGAAUGGUAAUAAGGUAUGGGUUGACACAAAGGAAAAGUAUUAAUAUCCAAGAAAGACCCCAAAAAAACUAGUAGUAACAACAAAAAAGUCUUUCACACCAAUAUCAUUUAUCACUGAUCAGAAAUCAUCCUUAGCGUCGUCCUAAGCACCCAAAUCAAAAUCAUUACCAUUAAGAGGAAAAAAAGCUCUGUUUCAGUGGCCACAUUUAAAGGAAAUUUCACUAUUCAAUGCACUCUCAUAGUCAUCUGCACUAUCAAUCUUGCAUGAGAUUGCCUUUAUAAUCAUAAAGAUGACAAUAUGGAGCUAAAAUGGAAACAAGCUUUGACUGAAUAAUCACAUACAAUGAUCUAAACCUAAACGGAAAGAAACUAAACUGAAGAAACUAAUGGCAUAAACUCAAGAUAUAUUUCUUCUGCUAACAAUCAUAAAGCUGAUCAUACUGAUAAACCAUGUAAUUACCAACUCAAAGCACCAUUCGGCUUAAAACACAAGAACUAACCAAUGAUCGCACCUAAUGAAAAGACCAUUAGCCUUAAUGACAUUAAUCAAUCCAAGAGAAUCAUAAGCCAAUUAAGCAUAACAAAACAACAAACAAACUCAAACCUGAUUGUUUACCAUCCAUGUCGUGCUCUUCCUGCUCCUCCUCCAUCACCGUACACAACGUCGCCCCACCGUCCCUCUCUGACUCCUCACCAGCGCCACCAUCUUUCUCAUCAGGAAACCUCACAACAAUAACAGGGCAAACGCAAUGAUGAACACAAUAAUCACUAACACUCCCUAACCUCCCUUUACUACUCUUCCUUGAAGCACCAAACCCUCUACUCCCCAUUACCACAGCACUGAACCCCAACCUCUCAACCUCCAAACAAAGCCUUUCUUUCAUAUCAUGAUCCUUCACAAUAUGAAUUUUAAAGGGUAUGUUUGCAUCAACAAGAGGCUGUGCUAUAUCAUUAGCUUUGGUGCUUGUAAACAGAUUAAAAUCCUCUUCAAUCUUUUGCUGAUUCUCUUCAUUUUGAUCAUCUAGAUUGUAAUUCUCUUUAAUUGGCAACGAACCCCAAUCAGCACCAUAAAGAACAUUUGUGGGGCUAACAUGGACUAAGAUCACUGCAUCACCAGCACGUAAGUAGUUUUGAACAGCCCAUUUGACAGCAAAAGCACUUUCAUCACUGAGAUCAACAGCAAUUCCUAUUCUUCUUUGAGCACCAGUUGUUGGAGUGGUGACAUGUAAACGUGGGGAAGGGGGUUGGACUUGAACCACCACGGCGGAUUCUGUUGGUGGGUUUUUCUUAGGUGAUGGUGAAGAUGCCAUAGCUGCUGCAAAACAGGAAAAACAAGACACAAAAGCGAAUAAACAAGUGCUCUGGCUUCUGGGUUUCUGUUUUUGUGGAGUUUGAGAAGGGUAUAUUUGGGAGAAGAAGCAAACUGUGUUAGAAAGAUUGGUACUUUGGCUGUUUUUGGAGAUGGGGAGAAGGAGGAGGAAAGGAAGGUUCUUUGAGUUUGGAUGUGAAGGACAAGAGAACUGUUACGAUGACAAGUGGAGAGGUGGCCGUACUUUGGUUUGGAAGAAGUAAAGAGGUUUUGAACUUUUGAUCCACAGUAUACCCUUUGGAUGCUUCUUGAUUAGAUUUGGGUAAAUAUAUAUUUUUGACCUUAUAGAUUUAUCAAUGUUUCACUAUUGUCCCCAUAGUUUAAAUUCUCUCAAUGUUAUCCUUAUAGUCUUUAAAAUGGGUCUCAAUUUUUCUCUUUAUUUUUUUUAAUUUUUGGAUUAGUAUGUCCAAUUUUAUUAAAUAUUUUACAAGAUGAGACUGGAUCUUGAGAUCUCAUUCUUUUUACUAACACAUUGUAAAUUUAUUAUUAAUUAAUAGCCCUUUGAUAGUAAAUAAUUAUCAAAAAGGUGAUUUUUUUCAUAAUUGCAUUUUUUUUCUUUUUUUUCUAUCUCAAAUCUCCAAUAAUGUUAUAAUAUACAUAGAAAAAAUAAAAAAUAAAUUCAGAAAAAUAAGCUAUUUAAUGGUUAGGAUAAUAUUGUAAAUAAUGUUUUUGAUUAAAAUGUGAAGAAAUCACUUUUAAUUGAAUCUAAAAAUUAAAAAUUAUAUUAUUUUAGAUUCAAUCAUGUUUUUUUAAAAAAUUAAAAAUUAAAAUGCUAAUAAUUCAGGGUUAUGUUGGAAUGCAAUAAGUUUUUUAUAUAUAUUUAUUUAAAAUAUAUCUAUAGAAAUUACAUAUUUUUUUAUUCAAUCUAAUCAAUUCAGGUCAAAUAAAUCAUUUUUUUCAUCCUCUUAUUGCUCGCUAGUACCCAAACUAAAUAAUUUUUUAAAGAAAUAGAAUUAUUAUCAUGCACAAAAUUACAACAUAAAAAACUAAAGCAUAAAAUAAUAAUUGGUCAUCCCUGAAUUGUAAUAUUAUUAUAAAAUAAUUUUUUUAAAUAAAACCAGGAAAUACAAUCUCUAAACAUGGAUAUGAACAACAAUAAUAAAUAAAAAAUAAUAAAAAUAUUGAGUGUGUGAUGGGAUGAGAGAAGCUCUCACCCAACUUUAAUAAAACCAAAUCAAUUUUAUCCAUAAUUGGCUUUAAAAAAAGUGUUUAAUUAGUUUCCUAAACUAAAUACGGUUUAAAUCCCAAUUAGACGUCGUCGUUUAGAAAACCUAGACCAAAUGCAGUGUCGUUCGUUCAGUUCAAGCAACGGUCGAAUAUUUUUUGAAUUCUCUGAAUUUCUCUUCCACUAUAUAAAUCCAGACUCUCUCUCUCUCUCUCUCUCUCUCUAAAUCUCAACAUUUUUCAAUUUCUUCAAAAGAAAAACUCUCUCUCUCUCUCAAGAAACAACAAUUUUGUUUUAGCCAUUCAAAUUCUCUUUAUGAAAUUUGAUUUUUCAUGUGAUCAUACGAAUUUCAAAUUCGCUCAAAGGGAGAGUGUUCAUGACACUCAAAUUCUCUGUAAGUACUCGUCUCUCCCUCUCUCGCUAUAAUUAUACAAUUUGUUCUCAAAGGGAGAGUGUCUUUAACAUCUUGUGAUUUUAUGAUUUGUUUUGAUCAUAUUUUAGUGAUUUGCAUGUAAACUUUGUCUCGUUUCCCUGUUUGAUUUCUUGAAUCUAUUAAGGGAGUGGAGAAUUUUCAAAGUUGAUGUUUUUUGGAUCUUUUAGAUUUCAAGGUGCUUAUAUUCUUCACUAUUCAGACAGCGUUUCAGUUGUAUCAGUAACCUUCCCUUGUAUGGUUGUAUUACUUCAGGGAGAUAAGUAGAUCCCAAAAGUUAAGUUGCAGUGUUGGGAUGGACUAUUCCUUGUUCUUCUACUAUCUGUAAUAGUAUAGAACUGUAAUGUCUUUUAUAGUUGUAUACCAGCAGUUUCUAAUUUUUUCGAUGACUUGACUCAGGAUUUUUUCCCUUUCAGUGAAUUAUACUUGAAUUACUUUUGGUAUAUUUUUCUUGCCAAGUUUACACGGUGCUUUGGGAUCUCAGCAUUUUCAUUGUUGGCAAAGAUGAGUAUGAUGAACUUGCUGUAAGUUAAACAUUAUCUCUUUUCUAUACUUGUUUGUGCAAGGAUGCUAGUUUCUGCUUGAUACUGAGAUCAUUUUGAGGUUGAAUACUAUCCAGCUUGUGAGGCUCUGGGCUACAUCUUUUAGUUUAAGACUCGCUAACUGAGUGUCAGUUUCUUCUUUGUUGACAUGAAAUUUCUGGCAUGCUCUGAUGUCUGCUUAGCCUGUCAUUAAUCACAGCCUACCAUAUUCCUAAUGAUGCAUCCAGUUCCUGUGCACCAAGUACCCCUUCUUCUGAAGGUUACAUGGACAGUUUGGGUGUUAUAGAAAUAGAAUCAGCUCAACCUAUUUAAAAUAUACUUUUGAAUUGCUUGUUUCCUAGAUUUGUGGUUCGUACGAGUCUUAACUUUUCAAUCUACAUAUUGCAUGUAAUUAGGUCGUUAGUUUUUGAAACGUGAAGGCUCCCUUCUUGCAUUAUUAUACAGUACUGCCCCUAAAAUCUAGGAAGCUUUGAAGGCCUUAUGGAAUUCUGCCUUUCACAAAGAAGAACUUUGUGGUUAUCUUAGCAGUGGAAGGACCAUCAACACAUUUUAGGUGGACCAUUGGUUCCUUCGUGAAUUCCAUGAUGUUUCUCUCAUCAUUUCCCACCAUCAUUGUCUUUUUAUGCUUAUGACACUUGAUUUUUUUUUCCAGCGGUGGUGGUUUUAUAUCAUUGUAGAAUUUGUUGUUCUUCGAUAGGAAUUUAGAAGUACCUUGUUUUGCAACCGUAGUCAAUGCUCUGUUGCUUUCUCAGUAGUCUUUCUAGAAGGUUUUUUAGCUGACAUGGAAGCUUGGACCAUUAUAUUACAUUUUUUUAUUUAUUGAACUCAACUGUAUUUAAGAUUAGCUUAUUAAGGUUGCUCUAUCUCAUGGAAUUUGUAGUUAUACUUGUACAAAUUCAACGGUCUGAGUCAUGAAUAUGUUGAUUUCAUGACGAACCUUUCCACUCCAACAAUCUGUAAGUUCUUCAUGGGUGUGUAAGAGAAAACUUUUCCCAUAAGAAUCUUUUGGUCUUCAUUCAUAGUGUCAGUUAGUGGUUCAAAACUUAUUUACCUUUUGUCUACGGAUUUAUUGAUAGGUCUUUGGCAACGAGACAAGAUGCAGAACCUUGGAAAAGGUUUAUGGGCAGAAGGUAAUUGUUUCUUGGUGUAUUAUUCCAUACAUUUUGCUUUCAUCUUGGAAUUUAUCUCAUUGUAGUAUCUUCACCUAAUCACGCUAAUACUGCUGAUGAAGUUUCUGUAAAGAUUCUAAUUUGACCAAGGCAUUGGAGACACAUAGUUAGGUGGAUUAUGUUAUUACACAAAGUUCAAAUGUUGUUGUAGGCUCUGAAUAUGGGUGGCAAAACUUAUACCUAUAAAGAAGCUAGUUGAUGCUAUUGACCAAGGUACGCUCUCUUGUUCCAUCAAAUCUUUUCAAUGUUGAAACUGACAAUUAUUUUGAAAUGCUAACUUCAGUAAGAAUUAUUUCACAAUGUUUGAAGUAGUUAGUUGAUGCUUGUAUUUUAGUUGUGCCCUUCCAUCCCAAAUAGAAAUUUAGGCCCUUUCCUCCUUGGUGAUCUGGAAUGUACAAAAAGAUAGCAUUCUCUGAGCUCUUAUACAUUCAGUGUUGUAGGCUGCUGUUAGCUUCAAUAUUCUUGCAAUCAUAAGGUUAUUACAUUUUCUUUCUUUUUUUAUUGGGCCAUAACCGUAGUUCUUAAGGGAAAAUUUUAGUUUGUGUCUCAAUAGAAAACUUGGCCAAGUUUUUAGGUAGCACAUCCAAUUUUCUAGAAUAUGAUCAGAAUUCAUCUUCACCAAGGAUAGGACUGGCUUGUUUUUUGUUUCCUCUGUAUGAUUUUAGCUUUCGAUAGGAUUUGGGGUGUUAGUCUUUCCACACAUGCUAUUUAGAGAAUGUAAUGAAGAGUAGGAGCCCAAGGGCGUUGGUGUUCAAUAGGACUGAGCAGGAUUAGAAUACAAGCUUCUCUUAGUCGGAUUACAAUCAAUCAAGACAGGUCAAUGAAAUGUUGUCCCUCACAGGGAUUUUGUGAAUGUUGUGUGUGAAAUAUCAUAAAGUUGCAGCCUGUUAUGUACUCAUUUCAUUUUUCUUCCCAAUUUAAGCAUAUGAUUAAGCUUUUCUGUUUGCAUGGAGCUUAUUAUCAAUUGCAUUGAAUGAGCUAUUUUUUUUAUAUGAAUGUCCAGCUCAUAACCCUCUUUGGUUUCAAAUAGUUGGUCUUGGUUGACUUGAUUUCCAUGUAUUCAGAAUCUGUUUGAAAUUUGUUCUUUGUAAAAAAUGCAGUAGCAGCUAGCAGGAUCUUCGUUUAGCUUCUAGCCUUGAAACUUUAAGUAAAAGAAAUGCACAAACGUCAAAGAAAUCCAUCAUCUUCUUGCAUUAAAGAAAGGGCGAUGAAAUCUCAUCUAUUUGUUUUAUUUAUUUAUUUAUUUUUGUAGAUGUGGUCCAUUCAUCAAUUGCUUGUAGUAAAAUUAUUUAUUUCUUUUCGUAGUUUGAGUGUAUUUUAAGUUAGCCUCCCCAGUUGUGACAGCGGUACAGAGCACUAAUGGGACAUUGUUGAAAUUUGUGGCGGCUGCCGCCGUGGCGGCCACAGAAUAUUCUAAUCAAUAAAAAAUAAAAAACAAUUACAAAAAUUUACAUCAAAAUCUAAUAUUAAAAAAUAAAAUUAAAAAAAAAUCAGAUUAUUAAACUGUCAAACUUAAAAAAAAAAAAAAAAAAAAAAAAAACCAAAACAAUUACACAAAAUAUUAUUUCAAGAUUUAGUCGAACGCUUUAAUUUUUUUGGUUACAAGCCCAUGCUUUGGAAAGAUUAGAUUAACUAAAUACUCUUAAAAUAAAAUUUAUCAUUAUUUUUUUUUUUAUAUAAUCCCAAGCAUAAAAUAUACUCUUAAAAUAAUUAUGAAAUGCCCUUAAAUUAAAAACUAAAUAAUCAAAAUAAUAAAAUAAAUAUUAAAUAAAUAAUGCCUCAAAUCUUUAAAUAUUUUUAAGGUGAGCAACAAAUUAGUAGAAGAAUUAAAUGAUUGAUGCUUUAAAUCUUUUAAAAUUUGAAAGGUUGACAAUAUUUGUUUUUGUAAUUUAAUCAUAUUUAAAAAAAAAUGCAAAUAAAUCAGAUUAGGUUGGAAUGCGUAAGUUUCACAUAUACACAUAUUUGUUAUUUAAAAUACAUUUAUAAAAAUCACAUGUUUUUUUUUUAUUCAAUCCAAUCAAAUGGGUCAAAUAAAUAACUUUUUUCAUCCUCUAAAUACUCACUAAUACCCAAACUAAUUAAUUUUUUAAAGAGAUAGAAUUAUUAUGAUGCACAAAAUUCCAACAUAAAAAACUAUGGCAUAAAUAUAAUAAAUCUUCAUGCAUGAAUUGUAACAUUAUAAAAUAAAAUCUUUAAAUAAAAGCAGGAAAUACAUCUCUAAAUAUGGAUAUGAACAAAAAUAAUAAAUAAUAAAUAAUAAAAAUAUUGAGUGUGUCCUUGAUAUCUUGUGAUUUUAUGAUUUGUUUUGAUCAUAUUAUAGUGAUUUGCAUGUAAACUUUGUCUCGUUUCCCUGUUUGAUUUCUUGAAUUUAUUAAGGGAGUGGAGAAUUUUCAAAGGUGAUGUUUUUUGGAUCUUUUAGAUUUCAAGGUGCUUAUAUUCUUUCAUUUAAUUCUUACUUUUAAAGAAUUAGGAUUAUAAGAACAAGAAACCCUUUAAUUGGUUAGAUUUUAAUUUCACUUUCUAUUUAAUGGGGUUUGAAUUUUUUAAAUUGGUUUCUCAUUUUCUUUCAAAAAAUUAGUUGUUUUUUUCUAAAAUUUGAAUUUCUGUUUAUGUUUGUGUUGUUAACCUCUGUCCAUAGCAAAUGAAUUAUCCAAGUAUCGUUUGUUUGAGCCUUCUGCUGCCAGAUUUUGUUACCUAUUUGCUAUCAACAAAAUUGUUUGCAUGCUAAUUAUGUCAAUUGGGAGUUGGAAACUGAAAUGCUAAAAAAUUUAACCUUUCCCAAUUUGAUUUAUUUUAAGUUGAAAAUGAGUACUUGCAUUGCGUAUCUUUCAAUAGAAAAUGAUCUUAAAAAAAUGGAACUCAAUGAAACAUGUUUUCUUUCUUCCUUAUCAUUUUCAUGGUUUGUUUCACAUUUAUUUGAGGUGGUUUUUGGUGUCAUGAAUAAUAGAUGUUCACUGUACACUUCAAAUGGUGGUGCGGCAUACAUGUAUAUAUGAAACUUUUGUUUUUGCAAAUUAUGAAUCCUGGAUUUGCUCAUCUUAUAGUAUCUACUCUCAGUUUGCUACGUGGGAAACACAGUUUUUUGCUAUCCAGUUCAUAAAUUUUAGUCUAGUCGUGUCUGCUUUAAAGCAAAUUGUGUAACUCUGAUAAUAUGAAGAGGCAGUUCUUCAGGAUAGUAUAGGCAACGGUUGCUAUUGCAAAUUAUGACUCAUUGAUCAGUAUAUGUUAAUUCUUCAACAAUCCACUUCUCGGUUGCUUGUUGGGUAUAUCAUAUUUCUUAUAGUAUUCAAUCCAUAAAGUAUAUUACGGAUGAGUCAGCUUCGCCACAAUUUUUCCGGUCUCUUAGUUAAGGUGCUAAUAGGCAGUUCAAAAGUUUCACCAAGAAAAGCAGAACUAAUUAAAAUUCUUUGAUCAGUUAAUAUUAAUUCUUCAACAAUCCACUUCUAGGUUGCUUGUUGGGUAUAUCAUAUUUCUUAUAGUAUUUAAUCCAUAAAGUAUAUCAUGGAUAAGUCAGAUUCGCCACAAUUUUUCCAAUCUCUUGGUUAAGGUGCUAUUAGGCAGUUCAAAAGUUUCACCAAGAAAAGCAGAACUAAUUAAAAUUCAUUGAUCAGUUGAUGUUAAUUCUUCAACAAUCCACUUCUAGGUUGCUUGUUGGGUAUAUCAUUUUUCUUAUAGUAUUCAAUCCAUAAAAUAUAUCACGGACGAGUCAGCUUCGCCACAUUUUUUCCAGUCUCUUGGUUUAGGUGCUAAUAGGCAGUUUAAAAGUUUCAAAAGUUUCACCAAGAAAAGCAGAACUAAUUAAAAUUCCAAAUUGAUGAUGUUACUUUCCAAACAAAAGUCUUUUGUCACUAUUCACACAGUGUUUCAGUUGUAUCAUAAACCUUCCCAGUAGAUCCCAAAAAGUUAAGUUGCAGUGUUGGCAUGGACUAUUCCUUGUUCUUCUACUAUCUGUAAUAGUAUAGAACUGUAAUGUCUUUUAUAGUUGUAUACCAGCAGUUUCUAAUUUUUUCGAUGACUUGACUCAGGAUUUUUUCCCUUUUAGUGAAUUAUACUUGAAUUACUUUUGGUAUAUUUUUCUUGCCAAGUUUACACGGUGCUUGGGGAUGUCAGUAUUUUCAUUGUUGGCAAAGAUGAGUAUGAUGAACUUGCUGUAAGUUAAAUCAUUAUCUGUUUUCUAUACUUGUUUGUGCAAGGAUGCUAGUCUGCUUGAUACUGAGAUCAUCUUGAGGUUGAAUACUAUCCAGCUUGUGAGGGUGAGGCUCUGGGCUACAUCAUUUAGUUUAAGACUCGCUAACUGAGUGUUAGUUUCUUCUUUGUUGACAUAAAAUUUCUGACAUGCUCUGAUGUCUGCUUAGCCUGUCAUCAAUCACAGCCUACCAUUACCUUCCAAUAGUAUUAUUUUUUUGGCAAUUCAGGAAAAUGAAAUGAUUGGUUCCAUUCUUGCACUGAAAAAUAAUUAAAAUGAUAUAAAUGAAACCUUGGUUUCCCCUGUUGACGGUGGCAUCUCUUUUGGCUGUGGAUGUCAUAUGUGAUGUAAGUGGUUGAUGAAAUAGCAAUUGAUAGGUUUUCUUUGUUGCCAUGCUUUUGUUUCAAUUAGAAGCGCAAAUGCCAUAUUGCCAUGUCAUCUUGCUGCCUAACAUAAGUAAAGUUUUUAUUGUAUAUAAGGGGUUACGGAUGUCAUCUCAUGGAAUUUGUAGUUAUACUUGUAGAAAUUCAACGGUGAGUCAUGAAUAUGUAGAUUUCAUGAUGAACCUUUCCACUUCAACAAUCUGCAAGUUCUUCAUGGGUGUGUAAGAGAAAACUUUUCCCAUUAGAAUCUCUUGGUCAUCAUUCAUAGUGUCAGUUAGUCGUUCAAAACUUAUUCACCUUUUGUCUACAGGUGUAUUGAUAGGUCUUUGGCAAGGAGACAAAAUCCAGAACCUUGGAAAAGGAUCAUGGGCAGAAGGUAAUUGUUUCUUGGUGUAUUAUUCCAUACAUUUUGCUUUCAUCUUGGAAUUUAUCUCAUUGUAGUAUCUUCACCUAAUCACGCUAAUACUGCUGAUGAAAAUGAUUCUAAUUGGACCAAGGCAAUGGAGACACAUGGGUAGAUUAUGUUAUUACACAAAGUGCAAAUGUUUCUGUAGGCUCUGAACAUGGGUGGCAAAACUUAUACCUAUAAAGAAGCUAGUUGAUGCUAAUGACCAAGGUAUGCUCUCUUGGUCCAUGAAAUCUUUUCAAUGUUGAAACUGACAAAAUUAUUUUGAAAUGCUAACCUUUUCACAAUGUUUGAAGUAGUUAGUUGAUGCUUGUAUUUUAGUUGUGCCCUUCCAUCCCAAAUAGAAAUUUAGGCCCUUUCUUCUUUGUGAUCUGGAAUGUACAAAAAGAUAGCAUUUUCUUAGCUCUUAUGCAUUCAGUGUUGUAGGCUGCUGUUAGCUUCAAUAUUCUUGCGAUCAUUAGGUUAUUACAUUUUCACUCACCUAAUUACUUUUUCUUUCUUUCUUUCUUCCUUUUUUUUUUAUGGGGGGCAUAACCAUAGUUCUUAAGGGAAUAUUUUAGUUUAUGUUUCAAUAGAAAACUUGGCCAAGUUUUUAGGUAGCACAUCCGAUUUUCUAGAAUAGGAGAAUUCAUCUUCACCAAGGAUAGGACUGGCUUGUUUUUUUGUUUCCUCUGUGUGAUUUUAGUUUUCCACACAUGCUAUUUAGAGAAUGUAAUGAAGAGUAGGAGCCCAAGGGCGUUGGUUUUCAAUAGGACUGAGCAGGAUUAGAAUACAAGCUUUCAUACUUUAGUAGGAUUACAAUCAAUCAAUACAGGUCAAGGAAAUGUUGUCCCUCACAGGGAUUUUAUAAAUGUUAUGUACUCAUUUCAUUUUUCUUCCCAAUUUAAGCAUACGAUUUGUUCCACUUAUGUUGGGGUAUAUGUUUAAGCUUUUCUGUUUGCACGGAGCUUAUCAUCAAUUGCAUUGAAUGAGCUAUUUUUUUAUAUGAAUGUCCAGCUCAUAACCCUUCUUGGUUUCCAUGUAUUCAGAAUCUGUUUGAAAUUUGUUCUUUGUAAAAAAUGUAGUAGCAGGAUCUUCGUUUAGCUUUUAGUUUCUGCAACUCCACCGUUUAUCUUUGAACCAAAAUGUUUUCUUAGAUUUCCCAUGCACUCACCGUUUGCGAUGGAGUUAUGGAAACUAAUUGGAACUUGAAUACUGCUGCUACUGUUAGCUAUAGAGAGUGUAACAAAUGGGUUGUAUUUUUUUUUUUUUUUUUUUUUUUUUAUUCACGUGGGGUGUCCGGGUCAGCUUACGCGCACCACGACUAUUCCCCACGGCCCACUGGACAUCCUGCAAGCCCAGGAGCAGGUAAGGCACCGCGGGGGUGACAGGCGUGCACAUAGAGGGUCGAACCCGGGAGGGGGGCGGAACAAGUCCACGAAGGACCACAGCAGUUAAACCCUCAUGUGCUGGGUACACAUGAGGGCUCGAACCAGGACACUCAGGCAGUGCAAAGCCUGCCAAGGCCACUGAGCUACAAGCCCCCUGUGUAAAUGGGUUGUAUUUUUAAUUGGCCGGGUCGGGGCCUUCACUGCCAAAUGUUUGAAACUGGUCUGUCGUUUGGGCUAUAUUUUUCAAGUAUGUUGAGUCAUUGAAGACUGAUCACUAGCUUGAAACAUGAAGAUCUUUUCUAGUUGCUAGAAAUGAAAGCUGAGCAGACAAAGGAAUAGAAAGGUGAACAAUUCUUCAUGCUUCCUUUCUAAUGCUUAAAAUCUAGCCCAACUACAUGGGUUAUGAGUUGGAUGUUGCAUUUUUCCUUGAGAUGUAUGGUUUUUUUUACUUCUUUGCUAAUUGCGCAUCUCAAUUCUUCAUGCUUCCUUUCUUGCAGCUUUACUGAAGCAGUGUUCUCUGAUCUUUGUUUUGCUUGUCUUUGUUUAGAUGAGUGAUCGGCUUAUCGGUUAUAUACCUUUUCCCUAACGAUUUUUUUUGGAAAAAUAUAUAAAAUCCCCGUUUAAUUUGAAUUAAAAUCGUCAAAAUAAAGAAUUAAAUGGUUAAUACCUUAAAUCUUAAGAUUCUUGAAGGUAGUAUAAAAAUAAAAAAGAAAGUAAUAAGAUAUAAAUUUAAGGUUAAUUUGGGUUAUCAAAUCAAGAUUUCUUAAGUCCUUUUCUUUUUUCUUUCAUUUUGAUUGUAAUAAGAUAUAAAUUUAAUUGUUUUGAAACAUCAAAAGAACUUCCAUCAAAUUAUUCAAAAAAAUAAAAUUCAUUAUUAUUUGUUUUGUUUUCUAUAACUCCAAGCAUAAAAAAUAUUCUUAAAAUAAUUAUGAAACCCCCUUAAAUUAGAAACUAAAUAAUCAAAAUAAUAAAAUAAAGAUUAAAUAAAUAAUGCCUCAAAUCUUUAAAUAUUUUUAAGGUGAGCAAAAAUUAGUAGAAGAAUUAAAUGAUUGAUGCCUUAAAUCUUUCAAAGUUUGAUGCCUUAAAUUAGUAGAAGAAUUAAAUGAUUGAUGCCUUAAAUCAUUGAAUUUGAAUUAAAUUGUUAAUACCUUAAAUCUCAAGAUUCUUGAAGGUGGUAUAAAAAUAAAAUAAAAAAAGUAAAAAAAAAAAAAAACAUUCUUGAACGCUUUAGUGAGUUUGCUUGUUAUAUCCCAUAUAUUGCCUCCAAAAUAAACACUGAGUUCAAGAAGACCUUGAGAUUUUUUGGAUCAAAUGUGGAAUGAUAGUUACUCGUAAAGAAUAUUUAGAGAUAUUUUCUCCUUUUUUUAUCAUUUGCUUUCUUUAAAAGAAAUUUUCUUCAAACUUGAUCUAUAUAUGACUUUCAUGCUUUAUAUUUAAAGCCUAUUGUUCCAAUUAAAAAAAUUAUUUGGUUUAAACAUUAUAUUUAUAGGUAUAUUAAAUGUAUUGGAAUAUAAACUUAAAAUUUUAAAUUUGCAUUGACCCACAACUCCAAUCAUUAAAAAAAGUAAAUAUAAUGUUAGUUUCAGCUUCUUCAUCAUUGACCCACAACUCCAAUCAUCAAAAUAUUCCUAGAAAUUUUGUAGUAGUUUGUUCUUUGUUUUCUUUAGCUUUAAAUCUUAGUUUUGCCCUUGAAUAUUAAUAAUAUAAGAGUUGUUGUUGGAAAAAUCAACUCAAUGAAACAAAGCCAAAUAACCAAUAAACUCAAACAAAUUCUAAAAAAUGUUCAGUUGAAUAAAUAGAUUAAAUCAUUCCUUAAAAGUCUAUUCAUUCAUAUAAAUUGAUGAUGUGAAAAAAAAAAAAAGAGUCACAAGCCUAUCAAAUAAGAAUGUCUUGAGUACGAGAAAUCAUUUCAAUAGUGAAAUUAGUUUUUAAAAAAACCUUGAGUACCAAUUAUAAUAAACUUAAACUAACAUUAAAGCGUUAUAGUCCAAUACUAGUUAUGUUUUUUUUUAUUCACCGCAAGUUAAAUAAAAAAAAUUCAUCAUAAAAAACUAAAUAUACAAGUAUUUACAUUUUUUAUUGUGCUUCACAGCGAGUCAAAUAAAAAUAAAUCAACAUAAAAAAAUAAAUGUGAAAGCAUUUACAUUUUUUUUUUGGCACUUUUGCAUAUCAAAAUUCUAUACAUGCAUAUAAUUAAAUAAAUUAAGAAAUAUCUGUAAUAAUUAAUGCAAAAAAAAAUACAAUGAUAAUAACUAAAAACUAAAUUGAAAAAUAAGGAUAUAAAUGUGUAUCAAGAUGCACGAUCUCACAAUAUAGACAUUGAGCUUAGUUGUGUUGAAUAACUUUGUUUUUUACAAUCAAUUUUUUAUUAAAUUGGAUAGUAACAAAACAAGCAAAAGAAGGCGAAGAAGAUUGGGCUAAUCUUUUUUCAAAUGUAAAAUAAAUGUUAAGGCAUCUUUUAUGUGUUUUCUAAGAAAGAAAAAAAGUAAUCAUGAAUUCAAAAUUUAACACAUUGGAUGAUAUUUUUUUUAUAAAAGUAUUGAGACGAUAACAUGUUGUAUCAACUUGUAUAAACCUGAGUUUAUCAACUAAAUAUAUGAUCUAAAUCAUGAGAACAUGAUAACCCCAUAAGAAAACAAACAUAAAAAAAUCAUGAUAUUCAAUUUACAAUCAACUCAAUGUUAAAUGAUGAAAUUAAAAAUAAAUAUAUUCAACUAAACUAAAAAAAAAAACUCGAGUUAACAAAAGUUAACUUGUCCAUUCAUAAUUCAAGUUAUGCACCGCAUUGGAUUCAACAACUUUUUAUUUCAAAAAAUAUAUUUCUUUUAAUAUUAUACCAAUAAGAUGCUAGAGGUUUUUUUUUUAUAUCAAACAACAAAAAUUGAGGUGGUGAGUGGAAUGAAAAUAAAAAACAGACUUAUUUUUUAAAAAAAGAUUGACAACAAAAGGGUCCGUUUUUUUUUUAGCCAAAUAAAAAGAAGACCUUUAAAAACCAAACAAAAAUGAAAAAAAUGCAUUUUUUUUUAGUUUAAGGGUUGAAAAUACAUUAAAUAAAAAAAACUAAAUAAAAAAGGUUUUGCUUGGAAGUCAUUCCGUUUUUUCCUAUCACACCUUGUCCACCCUUUUAUUUUUUAUAAAACAAACAAUGCGCUAUUUGGUUGCACAGUUGCGGUGAGCAAUGGUUGCUAAAAAAUUAGGUCGUAGGUUUUUAACAAAAAAAAUAAUAAUUUUAAACUCAUUUGUAAUCCAAAACACCUAGAAAACAAUUUAGAUGCUUUGAUAAACUUAUAUAUGGCCUUCAGUAUUGCAAAGAUCAAUCCAAAAACCUAAAAAAAAUAAUCCCAAAGUUAGAUAUAUUUUUUAUGCAAUUUGAAGGUAAAUGAACACUUAAGUAGAAGUCUACUCAUCAAUUGAAAUCUAUUGACAUCAAAAUUAACCAUUUUAGUGGUUAAAGUCGGUUCAACCAACAACUCUCUCUCUCUAUAGCUGAUAUCUAAUGAUUUUCUCUCUCACCUCUCAAAUUAAAUAAAGUUUUGGACAAAAAUAACUUUUCUUUAAAUUUAUAAAAUUAGAGGGACUUAAUAUUUAUAAUUUGAAAAGUAUGAGGACAACAAUGAAUGUUUCACUAAAAAUUUUAAAACACCACUCAUUUCCUCUGUUUUUUUCACAUUGAUCAUUUAUCUUUUAAUCUUACUAUUUCAUAACAAAUUAACUUAAAUUGACCUUCAAAUUGGCCGUAUAAGGUCUAAAUAAAUAACAAGUUUUGGGAUGAAAAGCAAAAUUGUAUUGUGGCAAUACAUUGAAUUUAUGUCUACAGUGACGUGAGAUAUAAUGUUUUACCCACACCUUUUAGAUUCCACACCUUUUAGAUUGUAGUUAAUAUGAUUCCAAUGUUUGCCUACUAGACCUUAAGAUAACUUGAAUAAUAAUUAUAUAUAUAAAACACAAACUCAAGAUAAUAAUUUGUAACCAUUUACAAGUAUAUUGAAUUUGCAAAUGAUAAAAGAAGAAAUAUUCAACACGUUUUUGAUGGACAAAUAACCUGUAUUUUGAUUGGGGGAGCUUUAUGCUUCAUGCAUGUGCACUUCACUCCAUACAUAUAAUAUAUUUGAUAGAGGGGGCCAUGAUGAAAUAUGUAUUUUCUAUGUUUAAAAAGAUUAAUGAUUUGUCAUUAUAUAUAUAUAUAUAUAUAUAUAAAAGAGAUUAUUGUCCUAAGGGUUCAACUAUUUAUUAUUUUGAUGAACCAAAUCAUUAAUUUUUACAAGUAAUACCUUUCCUUCAAAACGUAUUUUUAGGCAAUAAGAUUUUCUUUUAAGUACACUUGGAUAUGCUAACUUGAAGAAAUAAAUAAGAACAUCCUUUUACUAGAACACCAAAUGAAUUAAUUUUACAAAGAUUAAUUGGAUAUUUUAUUAAAUAAACUCUUAAUGGGAUAUUCCAUGGCUUUAAAUUAAUUUUAUAAAGAUUGUAUAUCAUUUAUAUUAACAUUAGAGAGAACUAGUAAUUUAACAAACCAAACGUUAUCUCUUUCUAGGAUCGCAUGUCCUUUUCAAACCUUAAAAACCUUAAAAUAUAGAUAUGAUAUAGGCUAUUUUAGGGCUAUUGACUCAGACACAUUUACACAUGGAAAUUUAAAAAAAAAUUAGAAAAUUUUAUUUCUAACAUAUCUAAUAUUGAAGGUUGAAAUUAAAAAAAAAAACGUAUCCAUAAGAUCAGGAUAACUUUAUAGAAAACAAAUUGAAUAAAUUACGCAGUCCAAUUCCCAAACAACAUAAUAUUAAAUGAUGAAAUUAAAAAAAAUCAAUUAAAAAAAACGAAAAAAAAAUCGACUCAACAUGAGUCAACCUUCGAAUCCGUGAGCCUAACCCUAUAGAAAGUAAAUUAAAAGAAAUUACGAAGUCCAAUUAAAAAAAUAUUCGAUUAAAAAAGACUCUAAAAAAGUGAACAGACUUAACUCCAACCCGUGACCCGGGUCAUGAGAUUAUGAUAACCCACUAGAAAAUAGAAAAAAAUUACAAAGCAUAAUUCCCAAAACAACCUAAUAUUGAAGGAUGAAAUUAAAAUAAAAUAAAAAGAUUUGAUUGUUAAACUGUGAAAUUUAAAAAAAAAGCUAAAAAAAUUUACAUAAAAUAUUAUUAUAAUUAAUAGUGUUUUGUAGGUGUGGCUAUAGUGAUUUAGUAACACCCUUUUAUUUUUUAUUAACUAGUUUCGUUGUUCAUGCUUUGGAAAGAUUCAAUAAAUGCUCUUAAAAUAAAAUUCAUUAUUAAUUGUUUUGUUUUCUAUAACUUCAGCAUAAAAAAUACUCUUAAAAUAAUUAUGAAACCUUAAAUUAGAAACUAAAUAAUAAAAUAAAGAUUAAAUAAAUAAUGUCUCAAAUCUUUAAAUAUUUUUAAGGUGAUUAACAAAGUAGUAGAAGAAUUAAAUGAUUGAUGCCUUAAAUCUUUUGACAAGAUUCACAAUUCAACCUUAAGUUUUUGAACAAUAUUUAUUUUUGUGAUUCAAUUAUAUUUUUAAAAAAUUUUAAAAUUUUAAAUGCUAAUAAAUUAAGUUAGGUUGAAGUGAGAUGAGUUUUUUAUAUAAAUAUAUUUUUUAUCUGAAAUACGCCUACAAGAAUUACAUAUUUUUUUAUUCAAAUAAAUAAUUAUUUUCUUCCUCUAAAUGCUCGCUAGUACCCAAACUAAUUAAUUUUUUAAAGAAAUAGAAUUAUUAUGAUGCACAAAAUCACAACAUAAGAGACUAAAGCAUUAAAAUAAUAAAUCUUCAUCCAUGAAUUGUAAUAUUAUAAAAUAAAAUCUUUAAAUAAAACCAAAUAUUGAGUGUGUGAUGGGAUGAGAGAAGAUCUCACCCAACUUUAAUAAAACCAAAUCAAUUUUAUCCAUAAUUGGCUUUAAAUAAAAGUGUUUAAUUAGUUUCCUAAACUAAAUUCGGUUUAUAUCCCAAUAAGACGUCGUCGUUUAGAAAGCGUCGACCAGUCUAAAGCAAGAGAAAAACCAAAUGAAGUGUCGUUCGUUCAGUUCAUGCAACGGUCGAAUAUUUUUUGAAUUCUCUGAAUUUCUCUUCCACUAUAUAAAUCCAGUCUCUCUAUCGCUCUCUCUAAAUCUCAACAUUUUUCAAUUUCUUCAAAUGAAAAACUCUCUUUUCCUCUCUCUCUCUCUCUCUCUCAAUAAACAACAAUUUUGUUUUAGCCGUUCAAAUUCUCUGCAUGAAGUUUGAUUUUUCAUUUGAUCAUAGCGAAUUUCAAAUUCGCUCAAAGGGAGAGUGUCUUUAAUAUCUUGUGAUUUUAUGAUUUGUUUUGAUCAUAUUAUAGUGAUUUGCAUGUAAACUUUGAAUAUACAUUUGAAUUGCUUGUUUCCUAUAUUUGUGGUUCGUACGCGUCCUUAACUUUUCGAUCUAUUGCAUGUAAUUAGGUCAUUAGUUUUUGAAACAUGAAGGCUCCCUGCUUGCAUUAUUAUACAGUACUGCUCCAAAACUCUAGGAAGCUUUGAAGGCCUUAUGGAAUUCAGCCUUUCGCAAAGAACUUUGUGGUUAUCUUAGCAGUGGAAGGACCCAUUGAUUGGCAAGGAAAUGAUCCAUCAACACAUGUUAGGUAGACCAUUGGUUCCUUUGUGAAUUCCAUGAUGUUUAUCUCAUCAUUUCCCACCAUCAUUGUCCUUUUAUGCUUAUGAUACUUGAUUUUUUUUCUCCAGCGGUGGAGGUUUUAUAUCAUUGGAGAAUUUGUUGUUCUUUGAUAGGAAUUUAGAAGUACCUUGUUUUGCAACCAUAGUCAAUGCUCUGUUGCUUUCUCAGUAGUCUUUCUAGAAUAUUUUUUUUGCUGACAUGGAAACUGGGAACAUUAUAUUACAUUUUUUUUUAUUGAACUCAACUGUAUUUAAGAUUAGCUUAUUGAGAUUGCUCUAUCUCAUGGAAUUUGUAGUUAUACUUGUAGAAAUUCAAUGGUCUCAGUCAUGAAUAUGUAGAUUUCAUGAUGAACCUUUCCACUUUAACAAUCUGCAAGUUCUUCAUGGGUGUGUAAGAGAAAACUUUUUCCCAUAAGAAUAUCUUGGUCUUCAUUCAUAGUGUCAGUUAGUAGUUCAAAACUUAUUCACCUUUUGUCUACAGGUAUUGAUAGGUCUUUGGCAAUGAGACAAAAUCCAGAACCUUGGAAAAGGUUCGUGCGCAGAAGGUAAUUGUUUCUUGGUGUAUUAUUCCGUACAUUUUUCUUUCAUCUUGGAAUUUAUCUCAUUGUAGUAUCUUCACCUAAUCACUCUAAUACUGCUGAUGAAGUUUCUGUAAAUAUUCUAAUUGGACCAAGGCAUUGGAGACACAUAGGUGGAUUAUGUUAUUACACAAAGUGCAAAUGUUGCUGUAGGCUCUGAAUAUGGGUGGCAAAACUUAUACCUAUAAAGAAGCUAGUUGAUGCUAAUGACCAAGGUAUUCUCUCUUGGUCUAUUAAAUCUUUUAAAUGUUGAAACUGACAAAAUUAUUUAGAAAUGCUAACCUUUUCACAAUGUUUGAAGUAGUUAGUUGAUGCUUAUAUUUUAGUUGUGCCCUUCCAUCCCAAAUAGAAAUCUAGGUCCUUUCUUUUUUGGUGAUCUGAAAUGUACAAAAAGAUAGCAUUUUCUUAGCUCUUAUACAUUCAGUGUUGUAGGCUGCUGUUACCUUCAAUAUUCUUGCACUCAUUAGGUUAUUCUUUCUUCUUCUUCUUCUUUUUUGUUUUUUUUAUGGGGGCCAUAACCAUAGUUCUUAAGGGAAUAUUUUAGUUUAUGUUUGAAUAGAAAACUUGUCCAAGUUUUUAGGUAGCACAUCUGAUUUUCUAGAAUAGGAGCAGAAUUCGUCUUCACCAAGGAUAGGACUGGCUUGUUUUCUGUUUCCUAUGUAUGAUUUUAGUUUUCAAUAGGAUUUGGGGUGAUAGUCUUUCCACACUUGCUAUUUAGAGAAUGUAAUGAAGAGUAGGAGCCCAAGGGCGUUGGUUUUCAGUAGGACUGAGCGGGAUUAGAAUACAAGCUUUUCUACUUUAGUAGAAUUACAAUCAAUCAAUACAGGUCAAUGAAAUGUUGUCCCUCACAGAGAUUUUGUGAAUGUUGUGUGUGAAAUAUCAUAAAGUUGCAGCCUGUUAUGUACUCAUUUCAGUUUUCUUCCCAAUUUAAGCAUACGAUUUUGUUCCACUUGUAUUGGGGUAUAUGUUUAAGCUUCUCUGUUUGCUUGGAGCUUGUCAUCAAUUGCAUUGAAUGAGCUAUUUUUUUUUAUGAAUGUCCAGCCCAUAACCCUCUUUAGUUUCAAAUAGUUGGUCUUGGUUGACUUGAUUUCCAUGCAUUCAGAAUCUGUUUGAAAUUUGUUCUUCGUAAAAAAUGCAGUAGCAGGAUCUUCGUUUAGCUUUUAGUUUCUGCAACUCCACCGUUUAUCUUUGAACCAAAAUAUUUUCUUAGAUUUCCCAUGCACUCACCGUUAGCGAUGGAGUUAUGGAAACUAAUUGUGGAACUUGAAUACUGCUGCUACUGUUAGCUAUAGAGAGUGUAACAAAUGGGUUGUAUAUUUAAUUGGCCGGGUCGGGGCCUUCAUUCUUCAACCAAGCCAAAUGUUUGAAACUGGUCUGUGGUUUGGGCUAUAUUUUUCAAGUAUGUUGAGGUGCCAUUGAAGACUGAUCACUAGCUUGAAAGAUGAAGAUCUUUUCUAGCUGAGCAGACAAAGGAAUAGAAAGGUGAACUUGGAUGCUUAAAAUAUAGCCCAACUACAAGGGUUAUGAGUUGGAUGUUGCAUUGUUCCUUGAGAUGUACGGGUUUUUUACUUCUUUGCUAAUUGCGCAUCUCAAUUCUUCAUGCUUCCUUCCUUGCAGCUUUACUGAAGCAGUGUUCUCUGAUCUUUGUUUUGCUUGUCUCUGUUUAGUAUAAGCAAAGCGUGUUGAUGAUUUUUGUGCUUAUUGGACUUGAAAACUCUUUCUACACGGCACUACUUUCAAAUACAUUUUAGGUUAAUUUGGGUUUUCAAAUCAAGAUGUCACAAGUCCUUUUCUUUUUCUUUUUCUUUUUUCUUUUUCAUUUUGAUUGUAAUAAGAUAUAAAUUUAAUUGUUUUGAAACAUCAAAAGAACUUCCGUCAAAUAUUUAAAAAAAUAAGAUUCAUUGUUAUUUGUUCUGUUUUCUAUAACUCCAAGCAUAAAAAAUACUCUUAAAAUAAUUAUGAAACCCCCUUAAAUUAGAAACUAAAUAAUCAAAAUAAUAAAAUAAAGAUUAAAUAAAUAAUGCCUCAAAUCUUUAAAUAUUUUUAAGGCGAGCAAAAAUUAGUAGAAGAAUUAAAUAAUAGAUGCCUUAAAUCUUUCAAAGUUUAAAGGUUGACAUUUCAACCUUAAGUAUUCGGCUGUGCUUGGUGAGUGCAUGGGAAAUAAAAAAUUCUAUUAUUUCUUUUUUAUAAUUUUUUUUAUAAAAAGAAGUAUAAUUUGUGAAGCUUAAGGUGUUUUAUGAAGUUUCUUACAACUAACAAGUAUAACUAAAUCACACCUCAACUCUACAAACAGAAAAAUGCAUCAUUUGAUAUAAAUUAAAUUUGUAAUAUGAUAUAAAUUAAAUUAUCUUUAGAAGUCAAUAUUCAUUCCAUGAGAAUAAAACUAAAUUUAUAUACCUUUUCCCUAACGAUUUUUUUUAAAAAAUUAUAUGGAAUCCCCAUUUAAUUUGAAUUAAAAUUAUCAAAAUAAAGAAUUAAAUUGUUAAUACCUUAAAUCUUAAGAUUCUUGAAGGUGGUAUAAAAAUAAAAAUAAAAAUAAAAAGUAAAGAAUAUUAUUGAACGUGUUAGUGAGUUUGUUUGUCACAAGUAGCAAAAGUUGGUAGAAAUAUUUUAAACUCAAAAUUAAAGGUAUGAAAAAUGUAGGGACAUCUCGUGAACUCAUAUGCUCAUGAGAAUCUUUAGCUCAAAUAAAGAAUACAAAAUGGUUCAAGCUAUGAUCAUGAGGCUAAUUCUUUAAGGGCUCGUUUGGGAACGCGGCUGCGGCUGCGGCAGCGUUUCCAAAAAAUUUGAAAUUGUUUUUUUUUAGUAAAAUUUAAUAUAGUUUGUAUGUUUUGGAUCGUUUUGAUGUGCUGAUAUCAAAAAUGAUUUUUAAAAAAUGAAAAAACAUCAUUGGCAUGCAUUUUGGCACGAAAAGUUAUUUGAAAAGCACCCGCAAUCACACUGCCAAACACGCUCUAAGAAUUUCUUGAAUACGAGAAAUCAUUUCAAUAGUGAAAUUAGUUUUUUUUAAAAAAACCUGAGUAACAAUUAUAAUAAACUUAAACUAACAUUAAAGCGUUAUAGUCCAAUCUUAGCUAUGUUGAUUGCACUUUACCUCGAGUCGGAUAAAAAAAACUUUGAACUUAAAAUAAUAAAUAUGAAAGCAUCUAUAACAUGUUUUUUUGGCGUCGAAAAAAAUAUAAUUACAAAUAAAAAAACCCUAUACAUUCAUGUAACUAAAUAAAUUAAAAAUCAUCUCUAAUAAUACAUGCAAAAAAAAUAAAUUGACAAUAACUAGAUGCUUGAGAUUAACUUGAGAUUAACUUUUUCAACCCAGUCAUGCACGCAAGGGAUUCAACAACUUUUUAUUUCAAAAAAUAUAUUUCAUUUAAUAUUAUACCAGCUAGAUGCUUGAGGUUUAUUUUAUAUCUUCUUUCAACAAUAUCUUCCUUUUUUACAAAAAAAAAAUAAAAAUUGAGGUGGUGAGUGAAACGAAAAUAAAAAAUAGACCUGUUGUAUAAAAAAGAUUGACAAAAAAAUUUUUGCAUGGCAAAUAAAAAAAAACCUUUAAAAACACGUUUUUGAUGGACAAAUAACAUUAAUGAUUUGUCAUCAUUAAAAAAAAAAAAGAGAUUAUUGUCUUAAGGGUUCAACUAUUCAUUAUUUUGAUGAACCAAAUCAUUAAUUUUUCUAAGUGAUUUAUACUUUUCCUUUAAAAUGUAUUUUUAGGUAAUAAGAUUUUCUUUUAAAUAUAUUUGGAUAUGCCAACUUGAAGAAAUAAAUAAGAAUAUCUUUUUACAAGCAAACCAAAUGAAUUAAUUUUACAAAGAUUAAUUGGGUAUUUUAUUAAAUAAACUUUCAAUGGGAUAUUCUAUGGCUUUAAAUUAAUUUUAUAAAGAUUGCAUAUCAUUUAUAUUAACAUUAGAGAAAACUACUAACUCAAAUGUUAUCUCUUCCUAUGAUCACAUGUCAAUUACUUGAAUGUGAAUGUGUAACUAUUCAGUCCUUUUUAAAUUUAAAAAACCUUAAGAUAUAGAUAAGAUAUAAACUAUUUUAGGGUUACUUGACUGAAAUAGUCCUGAAAAUCCCUUUAAAAUAAAAAUUAAAUGAUGAAAAUAAUAAAAUAAAGAUUAAAUAAAUAAUGCCUUAAAUUUUAAAAUCAAUAAGGUUAGCAACAAAUUAGUAGAAGAAUUGAAUGAUUGAUGCCAUAAAUCUUUUCAAAUUUGAAGGGUGGCAAAAUUCAUCAUUAAACCUUGAAUUUCAUUAUUCUUGGUGAGUGCAUGGGAAUAUAUAUAUAUAUAUAUAUAUAUAUAUAUAUAUAUAUAUAUAUAUAUAUAUAUAUAUAUAUAUAUAUAUAUAGUUUGUGAAGCUUAAGGUGAUUUGUGAAGUUUGUUCUAUUUAACAAACAACUAAAUCACAUCUCACCCCUACAAAUUAAGAAUCCUUUGAUACAAAUUAGAUCAUCCAUGGACAAUACUUUGAACUGCUUAUAAACACAUAUUAGGGUAACAUUAAAUUUUAUUUUCCUUUGAUAAUAACAUAGUUUUCAAUUACAUGUAAUGUGAUAUAAAUAAAUAAAAAAAUCAGAAGUCAACAUGAAAUUAUUGAAUGAAUGCAAUGUAUAUAUGUUUUCCUAUUAGUGCCCAAGCACAUUUUGUUUUAUUCUUUUUUAAAUCCCAUUUUAAUUAGAAUUUAAAUGGUUAAAAUAAAAUAAAGAAUUAAAUGAGAUAUAUUUUAACUUUUAAUUAUAAUUAGUUCCUUUGCCUCUAAAAGGAAACACCAACUUCAAGAAGAAAUUGAAAAGGAAUUAAAAAAAAAAAAAAAACUUCCUUGCAUGAUACUCAAUUCCUUUUAAUUAUAAUUUUUUUUUAAAAAAGCAAUAGAAAUAAAAGAAAAUAAUUAGUUUUCUAAGAAUAUGAUUUGGACAUGAAUUCUAAUAUAAUGUUUAAAAUAGACCUUUGAAAAAUGUCAUUUUAUAUUCAAUUGGAUAUAAUUAAUGCUAGCUUCAGCUUCAUCAUUAAAAUUUUAAAUUUUGAGUUAAAAAUUUGGUCCAUUAGUGUUUCGAUAAAUUUACAUAUUCAACUACUGUUUUAAUAAUUCGAAUUUAUCAUCUUCUUUAUAGAUAUUUGUCGCUUAUAUUUCUUAGUAACUUAUUCUUUGCUUCCUUUAUCUUUAGUUCUGCCCCUGAAUACUAAAAAUGCUCCAUAUAAGAGUUGUUUAAAAAAAAAAAAUUAAUAAAACAAAGCACAAGAACUAAUAAAAUCAAAAAAAUUCUAAAAGAAAUUAAAACUUCUUAGUAAAAAAAAAAUAUCUCAAAAAAUGUUACAAUCUAUCAAAAAUAAUUUUGAAAAAAUUCAAAGUUUUUAUUUUUUUCUUAAAAUUAAUUUUUUUUGGUAUUUUUUUAUUAUUUUAACAUGCUAAUAUUAAAAAAAUUUAAAAAACAAAACAAAUUAUUUCAAUGUAUUUUUUUAAAAAAUUACUUUGAAAAUAAUCAUUAUCAGAAUAACAAAUACGCUCUUAACCAAUGCUUUGAAUUUGCAUUUUAUAGGUUUAAUUACCAUUUGAAUCAUCUCAAGGUUUAUUAUUGUCAUAAAGUUUCACAAACAUUGAAAUCACACACUAGACUACAAUGCUUCAAGAUUAAUUUAGGUGUUAUGGUUGCAAUUGUUUCCUCAAGAUUUAAUUUAGGUGUUAUGGUUAUUAUAGUUUAAUUGUCAUUAAUGUAUAUGCGAAUGUAUGUAUGUAUGGAUAUGUAUAUAUGCAUGUAUUUUAUUGUUUUCAAAGGGUCGACAUUAAAGAUGUAUUGGGCUUUCAAAAAGUUGAAAAAAUUGUACAUGAUAAUGAUGAAUUUAUAAUGAUUUAGGCAUUAUUCUUCCAUGAAAGCAUAGUUUAGACCUGGUUCGAUAGUCGGCUUGGUUCAAGAUCCGGGUUCCGGGUUUUGAUCGGAUCACCAAGUUGCCCGGAUCAAUUUAAAAAAAAAAAAAUUAAAAUGACGUUAUUUUAAUAAAAAAACAAAAACAAAAGUCAACGGGUUUCAACCGAGUUUUUGAUCAGGUCUUGCCGAGUCAAUCGGGUCGCCGGGUCAUACCGAGUUUUUUCUUCCUCUAUUUUUUCUUCAACCCGACCCGGUUCCAGCCCUGGGUCAGCAGAGUCCAGGGUCGACCUGUCGGGCCGGGUCGGGUUUCAAAACUAUACAUUAAAGUUAACAUUUGUGAAGAAUAUUAAUUCAAAUAAUAUUUAAAACAAAUUAGGAUAUAAAAUAUUAUCAUUUUCAAACUAUAAAAUCGUUCAUGUAAUUCAAUUUAAUUUUUAAUUUAUGGAUUUCAAAGUUUGUUUUGAGUCAUAAACCAUUAAAUAUAUUUCUAACUUCACUUAUUUUUAUUAUAAGUUAUUUAUCAUAAUCUAUUUUUCAUAAGUUAUGUUAAAAAAACUCUUAAUUAUUAGAACGUCGUCCAUUAAAAAAUAUAUAUAUUUGUAAGUCGAAUGAAAAGGGUUUAGUUUCAGCAAUACCAACAAGUAGAAGAGUUCACUGACUAAAUAUUCAUACUUGAGGGACUGAAAGCAACUCCUAUCAUUUUAUAGUUCAUGUUAGAGACGACAUGUCGCCUCGCACUCCAGCGUCAAGUCAGCGUUAGAACCCCCCAAAAAAUCCCCAAAUUAUCACAAUUCCUAGCUUUGCUUCUCUAGGGUUUCUGUAAAGAAUGCCGCAAAGACACUCAAAAAACAACAACGAUUUAGCUUUUUUCACGUACGAUGAGAAGAGAAAGUUAGGGUAUGGGACACAAAAGGAGAGGCUUGGAAAGGAUUCGAUCAAGCCAUUUGAUGCUUGUUGUCUCUGCUUGAAACCAUUUAUAGAUCCAAUGUCUUGUCAAAAAGGUCAUGUCUUUUGUAAAGAGUGCAUCUUAGAAUGCCUCUUAGCCCAAAAGAAAGACAUUCAAAGGUAAUAGCUACUUGGGUUCCUUUUAUUUUCUUACGAAUUCAUUUGCUUUUUUGUUUUUGAUUUGGUUUUGUUUAAUGAUUUUUUUUGUUUUUUGUUUUGAUUUUCAUGUUGGUAAUAGAGGAACUUGUUUUUUGAAUUCUGGGUUUUGUUUUGUAUAGAUGAUGGAGUUUGGUUUUGGCAAUGUUAAAUGCUUAUCUUUGUGAGGUUUUGUUUUUAAUGGCGAUUUGUAGUGAAAUUUGAGCUCAAUUAAGUAGAAUUUUGAGUUUAGUGUGAAGUUGGGAACUGAAAUUGAAAUGAGAAGUGAGAGAUCAUUGUUUAAAUUUUGUCUGGAAGGUUAAAAUGUGAGUUGGAGGUUAAAUUGGGAAGGACGUGCUUUUGUGUGUUGAUACGUGCAGGCUCUUUGAAUUUUUGUAAUGAAUAUAAUGAUAAGUGAAUAGAAUGUUUUUGUAAUGAAUAGAAGUUUUUCAGUUCUCUGAUUUAUUUGGUUAGUAACUGUUUGGUUAUGUUUGAACUUAAAUGGUGUGUGGUGAAUGUUUUCGUUGAACUGCAUAAUGAUGAGAAGGGAACUCAUGAUUUAAGUUUUCCCCCUCCUUUUUUCAUUUGUCUCUUCUGAAUGUGUGCUGUUGUAGAUUUAUGACCAUAUUGCUUUAUAUGUUGUAAGCAUGGAUAUGGUCUUCUAAUUGAUCUGAUUCUGGCACAAUUUCUUAGAAUUGGGAAAUUAGGAUCGUAGGCAAUUGAGUGGUUGGAAUUCAUGGUGAAAGAAGGCUGGUCAUUUUAACAGAAAAAUCUGUCAUCUUAGGCCACCAGCCAAGUUCAACAAUUUUCAUGGUGAUUAUGUUUUCAUCAUCACAAGUGGUCUUCAGUGGUCUUCAAAGCUACUGGAUUUUUUGGCAGAGGUCUCCAUAAAAGUGUAGUCUGGGCUGCCAUAAUCUACUUUUAGAAGUUCAUUUAUGUGCAUGUAUAAUACUUUGCUCCUUCUUUCCUGAUUAUUAGCUAACAAUUUAAGAUGUGAAGAUAUUGGUCGUUGUACUUUAUGGGAAAGAUUUAGAUGGAAAAAUGGGCAUGUGACAAUUUUAUUUUAGACCUCAAUUGGAACUGGCUUUUAGUGCAAUUCGCCCCCCUUUCUUUUACUGUUAUGGACUGAAAGUAGGCAGAUUGGAACUUUAAUUAAAGAUAAGAGAGCCUAUGCUAGCUCAGCCUUUUUACCUGAAGGUUUUCUGUGUUAUUUUUACCUGUUUUGAUGUAGUGUGUUAUCAUCUUUUAUUCUUCACUGUACCAAUUUUGUAAUGAGAAGUGUGUUUUUCUGUUAUCUGCCAGGAAGCUAGCUUCCCAUGAAUUGCAGAAGAAACAGGAAAAGGAGGAGGAAGCAGAGAAAUUGAUGUCGCAGAAGGCCAGAGAGCUUGAUGCAUUUGAUCAGCAAAAUCAUGGUGCAGUUCCACAGUACAGCGAUAGAAACCACAGCCAAGACAAGAACGGUUUCCAUGGGGCAAACAGUGUGAAGGUCACUUCGUAUGAAGAGGAAGCUCUCCGGACGAUGAAAGCAUUUUGGCUGCCCUCAGCCACGCCAGUCGCUCCGGUUAAAGUGGAUGCCCCUUCCACAAGCACUGUCUGCCCAGAAGGCAAGGAAAAGCUCAAGCUGAAGAGCCUGUUCCCAGUCUACUUCACAGAAGACACCAGUGAAAAGAAAUCAUCCAGUUCUCUUGAUAAGACCUUCAUUUGUCCUAGCUGCAAGGUUACUCUCACCAAUACACUCUCACUGGUGGCAUUAAGUUCUUGUGGUCAUGUCUUCUGCAAGAAGUGCGCUGACAAAUUUAUGGCUGUUGAUAAGGUUUGUCUGGCUUGCGGUAAGGGUUGUAAAGAGCGCAAUUUGGUGAACUUGGAAAAAGGUGGAACAGGGUUUGCUGGCCACGAUGAUCACCUUGUGGCAACAGACUUCAAGCAUUUGGGUAGUGGUUCAGGAUUGGGACUUGUGAGACCAGCCACGAAAACUUAAACUCCAAGCAAUUGUAGAAUAUGGUAAUCUUGUUGUAGUUUCUUUUGCAUCAUCAUAAACGGCAAACCGAGGUCCUUUUGCUUUAGAUGGUCAUCCACUCGGUUUGCAGUGUGAUGUGUUGUCAUGAGUUUGUUUACAAUACGAUAACCACUGGUGAUACAAUUUAUUUUUUGGUGAAUGCCAUAAACCAAUAACUAGACUGAAAAUGACUUCGAUUAGGAUUGUAGUUUAUUAUCGCUAAAAUAUGCAUGGCUGCAUGGUUUUGACAAGGCCAUGGAGGGCAUGGACUGUUCUAUCCUUGAUGCCAUCGUUUUCAUAGUUAUCAAACCCGAUCAGAAAAUUGACCCGGUCAAGAAGUUAGAUCCCGGGUUAUACAGGUUGAUUCAGAUAAAAUUAAAAAAAUUAAAAAAAAAUAUUUGAAGUUCUAAUAUUUUAUAUAAAAAAAUUAAGAAACAAUCUAUAUGAAUAUAUUGAAUAGAUAUUAUGUUAUCUUUUUAAAUUAAAGUAUUUAAAUUAAAAAUGUAUUUUUAUCUCACAUUAAAAAAAUAUAAUUUUAUAUAUUAAAGGGCUUCAAAUCUCAUAUUAAAAAAAUAAAAUAUUCUUCUAGCAUUUAUAUAGUAAACUUUAAAAAAGGUUAAUAACCAGCUAAAAAAAAUUUCUCUAAUUAAGAAAAAAAACACAUUUGAAAAAGAAACAGGUCCCUACUAGAUUUUGACGGGUCAACUAAAUUUAUUUGGUUUUUAUUUAAUUCAGUUUUUUAUUUUAUUUAGACCGGUCCGAUCACUAUUAACUCGAUUCAUCCGUCGAAGUUUAAUAAAUAUAAUUCUAGCCUGGCGCUGUUUGCAGCCUUUUGUGAAAUCAGGCAACACCAUACAUCAUACACGGUUCAUGCCUGGCAACAGUAUUAUAAUUAUUUUCCUGUGAUUUUGUCAACUGGGUACGAAAUGGCUCUUUGCACAUGGGUUUGUUGAGAAAUUGAGAGGGGAGACUUGAGAGUUGCCCAAAAAGGCGACCUUUAUUGGGAACCAGAAGCUUCUCUUAGCAAAAAAACAAAACCCUAAGCAGGCAUGAGUUCCUAAAGGUCCCACCACCAUGACCCGCACCAGCUUGUGCUGCCAGCCAUUGAUGGAAAGAAUUUCCCCACGGGUGAGGUAGACAGAGAGUGCUGACGAUGCCUGCCUUCGUUAUCUUAGCAGCAGAAGAUUUGUUUGUUAAUUAUUAUGGAUGGCAUCUGAUUAGGCAUAGACGUGUAACACAAUGGGCGUGGCCUGGUGGCCGGUGGACACCUGACGGCGCGCUGUCUUUUGCCCUCCACUCAACCUGAUACCUAAUUUUUCUUCCAAUUAAAGAAAAACACAUUCCGCCACCAAUUUUAGUGAAUCAGAGUAAUGUCAAAAGGCCUCAAAGUUGGAUAUUCUCUCUCAUGUUCAAUGGACGAAAAGGUGACAACUUGAAAGAACGAAAAUCAUAAUUUUAUUUUAAUAAUUUUAUUUUUCGUUUUUUAAUGCUUUGGGAUAAUUCAGCUUGGUUUUUUUUAAAUAUUUUUUUAUUAAAAUAUAUUAACAUAAUUUUUUUAGAUUUUUUUUAAUUUUAAUAUCAACACAUCAAAAUAAUAUAAAAAUAUCAAAAAACAUUAAUUUUAUAUUUUUUAAAAUAUUUUUUAAAAUAUUUUAAAACAAAAACUAUGCACUAAUAUUUGGAUCCGAACACUCACUCAAUUAUUUUUCAAAUAGUUCAUAUAAUAAUUGGGUUGGUAUAUUUAUAUUUUUUUUCAUUUUUUUGUUAGGUUUAGGCCAAAAUGAUAAUAUUUCUUGUUAAAAACUAAUUUAAAAUCAAGCAAGAAAACAAUUCUAUAUUUAAAAAUUAUAGUUUCAAAAUUAGAAUUCGAAUUAAAUAAGGGAGAAAAAUUAAACAUCAAGAUUCUAGACUUACUAAUUGCAAUUAAGAGACAGUAAUCACUCUUCUAAAUUUCUCACAUGAAAAACUCUCUCCCCACUUUGCCUAACACCAUUCUAUAUUUAACCAAUAAAAUUGCUAAUUGGGUUGUUGAUAAUUAGGCUAACUCUAUUAUUGGCAUGAAGGAUUUCUUUAAUCUAAACAUAAUCACUCAAAGCUUUAUUUUCGGAAAAUAAUCUGAUAAAAUAUAAUCAUAAAAUCCCUUUUCAUAUUUUGAUGGUUUCAGAUAUCUCUGACUGUGUAGACCGUUAGAUUGGAUAGGAGAGAAGAAGUUGUUGAGAUUAAAUUAUUACGUGGCAACCGUUUCACCGUCCAAUAAUGCAAUCGGGUCCCACUCUCCAUUAAUUCCCCGCCCAGCUAGAAGAAAGAGAAUCGUCUCUUAAAAAUAAAAAGAACCCCAAAAAGCAACGGCCUUCAUAAAUAGGAAGCAACACAAAAUCAUAAUUUAGCAUCCAUACAUUAAAGAAUGUUUCACUUUAGUCCUUAUAGUAUAAUAUUUUUAUACAUUUACUAGUUUCUAAAAAGUCUAAUCAAUUCUAACCAUGAAAUAUCUAAGAAAAAAAAUAACUUCUAAAUUAAAGAGUAAUUUGGCUAUAAACUAUGCAUGUACAAUGUUGUCAUCACCUUUAAUAUUUAUUUGAAAUCUCAUAUGAUAUUUGCUAACAAACAUUACGAUAAUAAAUUUAUUAUUGAGAUUAAAAAGUAUAAUUUAAAAUUUCAAAUAAUAUCAAGAAACAAAUGAUCCUAUGAUAAACUAAUAUAAAGAUAUUUUAAAAUUGAAGGGGUAACCUUAGGUAGUUAACAACCAGGGAUGGAUUUUAAAAUUUUAAGAAGUAGAGAGCUAAUAUAAAGAUAUUUUAAAAUAUAGAGGUUAAAGUAGAACAUUGUUUACUUUAUAGGGACUAAAAUAGAGUUUUCCCUCUAUGUAGAAAAUACAUUGCAUUUGCAUUUAUAAAAGGAGGGAUGCCUUUUUAAUACACAAAGGAUAAGAACAAAAGAGAAGACAGAGAGAAAGGGAAACUUUGGUGUGUUUGUUUGUUAACUGGUAAAAGAUUUGUCAAGUUUUCACUGUUUUUAGAAAUGGGGGAUUUGGAAAAGCAAGUGGUGGUGAAUGGAGGGAAGGAGGAGGCAGAGGAAGAGGAGAAGCUGUUAAUGGAAGGGAUGAGUGUUUUGGAUUUUGAUAUGUUGUGUUCUACCGUGGCUAUGCAAACACAAGGCAAAUAUUGGGCCAAACUUGAAAGCAAUGAAGAAGAAGACGAUGAUUUGAAUCGUUACAAUAAUGGAGGUGGUGGUGGUGGUUUCAGGAUGUGGGAAGGUGAAGUUCUUGAUUGCUUUGAUGACCGCCGCAUUGCCAUCGAAUCUCUUUGGUAUUCCUCUCUCUCUCUCUCUGCUUUCUAAGGGUUCCAUGAUUAGAAUUUAGAAGAAGUUAAACCCAGAAAGAAAUGAUGGAACUUUUCAUUUUUUUUUUGUUUGGUUUUGUUGUGCUCUUGCUAUUAUUGCUAUGCUUUAAAUUUUAUGAAAUAUGAUUUUAGUUAGUUUACGUUUGUGUGGAGGAUUUUAAUGUUAAUGGGUUUUGGGAGUUCAGUUGGAUAUGAAAAUUUUAUGCUGGCCGCUUUAAAUUUGUAUUAAAAAAAACUCAGUAAAGUCUUGGUUUCUAUAUGUUGCUACUUAUAAUAAAUUUGUGUAAUAUGAGGUGAAAAUUAUGGUUGUAGCUUUAGAUGUCUACUCGUAUAGUUUUCUUUAGAGAAAUUGGUUUUGUGGAUAUUGAUUUUAAUUUUCUGGGUGUUAAGACUUGAGGCAAUGCUCUAAAGGGAAUAUUUUUUUUUUUGUGUUAUGGUGAAUUAUGUUCUAUGUUGAUUUACUUAUUCUAGUCAAUUAUGCUGUCUUUGGGUCAUCGAACAUAGAGUUGUUCAGGAGAAAAAGGAUUCUUCCAUUUUGUUUUAUUGAUAUGAUGUGUUUGAAUUUUUAUUUGACUUUCAACUUACUGUGUAUGUGAUGUUGCAGCUGUCCAUGCUAUAGAUUUGGAAAGAACAUGAGACGAGCUGGUUUUGGUUCUUGUUUUCUUCAGGUAACAUUUUCUUGCAAUUCUUUAAAUUUUAAGAAUUUAGGAAACUAGAGUAAGACUUUGGCUCUUACAAAUCUGACAUGGGAUCCUUAUGUGAAUUAAAAUUUCUGAAAAUUCAUAAAUGUCAUUUUGCAGGGAAUUGCAUAUUACAUUCUUGGUCUUGGCGCCCUGCUCAACUUCAUUGCCUUUAUUGUGACGAAGCGAAGCCGCUUUCUGUACUUGUCAAUUGUUUUUACCUUCUCAUUAGGAAUAUAUUUGGGUUUCUUCCGCACACAGAUGAGAAAGAAAUUUAAUAUCAGGGUGAGCAUUUAUGUCUCACUAUGUUUUAACUUUUGCUGAUUAUUUGAUAUAGUUGCAACAUGAGAUGGCUAUAUUCUUAGAGUUUUGCUUUCUUGUUUUAUCUUUUAAAUUAUGACUGCAGCUAUAUUCACAUUUGUAUUUGAUAUUCAGAUUAGCUAGCUAUCCCCCCUUUUCAAUCAAACUUUGACCAUUCAAUGCACUGUGCUGUGAAUUGUCAAAUGUAAUGGGAAUUUGAUGGAAGACCUACAAAUAUAGUGUUCAAAGGUUACUGGCUCUUGUUUGUGUUUUUACCAAAUUAAACACAUAUGAGGAACCAAGCUUCUCUCAAGCAGAUCUAUUUUUUAGUUUGAUUUACCACAAUCCACAUGUAGAUUAUAGAAAUAUUUCCUCUUUCAUUCUUUCAGUGAGGUAUUAGUUAUUAGUUUUCGAGGCUUCCUGAUCCUUUACUUUUGUUUCUGAAUUGUUCGUCUUUGAGAUUAUAAGUUGAAGCUAAAUCACAGACUAAAGCUAAAUCACAGACUAAUUUUUUUCUUUUACGAGUGUGUUCAUUUCAGGGUAGUGAUAGUUCCUUGGAUGAUUGCAUCUACCAUCUGAUCUGCCCAUGCUGCACAUUAUCCCAGGUUCGUUUACUGGAUAAUGUUCGUUUACUACCAGUCUGUAUAAAUUUUGAUUGUUGUUAAUUAUAGCCAUACACUUGACGUUUCUGAGACCUAAUUUUAAGCAUUUCAUCUAUAAUGGAGCAGGAAUCCAGGACAUUGGAGAUGAACAAUGUCCAAGAUGGUACCUGGCAUGGCCGGGGUGACACUAUAUGUGUGGGUAGUUAUAGUGAAGGAAACAAAGUGUUCCUGGAGCUGCACCCACCUCCCGCUGUCACAACCAGCUCCCCUGAUGUUUGCAGCAUGCAAAAAAAUACCAAUGUCAGUGACCAACCUUCGACUUGAGAUGUUUGGGCUUGAGACCUUGAUCUCUGAAUCAACGUGUUAUGAGCUUCCACAUGAUUUAUUUCCUGAAGAAAAGGGUGAUAUGCAAGCAAUAUCACCCAAUCUUGUUUACAAGAAGAAUCAGAGGGCAGCGUGGAGCAUUUGCUGCCUAUACUCAGACUGCUGCGUUUUCAAAUCAGGGAAGAUAACCUGUUUGUGAGAAUCUGAUGAAGAAGAUGUGUGCAGUCCAUGCAGACAACGGAGAUGAACAUUGUCAGGUUAUUGGUUAGACCCUGUUCUUUGCGUGCUUUGUUUAGUGGUGGAAGUUGUAAAUAUUGUAGUCACAUUUGUUCUACGAAUUUGAAGCAACACUAUUUAUUUCACACUGGCCGAGUUUGAUUUAUUUAAGUUUGUAAAAAUCAAGUGUAUUAGCAAUCUUGGGUUGUCUUCCCUAAAAGCUCUCUCGAUAAUAGCUUACAAAUUGUUCAACUAACGUUGCCAGCAUCAAAUACUUGCUUCUGCCAUGCUAGCAUGAUUCCGAGGCCUGAGGGCAUUUUAGAUGAUGAAAUGCAGCGCCUCGCACAAACAUGAUCAAGGUACAGAAACCUUUAAAGCAAAGCACUUAGGUUCCAAAUUCUAUUUCCAAAUCAAAAUUCCAUGUUGGUGCUGCUGUGUGGCUGCUAAUAUUCCCACCAUAAAAAGAAUAAAAACUUAACACUUCUUUGCCUUGAAAACCUAACAUUUUUCCUUAGAAAACUAUUUAGACUCCUUAUUUUUAGGCGAUUUACGUUAGCGAUAUAUAUAUAUAUAUAUAUAUAUAUAUAUAUUAUUAAUUUAGCAAUAUAUUUGAUCAAAACAUAAGAUUUGAUAUUUAGACGACAACUUGAAUUUCUAGGUAGGCUGCACUGAAAUUUCUUGCGAAGACUUUUCAAUUUAUUCAAAGUAUUUAAUUUUUAUUUAUCCCCGUCUCACUUAUCAAAAUUCUAUUAUAACUCUAUAUAUAUAGAAAAAACUUAAAAAACCCUAUUAAUAUAAAAUAUAAAUAGAAAUUUAUUUUAUUCAAAUAAAAAAACUAAAAAAGACUAAUAAUUAUGAAUAGAAAAAAAUAAAAAAAAUAAAAUAAAAAAAUAAAAAAAAUAUUUAUUUUCUCUAAAAGAUCAUACACCAAUCUCCUUUAGGUUAAAAAAAAAAAAUUUAUCAACAAGUUCAAAUUAUUCUUAGAGCAUACCCAUCUUAAUUAGAAACUCUUCUCCACCGUAAAAACAUUCAUCAUAACAUUCUUCGAGCAUAUAUUUCUUAGUAAAAAAUCCAAUGAUAUUUUUGUAUGUAGACUUUCUCACAAGUCCCUGAUAUUUUUAUGCGAGCUACACCAUCAUGAAUUCUUAAGAUCUUUUGUCUUAUCAUGUCUCUAAUAAAUUUGUGUUAGUUAUGUUAUAAUAGGUCUCACGACUAGGAUUUUCAUUAACAACACACAAUAGCUAUUUUUUAGAAAUUAAUGGGCUCUGAUAUCAACUAAUACAGCUGUUAAGAAGGAUAAAGUCAAACACCUCAAAUAAAAAAAAUACCAUAACUAUAAGAAUAUAUUCAAAAUAUUUAAUUUUUAUUCGUCAUUGUCUCACUUGCCAAAAUAUUAUUACAAAACUUUAUAUAGAAAAAAACUAGAAAAUCCUAUUAAUAUUGAAUAGAAAAAUAAAAAUAUAAAAACUAUUUUUUUCAAAUAAGAAAACUAGAAUAGAAAAAAAUUUAAAUAAAAAAAAUAAAAAAACUUAAAAAAAUAUUUUUUUUCUAAAGAAACUCCGUGCAUUGUAUGGCCAAUAACCUUCUAUUACGGAAAGCGCCAGGAGCGAUCCUGUGUGUAUAUAAAUGGGGUAUGGAAACUUUGGGACUCGUUUUUGGAUUAGAACAUUUUCUAGGGUAUUGUACGGCAAUGACUCAUACUGCUGUAGGGUGUUUUAAGGUAAAGGACGUGGAGUCUAGAAAUGGAGUCUCACGUCCGGAGAUGAUGAGUAUUUCACAGAAGUAUCAGAAUUUGUGCUUGAAAAGAGGGGCAUGGGAUCCUGAUGAAGAUCAAAUAUUGAGAGCUUAUAUUAUGAGAUAUGGCACUCGGAAUUGGAAUGAGAUGCCGAAAGCUGCUGGUAAUUAAUAAAAAAAAUACUGCUAAUGAUUAGUACUUGAAUUCAAAAUGUUACAUUUACAGGCAAAACGCAGUGAAAAUAAAACCAUGAUAUAAUUUAUUACUUCUUUUUUGCCUCCAUUUGUAGGUUUGUUAAGGUCAGGGAAGAGUUGCAGGUUUCGUUGGAUGAACUAUCUAAGGCCGGAUAUUAAGCGUGGAAACUUCAGCAAGGAAGAAGUGCAGACCAUAAUCAAGCUGCAUGAAAUGUUAGGAAAUAGGUAAAUUUAUUCUGAAAUAUAGAUAAUAUUAGCUAGCUAACGCAUGUGAGUUUCCAUUUCUUUUUAUGAGGGCUCACCUAUUCCACAUGUUCAUCGAGUUACUCUCAGCUCAUUUCUUGAACUUAUGUCCUGCAAUAAAAAAAUAUACAUGCACAGUCUCCUCCAAUAGUUCUAUUUAGUACAUUAAGACAUACAAUUCAUAGGUAUUUCAUGUUACAAAAUCCCUUUUUUAUCAUGAAAUUUCUAUGAUUUUCGAAGCAUUCAAUCACUUUUUUCUCUUCUUGUAAAACUUGAAGAAAGUAAUACAACUCUAAGUAGUAGUCGAUUGGUAUAUAGAGCUGAGUAAGUAUUUUAUCAUCAAUUGAAAAGAAUAAUGACUUGGAUCGGCUGCAUAUGAUAAUAAUAUUUUAUUUUUUCAUGUAUUUCAGAUGGUCUGCAAUUGCAGAAAAGUUGCCCGGAAGAACCGAUAAUGACAUCAAAAAUUUCUGGAACACCCACUGGAGGAAGAGCUUCAACAACAAUAUUAGUAAUACUGCAGUGCAAGCACCUAAACUUGAGGGAACACAGACAUCCGAAGAAGAAUCCAAGCAAAGGAAAUCAUCGAACAUCAUCGAUGUUUCAUUUCCCACUGCUCCAAAAAUAUUGAAUUUAGAAGAUCAGUACUCCUCCAAGGGGACGCUCCACAUGUUACCAAUUCGGUCUACUGAUAAUAUCUCAUCAUCAAGUUCCAGUCAUGUGAAUGGCAUCAAUGAAAACAAGCGCGUGGAGGACAAUGUUGGAUCACUCGAAUCAAUUGGAGAACUAAGUUCGUUGGAUCAGCCAUCUUCCAUGGAAGCGCAAAUGGGCAAGGUGGAGGAUUAUGGAGAAGCAUACACAGAUCAAAUGUGGGUCCAAGAAUUGUUGGACUAUCCAAAUGCUUCCCAUAAUUUUGAUGCUGGCCAAGAGUUUUGGAUGAAUUGUUUGAUGCAAACACAAUUGCAUGGAGACUAAGAAUAGCUAGUGUUUAGGGUGUUCGUGGCAAUGUCCUUGGUGCCAUUGCAUUGGUAUGUUUCAUUUGUUCUCCUUCCAUUGUGUUCCAACACUGAAUCCCAACCUCACAAUGCUUUUUCUUUGCAAUAAAAAAGAAAGAACUCUAAACCCUGUUUGUUUGUUGGAAAAUAGUUUUUUUUGAAAAGUGAAUUUUAGGAAAGUGAAUUCCGGGAAAGUGAAUUAUUUUCUGAUAUUUGGUAGUGUAAUGGAAAAUAAGUUGGAAAGCAAUUUCCAGUGUUUGGUUAUGUCAUGGAAAAUGAGCUGGAAAAUAACUUAUUAAUGUUUUAUUUUUCUCAAGUUUAUUAAAAUAAUAAGGAACAAAUCUUACAAAUUAAAAACUUAAAUGAGAAUGAAAUUGAAAAAAAAAAAUAAUUUCAUAAAUUAUCUCAAAUAAAAUAAAUAAUAAUUAAAAUAAUAGAGAUCAAAUCUAAAAAAAAAAAUGAAAGAUGAAGAAAUUAAAAUAAUAAUAAUUAACAUUUCAUAAAUUAUUUCAAAUAAAAUAAGUAACAAUCAAAAGAAUGAGGAUCAAAUUUGAUACACAAAAAAUUUCAAUAAAAAAAUGAUAAGGGAAAAACAAAUAACAAUUAUAAAAAUGAGGACCAAAGUUAAUAUAAAAAUUAAAUUUUAAGAGAUGAAAUUGAAAAAUAAAUAUUCAAAACAAAAUAUAUAUAGCAAUCAAAAGUUUGAGGAUCAAAUUUGAUAUAAACAGCAAAUAAUAUGACUUUUCUAAAUUUUUCACAACUUCCGGAAAGUGUUUUCCGCCCAAAUUUUUCAGGAAAACACUUUCCUGGAAACCCAAGCUAAAUUUUCCUUUGACUGGAAAGUGUUUUUCGUUGAUCAACUUUUCUAAUGGCAAACAAACAUAGGAAAGUUUGAAAAAUAAUUUUCCGAAAAAUAAAUUCCAGAAAACAAACAUGACCCUAAUAUAGUUCCAACAAAUUAUGCCUUCCACAAACAUUUGUGAGGAGAUUACUUUGCAUCAUUUACUCAAACCUCUUACAUCUGAUCCACAUUAACACAAUCCUAAGACUGAAAUUUAUUCAUCUGGAUUGCUCUAUUUGAAGCCAAUAUGUUAGUACUGCUCCCGAAAGACCUCUCAACACCAUCAUCUCAGAAUCAUCAACCAAUUAAAACCAAAUAAUCUGAAAUCUUUUCUUCACAGAAGCCAUUUUCAUACAUGUGCAGAGUUCAUACCUCUAGAAAAAAGCGUUGGCUCAUUCAAAACAUAGCUGAGCUGAUAAUAUUUUUCUUUAUCUGAUUGAAACUGUUAGAGCUAGCAUAUAAAACCAAAACUUCCAAUUCCACAGAUCUUCGAAGUAAAAAUGUUCAGCAAAACCAGCCAACCAAGAAUUGGAAACCCGAAACCAAGGAGCAUAAACACUGAGACUUCUCAUAACGAAACAAUAUAUAUAGAGAGAAGGAUCCAUGAAAGAAUUUGAGUACCAAACAACAAGAUAAUUUCAGAAAACAUCACACCCAUGCCACAGAUUCACAAUUCCUACGGACACCUAGUUUUGCUUUUGCUAGAUUAUCUGCCAUAUGAUUAGCUCCACGCAAAGUAUGAGUGAAAGAUACAAAACCUAAAAAUGAGGAGAAACAAGUAGCAAGGAUGAAGAGAUAGCAGUAAUACCAUGGCCUAUUACUUUUCUUAAGCAUCCAGUUGACAAUGUUAGUAGAGUCAGAUUCUACUACAAAUUUCUUUCCAAGCAGAUCAUCUCUCAAGAAGAUAAUUCAAGGCUUUCACUAUAGCUAACAACUCAGCUUCAUUAGAGUCUUUGUGAUGCAGACGGAACUAAAAACAACAAAAAAAACACAAGAAUUUUAAUAAGCGAAAGGGAUUGCGGAUAUGAACCCUAAAUUCAUAGGUUUUAUUUUCUCUAGAAUAACAAUCCUCAACUCCAAUCCCUCUUUUUAGGAGGUUUACAAAGCUUUAAAUAGAUGAGAAACCCUAUCUUAACUAGAAAAAAAAAUUCAAAAUUACAAAGAAAAGAAGCAUGAAAUCUGAAAAUAACAAGAAAAAUCAUAAAAGCUGCCAAAAUCAGGCCACUAAGGCGAGAUUUUCAAAAUCUAACGAUCCAACAAUUGGAGUAGCGGUUUCAUAAAUUUAAGUGCGAUCCAACAAUCGGAUAAAAAGUUAUGGUCUUUUUGAGCUGUUAUUCCAUUAUGUCAUAUUCCGGAACAUGCGAGUCAUUUGUUUUUCUCGGAAAUCAUAAAAUUCAUCAAAAAGUAAAAAAUAAAAUAAAAUUGAGGAUUGAUUCUUUUGAUGAUAUUUUUGUUAUUAUUAUAGAAUGUACCUAUAUAGAAAAUAUUGUAUAUAGAAAAUAUUGUAGUCAUACUCUUAUGUGGUAACCUCCACCAUUACUAUUGUAUAUUGCCCUACACAUAUAUAUAGAAAGUGUUGGUUAACCAUUAGAUUAAGCCUCCUAAUUAUUCUCAACUUGAUAUCAGAGUCUUUUGUCGUCAGAACUCUUUUUUUCCUCUCCUUUUUGUAGCCGACCUUCUCUCUUCCUCCUAAUUAUUCUCAACUGUCAUCAAACUGGUGCAUGGAUCUUUUGACAAACUCGGGCCGGUCCGGGUUUAAUAACUAUGGUUUUAAGUAAACAAACAUGUAGUAAAAAUGUAAUAACAUGAGCAAUGCCCUUUAUUUUUUUAUUUUUUAAUUAAAAUUCAUUACAAAUAAAUAAUUAAAAUUAUUUAUUUGUAAUGACUUGGGUUUGCUACAUAAGACAAAGCAAUUUCUUUCUCAAAACUUUAAUAUAAAGGAUUUAGGUGAAACCUCUUAUAUCAUUGGCAUAAAGAUUCAUAGAGACAUAUCUCAAUGGAUAUUCAAAUUAUCUCAAAAAGCUUGUAUUGAAAAAGUUUUGGAAAGAUCCAGGAUGUUAAAUUACGCACCUUUAGUAGCGCUUAUUAUCAAAAGGGAUAAAUUCAAUCAGAAUCAAUGCCCACAAAAUACAUUGAAAAAGAUGCACAUGAGUAAAAUUCCAUAUGCAUCUGCAGCUGGCAGUUUGAGGUAUGCACAAGUCUAUAUAAGACUUGACAUGACAUUUGCCGUAGGAAUGUUGGGAAGGUUCCAAAGCAAUCUAGGAAUGGACCAUCAAAUAGCUGCUAAGAAAGUCAUUAAGUGAUUGGUUAUACAGACUAAGAUUUUGCUGGUUGCAUAGACACAAGAAAGUCUACUUCAAGAUACAUUUUUCUUAUUCUUGGAGGAGUUGUAUCUUGGAGAACUACUAAGCAAAAUAUUGUUGCUUCAUCUAUUAUGAAAGUAAAAUUCAUUGGAUGCUAUUAAGCAACAACAUAGGCAAUUUGGUUAAUAUAUUUUAUUUAUGGUUUUAAAGUUGUCGAUUUUAUAUCAAGACUAAUAAAAAUAUAUUGUGAUAAUUUGGCUGCAGUUUUCUUCUUUAAGAGUAUUAAGAGUGGAAGUCGAAACAAGUGUAUCAACAAAAAAUAUCUCGUUAUGAGAGAGAAAAUGAAGGAACAUGAAGUGCUCAUUGAGCAUAUUAGCAUUGAGCUAAUGAUUGCGGAUCCCAUAACUAAAGCAUUGCCAACAAAACAAUAUAGAAAGCAUGUGGAUCAUAUAGGUCUAGUUAACCCAUUUGAUAUUUGACUUCAUUUUCUUUUAGUUGAUUGUUUGAACAAUUUUUAUGUUAUUCUUAGAGACUUAAGUGAUGUUUCGUGCACAUAAAAUAUUAUUUUUAAUAUCUAUUGGAAUAUAUAUAGUUGGACAUGAAUGACUUAUCGAAAGUUCAUUCAUAAAGUUUAUUUGCUCAUUAAGUACUUAUUUUACGGAUGCAAUAUAUUAUAAUCCAUGUAAUGAAGUACUUGAUUAUAAAGUAUGACCAAUAUGAUUCAUAUGUUGUAUUAUUGACUUAAGUAUGAGUGUUUUCACUUACUAGAUAUUUUGAACUUUAUAAAGAUAUUGUCACUUAUAAAGUGGUGUCAUAUGAGUCAAGUGGGAGAAUGUUAGAAAAAAAAUUCUUAAGAUGACUCCUAUAUUAUUAUAUAGAAUUUAAAUUAAGUGAUAAUUAAGGCUUAGAGUCUACUGGACUUUAGUAGUGAGCCAGACACAUCUUCCUGAUGAACGUGUUAAAAAAUUAUCUCAACCGAAAAGUUUAAGUUGUUAGGUAAGGUUUAAUAUAUGAUUUAUAUUAUUUUCUAAUAUAUUUUUUAAUUAAAAAUUUUUUAAACUUAAAAUUUAUAUAUACUCAAACUUAUGCUUAAUUUUUAUUAAAUAAAUAGAAAUUUCAGCUUACAGUUUAGAUGAAUGAAGGUUAGAUAAAAAGAUGAAUGAAUGUUUAUUAUUUUACACUGAAACUGAAAGCAGCAUUAAAGGCUGGAGAAGAUGAUUAGAAAAGGGACAGUGGUGGGCAAAAGAGCCAAAGCGUCUCUGAGUUUAAUGAUUAGAUUGGAAUCUGUGAUCUUUGAGGAGGGGCCUCGUCAGCGUCUCUUCAUGUCUUCCAACCACCCGACCUCAUUGCUUCAAAACUCCCUUCAUACAAGAGGUCGACAAUGCAGUCUUUACUGGUCACACCAAACAUCUAUCUAUUGUUUAAUAGAACGGAUGUGCAAUAUUAGGUUAUAUAUAAAAGAAUCUUAGUCUAGCCAAACAAAAGUUAAUAACAAAGUCCGUGUUUUUCAUCUACACAGAGUAACCUUGGAGUUUUGACAUGGAUUAGAAGAUUCUUUAUUUUUUAACAAUUACUUCAACACUUAAUUAAUCAUGAUAUGAUAUGAGAUAUUUAUCCUAUUAAUUCUCUGUGGUUUUGGUGUUUAUAUGCUUGACAUUUUAAAAUGAUCUUAAUUACAAGUUGAACUAAGGAAGCAGCUGGCUAUAUAGAAGGAGACAGUAUGGGAUAGUCGAAGAAAUCCACAACCAAGUCAGCCACGUUUAACUAAUGCUGCAAGCAUCAUACCCUUGCUUCUGCCAUGCUAGUCUGAUGCUGAGGCCUGAGGGCACUCUAGAUUAUGAAAUGCAAUUACUCACACAAAUGUUGAGAUCUGAAGGAUUUAUGUUCUUAUUAAUUUUGAUUAGAUUAAUUUGAUCUUAUAUUUAUCUUAUUAUCCACACACACACACACACACACACACACACACACACACACACACACACACAUAUAUAUAUAAGGAUUAUGUAAUAAGAAUUUAAAAAUAAAGAGGUUCGAAAUGCUUUGCAUGUGACUUAGUUUUUGACAACAAAUUAACACCUCAAAUUUCUGAAGGCUGUACUCGACAAAAAUUUUGUCCCUCGGUUGAAUCCAUAUUUUAGGACAAAAGACGAAAGGCUGAAUACACUGGACCCCCAACACAUAUUUACUCCAGCCCACCCGAAGUUGGUCUUAAUUAUCUUCUUCUUCUUCUUCUUCUCUUAGAUUAAACUCUCUCUUCUUUCAACACUAAUCACUGAAACAAAAAUGUUCACGUCAACCAAGGUGUUGCUACUGAGUCAACAACAUAAGAUGGGGAUGAUUAUUGGAUCAAUAGAUUUGAUUUACGAAUUGUUUUUUUUUUAAUUUUAUUUAAACCCAAUGAUUUAAUCCAUUUCUAUAUUUUUAUAUUCGUCGCGUCCAUGUCAUCGUGAAAGUUGAUAAGGGAAUUUAAUUAUUUAUUUUGUACUUAUCAAUGAACUUAAACUUAUGCACGAAUCAACCGUGUGAUACUUGGCUUCUGUUUUGUCUUUAUACCGUGUCUCUUCUACACUGUCGGUUUCGUAGUCGUCGAAACAGGAAAAUUAAUCCUCAAUUAUUAGAAAAAUAUAAUAGUUAAUUAAUGAUCACCCAAUUGGACAAGGUUUUGUAAUCAUUUAUUUUAUUUACUAAAACAUAACGAUAGAAGGCUAAUCUUGACCUCGCAGACAGUCUAAAGUCUCUAUAUCUAACUACGUUCUUAUCCGUUUAGAAAUCAUUAAAAUGAUUUCUAGAAAAAAGUUUUUUUUUCCCCUAAACCUUCCUUAGAAAAACCUAUGUUUUCACUAAACCUUUCUUCACCGUGUACAUAGUCAUUCAACAUCCCAGGACAAAUGUAAGUUCAAAAUCUGGGUACUAUCUAUCGUUUUCAUCAUUUGUUUUUUAUAUCAUGACCCAAAACCAUUGUGAAGGGUUUUCAAAAAUAUAACACUGGCUGAUGUUAUAAAAACCGUCAAAAGAUCAAACAGUAUUUAAAAUUGAUUUUUUUCAUGGCCAAAUUCGGUGUCAAGUAAGGUUUUCUACAUUUACAACGAAAGUUAAUUUUAAAAUUAUCUUUAAAAAGUAUAUAUUACUAUUAAAUUAUCUUUAAAUAAAUUAUUAAAAUAAUAUUUAAAAAUCAUCAGAUUAUAUCAUAAUUUAAAAAUAAAAUUAGAGCUGUUUAUCAUAAUACUUAUAAUUAUUUUAUGAAUAAUUAUAUAUCAAUUUAAUAGAUAAUUUUAAAAAAAACUUCGCUCAAGAAUUCUCAAAAAGAAUAGAAUAAAACUAUUCUACUAUUUUUACUGUCAAAAUAUAUAUAGUUUUCUCAAAUUAUUUUUUAUUUUUAUUUUUUCAUAUAGUUAUGUAAAUCUUUUAAGGGAUGUUUUUUUAUUAAAACUUUUUUUUUGGAUUAAGAUAAUUUUUAUUUAAAAAGUUUUACUUCUAAUAAAAAAUAUAUAUGUUGUUAUCAAAAUAAAAAGAAAUGCAUGAAUAAGGAAUGAGAGUUUUGUUUAGAGAAAUAUGUUUUCUUUUCCUCCUUGAUUUAGAUUAUUGAGAUUUUAUGAAAAUUUAUUUUAAAAGCGUUGUAAUGUAGUGUUAAAGAGUUAUAUAAAAAUAUUCUUGAGAACUCAUAUGAUAAUUUAAAUUAUUAGAUUAAAAUGUUUCUUGAAAAUGAUAUUAAAGCCUUGUUUACUAAAUGAUCACAAGAAUAAGUCUUACUAUGAAUCUUCUUUCUAAUUAAUAAAAAUUAAAUACAAGAUAGUGUAAAUAUAUACAAGUUUUAAGUUUAAAAAGCUUUUACUCGAGAAGUGUGUUAGAGAAUAAUAUAAAAUUAUUUUUAAAAAUUUACUUAGCAAUUUAAAUUUUUAAGUUUAGAUGAUUUUUUACUUAGCACACGGGGUAAAUUGACUAAUUUUAUUUAUUAAAACACAAUCUUGAAUGGCUAAUCUUGACCUUGCAGACAGUCUGAAGUUGCUACGCAACUUAAUUCAUUUAAAAAUCAUUAAAAUAAAUUGGGUACUAUCUAUUAAAACGAAAUGAAGUUGAACAUGCAAUCCUUGAAUUUUUCAUCACCGUAGUGUUCAUUCAUUCACCAUCCCAAGACAAAUGUAAGUCAAAAUUUGGGUACUUUUUUUGUUAUUUAGUAAUGAAGAAAUAUCAUUUAGAUUCCAUGACCAUUAAGAAAAUAACAAUCCGGAAAACAAAUAAAAAAAUUGUUUCGAUUAGAUGAAAAUUAAAAAACCAAAGCAAAACAAAUAAAAACAUUCUAACCAAAACUGUUCAAAAUUUGGGUUCUAUCUAUCAUUUUCAUCGUUUGUUUUUCUUUGAUCGAUGCCUUUUAUAUAUUUCUUAUGUGCCAUGACAAGCACAAAUACGUCCAAAUUAAGAUGAUUUUAACUCAAAAUAAUGCCUUUGAUCAUUAUUAUCAAGUUAGUGAAUCAAUCUAGAAGUGCAUGCAUGUAGCAUAUAAUUAUAUAACCCAGCUUAUUCUGUGUUUGUGUGAUGGGAGAGUAUACUAAUUAUUUACAAAAUACUAUUGUUUGUUUGAUGGCCAAGUAUGGCUUUAGACAAGGAUGGUAUAACUAAUUGCGGCUAUAUCCUUAUAUGCGUUGAAGAAUUUCCAUUUCUUUGUUGUCAAGAAUACUAAUUAUUUAUUAAAAAAAAAAAAACAGUAUGGUCUAAAAAAGGCACCCCUCCUCUCCUCCCUAAUUCAUAUUUACAUUUGAGAACUUUGUAACUCUACCCGUUCAAGAAAAUAGUAUGCAAUUUAUAAAUUUACCUGUAUAUUUGUUUAUAUAUUUGCAUCAAAACAUUAAAAAAACUAAGAGAUGUGGUAAAACUACUAUUCAGCUAGAGAGAAAACACUUCAAUUGUACUUAAUAGUGUUACACUAUGUUUUCAGUUUUUUUUUUUUUUUUGGUCCUUUGGAUUUUUUUAGUCCCUUAAUUUUUAAUUGUUUAUUAGAUGUAGUGUCUAUUUUUUAAUAGAUUUUGUGAUUUGUUUUGGCUGUCUAAAUUAGGAGGUCUUGCCCUUGGGGUGUUGAAAAAAAUAAUAUAUGGCUCGAUUGAUACUUGGUUUGAUAAAAUUAUAGGCAAUGGUGUGUCGCCAGCAUUCCAAUCUUCUUCUUUUUUUCUUUCUCUUCACCUCAAGUUCAAUGCAUGCUUUGUUAAAUUUGUCUUAUAUCAAUUUUUAUUCUUAUUUUUUUAAUUGCUAUUUAAUUUCUUUUAAUUAAUUGUUUUAAAAACAAUUAAUCAUUUACCACUGUACUAAUUAAUUAUGGAUUGAGCUUCGUAAUGUUUUUCAAUUUGCAUUGUACGGAGUAUUCUCAGUUUCAUAACCUAAGUUACGAGUUAGUGGUAAUUGAGUUUUGUAAUUUUUUUAUUUUAUUUAUAUGGUGUUAUCCCAGUAUCAGGACUUGGUUCAUGAAUUCUGCAUAUUAAUCUUAAUUCACUUGAGUUUUUUUAAAAUAAUUAAUUUUUUCCCAAUAUCUCCAUUCAACAUUGUGUUGGUCUAAGAAUUGGGUUUCAUAGUCCUUUGCAGUCUGUACUCUUUGAGCGUAUCUCAUUCUCAUAACCUGAAUCGCGAGUCUGGUAGAACUGAGUUGACUUGAGUCAAUCUUUUUAGUAUUUUUUUAAAAUUGAAUAUUUUUUCAUCUCUAUUAUGGAAUGUGUUGUAAUUUAGAAAAGAUUGUAGUUUCCUUGUAUAAAGUUAUACUACGUAGUGCACUACACAAUAACUAUUAUAUUCUGCCCUACUCAUAUAAAUAUAAGAGAUAACGACUACAUUACGCAAGCCUCCUAAAUUAAUCAUAAACCUUAUUUCAACUUGGUAUUAGAGCUUGAAACAUCUAGAAUAGAUUCAAGGCUUCCUUCUCCUCUGCAAAAUAGAUUCUUCCCUGUCUUUUCUCUCUUGACCGACUUUUUGCUAUUGUAGGUUUUUGGUGCAGUUUUUGCUACUGCAUUGUUGCAUCCUCAGUAAUUAUGGAAUGUAUUGUAGUUUAGGAAAGAUUGUAUUUUCCUUAUAUAGAGUUAUAUUGCGUAGUGCACUACAUAAUAACUAUUGUAUUCUGCCCUACUCAUAUAAAUAUAAGAAAUGGUUAUUGCAUUAUGCAAGCCUCCUAAAUUAAUCAUAAAAUUUGUUUCAACUAUUUUCAUCUUUCAACAUUUAGUUGAUUUGAAAUUGAGCUUCAUAUUUUAUUUUGAUUUGUUUUCUACCGAGUUAUCAUAAUUUCGUAACCUAAAUUAGAAUUUUGCAGGUUAGACAAGAUUUAUUCAGAUCAAUUGAUCAAUAAGUUAUUUUCAUACAAUUUUAAUUUCAUAUAAUUUUAUUAUUGUCAAACUCGAUUGCCAGCUCUAAAGUUGUCCACUAUUUUCAUUGUACCACUUGAACGAUCAGGACAAACCAGCCUGCUUCUGUAUAAAUCACUUUCUCAAAGCACAUUGCUCGGAUCGUUUUAUCAAUUUACAGACAGUAUAGAAAUAUUGCUUUAAUUGUUGAAUAGAUGAAGUCAUCAAGCCGUCAUCAAGCCGUCACCAACCAGCAUCAAUGCCCAAAAAAAUAAAAUAUUUUUUAGUUUAUGAGUGGCAAAAAAGAAUUUUGAUAAGAAAAUGAGCAGCCACCUUACUCAAUACGAACUGUAUGAUAAUAGUAAAAGGAGAAGAUAUUAUUUUAUAUAGUAACAACAAGGCAAAUAAAUUGCCGUACUUGUAAAAUUGACUAGUGUAGCACCCACCUCACUCGGUCCCAUUUUUUUGGUUGAAUAGAUGAAGUCAUAUCUCCACCCUUUGGACUACAACAAAGAUGUUCCUUUCUUCCUUUUUCUUUCUUCGGAUGGUACUGAAAUGUGUCCUUCAAAAUUGGGUAGUGUGCUAGCAUGAUUUGAACGCGUGGCAGGGAAGAUGUUAUUGUGGAAGUGUUCUUGCUUCAACCGCCAACAAUCUUGGAUUUUUUUUCUUUCAACUCACCGAUCUUUAAAUUUUUUUUAUCAACAUUCCUUGGAACUUAAAUAUAAAUUAAUGGAUUUGACUCGAGGUUUCACAUAAGUUUUUGUAAAAAUUAUUUCUUAUGUUUUUUUAUUUUUAUAGUUGAUGUUUUUGGGGUUCGGUGUAUGAACCAUUUAGACAAAGGUUAUGUUCGAUUGAUAUUCAUUACAUGGUUUUUGUUUUUCUCGAUGGGCAAGGUUAUUUUGCAUGAGGAUGUCAUAAUUAAGGGCGGCUAUGUCCUUAAAUGCGUUGAAUAAUCGCCUUUCGAUUGUCGCAUGAAGAAUUGCCUUUUCUUUGUCGUCAAGUAUAAUAAUUAAUUAUUUACAGAAAAACAGUAUGGUCUAAAAAAAUCAACCCUCCUCUCCUAUCCAGCCAUCCUCUCCUCUCCUCCCUCUUUCAUUGUGUUCUUGAUGUAGAAGAAAUGUUUUCGACAUAUAUACAUUUGAGGAUUUUGGAACCCUACCCCUUCAAGAAUAUAGCAUGCAAUUUAUAAUUUUACUUGUUAAUUUAUUAAUAUAUUUGAAUCAAAACACUAAGAAAAAAACUAGGAGAUUUGAUAAAAUCAUUUGCAUCAAGAGAGAAAACAUCUUCCAAGUGUUCCACGAUAUUUUUGGUCUUUUUUUAAUGAAUAUCAAAGAAUUAUAUAAAGUUUGACAUCUAGUGGAUGAAAUCAGCAAAACAAUAAAAAGAUACAAUAAUAGCUAUGAUAGCAUAACAAGAUAUAGAUACUGAUUAUUCCUUCUUCUUUUUUUUGUCCUUUGAAUUUUUCAUAUUUUGUUUUUUGAAUUGUUUCUUUAAUGUUGUAUUUAUUUAGAAUUGAACUUGAUAAUUUGUUUGAGUUUUCUAGGUAAGGGGGUCUCGCAAUUUUGAAAAAUAAUAUGUGGUUCACUUGAUGCUCGAUUUGAAAAAAUUGUAUGUAAUUUUAUUAAUUUUUAAAAAAUAAAGCUUUGAGGACCGAAUUUAAAGAUUGAACAAAUGUAUUUUUGGCCAGCAUCAAGAACUAAAUUUAAUAGGCAUUGAAAAAUGUGAAGAGAGUCAUCGCACCUUAGAGGCAUGUGCGACGUCUUUAGACCUCAGAAGAUGGUGUUCCACCAUCUUAAAAAGGGUUACAAGGUGAGGUGGUGUCUGUUAGAGGAUAUAUAGUUGCAUGUCGCCACCAUCCCAAUCUUAUUUUCUUUCUCUUUUUAAUUUCUAACUUCAUCAUGGGUUUCGUUCCAUGCUUUGUUAAAAUUGUCUUAUGUCAUUUAAUUCUUAUUUUUUUUAUUGCGAGUUUUUUUAUUAAAUUAUUUUUUAAAUUUUAUCAUUCGAUAUUGUACUGAUUGAGAAUCAAACUUUAUAAUUUUUUUUAAUUUGCUCUGUAUGGGAUAAUUUUGAUUUCAUGACUUGGGUCAUUCAUGGGUUUAAAAAGAUGACAUGGGUUGACUUAAGCUAUUUGUUUUUGGGGUCCUUUUUAAUUUUUUUUUUUAUCAAUCUCAUCCUUGAACAUUUGAUUAGUUGGUAAUUUGGUUUUGAAAGUUUUUUAUUUAUUUUUUUAUGGGGUUAUCCUAGUAUCAGAUCUUGGGACGAGUUUUAUAGGAUAACCCAAGUUGACUCAAAUAUUUUUUUCAUUGUUUUUUAUAUUGAUUUUUUUUUCAUUUUUUUCCUUCAACAAUGUGUUGUUUUGGGAAUUGGGCUUCACAGUCCUUUUCAAUUUACUUUCAAUGGUUUUAUCAUGUUCUCAUGAUCCGGAUUACAAGUUUAUCAAGUUUACUAAGUUAACCCGAAUCAUUUAUUUUUUUUGUCAUUUUUUAGAUCUAUUAUUUAUCAAUUUUCCCUUUAACAUUGUAUUGGUUUGAGAAUUAAGAUUUGUAGUUUUUUUUUUAGUUUGCUUUCUAUUAGUUUAUCUCAUUCUCAUGACUCGGGUAAUGGGUUUAGCAGGUUUACUAGGGUUGACUCAAGUCAUUCUUUUUUAGUCUGUUUUUGUAAAUUGAAUAUUUAUUUUCUCAAUUCCAUCCUCAUAUAUUAAAUUGAUUUGGAAUUGAACUUUAUUAUUCGUUUUGAUUUGUUUUCUAAGAAGUUAUUAUAAUCUCAUAACCUUGGUCUUAAUUUUAUAGGUCAGUUAAGGCUUUCUCAUAUUAAUCUAAUAUGUUGUCGUCUCAAUAAAAAAAAUUAUCAUUUAAUACGUCACCAGCUUGAUAUUUAAAAAAUUAUAAUCUAAUACACAUCAAAUUUUCAAUUAAUGAUUUUUUUUUUUUUUACUUCUAGAAAACACGUCAUGAACUCAUUUAAAUUUUAUUCAAUCCACAGUACAAUGCAUGUCAAGGAUUCGGUAGUGUCUAUAUUUCCUUAUCUUUGGUAUAACAAAAACACACACAUUUAGAAAACAGCAUGGAGUUCUACCUAGGGAUUGCAAUUUCUUGACACGACUUUUCAAUCUACGAAUGCAAGUAUUCUACUAUAAAAUCUUAUAUUUUCCCAUUUCUAACAUUUAAUACUCUUAUUUUACACUAGUUAGAUUAUGAAAAUUUAAUAUAGAAAAUGACUUGAGCCCAUGACUCCCUUUCUCACACAUUUCAGCUGCUAUGGAUUGCAAUGCAAGUAUAUAUUCUCCCUUGACUUCAUUUUUCAUUUUUUCUUUUUUCUGCUGUAUUCUUACUUUUGAGUUUGUCAAUCUGGUAAUCAAACGGUUUAAUUUAUUUAUACGGUUACAAUCAAGAAUCAUGGCCAAUAACAUUGUAUAAGGGAAAUUUCCAGGAACGAUCCUGAGCGUUGGUGUGUGUGUGUGUGUGUCUAUAUAUAUGUGGUAUGGAAACUUUUGAGCUUCGAAACUCGUUUUUCCAUUAGAACAUUUUUUUUAGGGUACUGUACAGAAAUGACUGGGGCUGCUGUGUGGUGUUUUAAGGUAGAGGACUUGAAGUCUAGAAAUAGAUUCUCACGGCCGGAGACGAUGAGGAGUAUUUCGCAGAAGUAUCAGAAUUUGUUUUUGAAAAGAGGGACAUGGGAUCCUGAUGAAGAUCAAAAGUUGAGAGCUUAUAUUAAGAGACAUAGCAUUUGGAAUUGGAAUGAGAUGCCGAGAGCUGCUGGUAACUGCUAAUGAUUAGUACUUGUAUUCUAAAUGUUACAUAUACGUAUGGCAAAACGCAGUGAAAAUAAAACUGUGAUAUAAUAUAUUGCUUCUUCUUCUUUGUCUCCAUUUGUAGGUUUGUUAAGGUCAGGGAAGAGUUGCAGGCUUCGUUGGAUGAACUAUCUAAGGCCAGAUAUUAAGCGUGGAAGCUUCAGCAAGGAAGAGGUGCAAACUAUAAUCAAGCUGCAAGAAAUGUUAGGAAAUAGGUAUAUUUAUUCUCAAGUAUAGAUAUUAUUAGCUAGCUAACGCAUGUAUGAUUCCAUUUGUUUUUAGGAGAGCUCACCUAUUCCAGAAGUUCAUUGAGUUACAAUCAGCUCAUUUCUUGAACAUAUGUCCUGCAAUAAAAACACACGCACGCACUCUCCUCUAAUAGCUCUACUUGG
rnacentral:lncRNA from 1 species